rnacentral:lncRNA from 1 species
UAUUAUUAUUUGUUGCUGUUGUUGUUCAUUGUCUAAUGAGUUUAAAUCCUUAUUUCAUGUGUUUUAUAUAUGUAUGUAUAUAUAUGCAGGUUGAAGAGGGAUUUUCAAUGACAGUGAAGGAUCUUGUGAAGAAUCUGAACUCAUGUUUCAAGCAGUUCAUGUGAAGAAGCUAAUAAAUAUGAUCUCUUUUUUGCAUUAGUACUCUUGGACAUAUAUAUAUCUAUAUAUAGACAUAUAUAUAUAUAUAGAGAGAGAGAGAGAGAAAGAGAGAGAGGCUAAUGUUUAGUGGCAUUUCAUAAUGCUUUUAAUUAGGGCUCUCCUUUUUCUUCUACCAGAGGCCUGAAGUUCCCUCAGAAGCAUUGAGAUCACCAUUUUUCACUUGUUUUCUCUCUCUCUCUCUCUCUCUCUCUCUCUCUCUAUNUUUCUAUCUUUCUCUCUCUCUCUCUCUCUCUCUCUCUCUCUCUCUCUCUCUCUAUCUAUACACCCUUUUUGCAUGGUUGAGCUAAGUCAAGUAACCAAUCAUGUUCUUGAGAGAGAAAACUAGCACACUUGGGGUUUUUCAAGGGCUUGAUUACGUGGGUAAGUUUUAGCUUUUCAAAUAAUCUUUUCCUUUAAUUUCUACCCCCCUCCCCUUUUUGGUUCCUAUGUGGCCCUUUUUUGUUCCUUUUAGGGGAUUAUUAUUUUUCUUUUUUUUUUUUUUUCCCCUAAACCUACUAUUUCCCUUCUUCUCAAUAUCCAUGAUAACUUUUUCGCAAUAGCUUGAAAUUGGCUUUUUUUCUUUUUUUUUUUUAAAUGGUGUACUUGUUUGUUUUGAGGGAGUGGUAGGGCCUUGUUUUAGAAGUAUGGAAGGGGCGCCUCUUUUUUAGGGGCCUACAAAUGAUUAAUUCCUCUUUUUAUGAGUCUCCUUGUGAAAAAUACAUUAAUGUUACUUAGCAAGUUUAAUGUUGUUGUUGUUGUGUUAAUUUUAAUUUAUGUAGAUGCAAAAAUAAAUGGUUAAUUUCUUUUUUCUAUAGCAAAUUUUAUGUUAUGGUGGGACUUCCUUGCUUUGGUGGCAAAAUGUAGUGUAUGAAAGCAUUAAUGUUUUGCAUUUUAAAUUCAUUUUGCUUACCUCAUUCUACAAAAUUGAUAAUUAAAGUAGUAGUGAUUGAGUGAUGAGAAGGAGGAAGAUCCAAUUCCUUGAGAAUUAUUAUGGGUUGGAAAAUCCAAUAGAAAAGUACUACAUUGAUUUGCUUUUGAUUUGCUUGUCUAGAAGCUUAGUGAAACAAUCACUUUCAAUCCCUAUCAAUGAUUAUGAUAUUGUCUCAAACAAAUCCCCCUCACUCUCUCUUAUAAUUAACCUUGAUUGAGUUGUCCCUUUUAUAAUUUUGCUUCUUGUGUCAUAAAUUUAGUGCUAGACUAAUAAUAGUUUUUUUAAAAUUUUAUUUACUCUACAUACCCUUUUUGUUUAAACUUCAAAUUAAUCUACUAAUGCACAUCUUCUCUAUGAAAGGAAAAAUAUGCUCGAAAAUAUGUUUAAGUCAGUAAAAUGGCAUGCAUUUACCAACUGUGUAUUUGUGUUUGUAAUGAAUUGGUCAUUAGUGAGCAAGGUAGUUAAAAAUCAGUAUCUAUCCCUAUAUUUUUCCAAUUAAUUAGCGUUCUAUUUUGUAAGCUUUUUUUAUAAGGUUUUAGAAAAAAAAAAUUUUCUAUUAAGCAGCGCUAUAGUUAAAAGUUGGCAUUUUACUCCCCUACUUUAAUUUUUUUUUUAACAUAAAAAUUUAUUAUGAAAUAGUAUAGUACAAAUUAUAAAGUCAUACUUUAAUACACCAUAGAAAUCUUGACCAUUUAUUUUUCUUAAUAGAUGGUUUAGAUUUAACAUGAUUCUGAAGGUGACCUACUAUUGAAGCAUAGAUACCAUUCACCAGGUACCUAUUUAAAGGGCAUUUUGGUCUUUGUAAAAUAUUUUGGUUUACAAAACCAAAUUUAUCCAACUGAGUAUACUAUGACCUUUUCAAAUGACUACAACAAUAGUUGGAUUUUAAAUUACAACCGAAUUGUAAAUUUAAAUUCAAAACAACAUUUAAAACUUAAUUAUAAAUCAAAUUCAAUUUUUUUAAAUAUAAAACACAAAUUUAAAAUAAAACCUUCAGUUCCAAUUCAAAAUUUUAAUUUAAAUCAAAAAUUAAAAUUUGGCUUUAAUAUUAAAAGUUCAAUUUAGAUUCAAAUUUAAAAGUUUAAUAUAAAUUUCAAAAUUAAAAUUUUACAUUAUAAUACCAACUUCAAAAAUUAAACUUAAAUUUAAUAUUUUUUUGAGCUGGAUACUUCACAAAUUGGAUAUUAUCAAACUUGGUAAGUUACCAAAGUAAAUAAGAUAUUUAAUAUUUAUAGGAUGCUGACAAAUUUGGUAUGUACUACUAAUUUUUUUUUCGAAUAUUGUCAUAUUAACUAAUUCAAAUCGGUAAUCUAUUCAACAUGUUACUUUAUGCAAAACUCAAUUAUAUCCUUUACUAAUUAAGAGUUAUAUUUUAAUAUUUAUGGUGUAUUGAAGCAUUCCUCUAAAUUAUAAACCAUAUAUAGGAUAGUAAGAACAAUGACAUAAUGAGCUCAAUGUAGAGUUUGCUUAUUUCUCUUAAAAUUCUAUAUUAUAUAGCUUCUUUUUAUAAUAUAAAUAUUCUUUAAAUUGCAAUUUUAGCCUUUUAAUUUUUUUCACAAAUCCAUGUCUAGUCACUAAAAACUCUAGGACAUCAUUCGGUUAAAUUACUAUGUAUUAAUUUUUAAUUAGAGUUUUCAUGCAGUAGAAUGUGCAUAUGAAUUAAGAAUUUUUCACAAUCUAUACAAUUUAUUGUGUUUAUAAUUUUGACAACCAACAUAAUUGAAACAAAAAGAAACACAAAAACAGCUAGUAACAUGUUAUGGUGGGGAUAAAUUCAAAGAAAAGAGAAAUUAAGACACUCAAUUUUUUCUUAAUUUUUUUUUCCUCUCAUCCUAACCGUCCAUCAAAAUUGAUGGAUGGUUAGAAACUUAAAAGUACAUGGGCUGCUGUGCUCUUAAGAGUACAGUAGCCCUGCUCUCUCUCUCUCUCUCUCUCUCUCUAUAUAUAUAUAUAUAAUAUAGAGUUUUGCUAGAAUACUAUUAGUAGUAAACGAGCUGUUUUACCAUCUAUUUGUUUUCGAUGAUAAAGCUUCCAAAUUGACGAUCGGCUCCGUUGAACAUGAUCUAUACCACUUAAAGUGUUUAGAAAUCAAAUUUUAAAUCUUUUCGACAUCAUUUGCCUAAUGAUCAAAGGGUUUCAAAAUUUGUAAUUUUAAUGGUCGAUAAGAGGCGUUUUCUCGUUUAACGGCGUAAAGAUAUCCAAAUCAAUUGAAUUUUUGUUAGAAAAUUCUUUAAACUAUUUAAAACAAGAUCUAUACUCUUGAUCUUGAUUACAAGACUCUUAUCAUCAUUUUUUAAAGAAUAUUCAUUUUCAGCCAUUUAUUUUUCUGUUCACUUGAUGGAUAAAAGAACAAUAUCGAAAGUGCGUGAAAUUUGAUUUCUAGGUAGUUUAAAUGGUUUAGAUCAUAUUUAACGGAGCCGAUCGUCAAUUUGGAAGCUCUAUCAUCGAAAACAAAUCGGUAGUAAAACGGCUCGUUUACUAUCGAUAGUAUUCUAGCUCAUCUCUCUCUCUAUAUAUAUAUAUAAUAUAAACUUUCUUGUGAUCGGUGGAGAAAUGUAUUUGUCACGCAUGAGACAAAAGCGUGAGAACUUGUUGUCCUACAACCCAACAUGAUUAGGACAGAGUAAUUAAAAUGCCUGCAAUCAGAAUGCGAAGGAGAUGAGACCUCCUCCAAGUAACAACAACAACAAUAAUAAUAAUAAUAAUAACAAUCAGUAAAGUGACUCGCGCGAUGCGACGUAUAGAUAAUAUAAAAAAAUAAAAAUUUAUAGAAGAAAUGAAAACAUGAAAAUAUAAUUAUCUUACGAUUGUUGAAAAUGGGGCAGCCGACGGUGGUGCCACACGCCAUCCUUGUCGAGGACGUAUGAGGAACAGCGGAUGGGGGCUGAAAGGCUCUGAGUGGCGAAUGAGAGAAAAAAGGGGAGAGAACAAGAAAAAAAAAAAAAAAAAACUAAAAUUAUUGGUGGAGAAAUCCAAAACCGCUGCGUAAGUGAGGUGAAGGGAGGAGAAGAGACACCCCUAUCGGUUUAAGAGAUAAAGGAAAGUAAGAGAUAAGAGAAAAAAGAAAAUAGAGAGAAAGAGAGUUGAAGGAGAGAAAGAAAGGAUUUUACUAAGAUAAAAGAGAAUAGAAAAAAAAUUAAAAUAAAUAGUGGAUCCCACCACCCUCAAAUAGAGAUGGUACAUUCAUAUUGGAUUUGAUCAUGAAAAAUCAUGUAUAGCUAUAGAAUGAUAAUAAUAAGGAAAAAAAAACAUACACCCACUUAUAACUUUACAGAAUACUGUUACAAAACAUACACCCAUAUACCUCGCCUGUAAUUCUCCCUCAAAAUGCAUUAUUGAAAAGCCCCCUAAUAGUAAAAAUAGCUAAAAAUAUGAAGCAAUUAGGCUCCGAAUAUUAAAACUUCGUGUACUAAUAAUGAAGCACUUUGCCACUUGCUCUAGUUACAACCAAUAUUUAGUUUUAGUUUAAAAGUUGAAAAUCAAAAUAGAUGAUAUUCCAUUCAUCUUAUAGGGCUAAGCUUGUAUGCUUUUAGAAGUACGAUAGCUUCAGUACUACCAAGUCUUUUCAAUAAUAGGACAUCCGAAUCGAUGGUCGGUUUUGUUAGACUUGACCUAGAAUAUUUGAAGUAUUUAAAAGAUAAAUUUUGUAAUUUUUUUGAUAUCAUUUACUUAGUGAUCUAAAGACUCAAAAUUAACAAUUUUAAUGAUGGUAGUGAACUUUUUGCAAGUUUAACAGUAUAAAAAUAUCCAAAUCAUGUAACAUUUUGAUAGAAAACUUUUUAUUCUAUAUAAAACAAGACCAAUAUCUUUAAUCUAAAAUUUAGUGUCAUAUCAUCACUUUUCGGCCGUUAAUUUUGAGCUCGUUUGAUUAUUAGGUAAAUGAUAUCGCAAAAUAGCAAAAUUUAUUUUCUAGCUAUUUCAAAUACCCUCACCAAAUCUAAUAAAGCCGAUCGUUGAUUCGAAAGUCCCAAUAUCAAAAAUGACCUGAUAGCACGAAGGCCACCACGCUUUUAAAAGCACACAAGCCGGAGUCCAUCUUAUAUUACAUGUUGAAUAUUAUCAUUUUUGAGCACCUAGAUACUAAGCAAAUAGUGCUAAAUAAUCACAAAUUUUGGAUUCUAGCAAGUUCAAAUAUCUUCGAUUAAGAUAAACAAUGCCGAUUAUCGAUUCAGAUGCUUCGUCACAAAACAUGACGUAGAAUUAACCGUUGGAUUCACUCUUAGAGUUAGUUAUUCUAGCUCUUCUCAAUUUUGAUUUAUGUUAUUCCUAUUACAUAGUUGAAUAGCGAGAAGAUUAUGUUACUUGUGUGUUGAAAAUAUGAUGGAAAAAACUUGUCCACUAUUUCUUUUAAUGAUAUUAUGUUUCAUAUGUUGCAGUGAAUAUUAUCAUUUUGACUAAAAUUAAGUUGUCAAAAUGAAAUGUACUUGGGGUGUAAAUGGGCCGGGUCGGGCCGAAGUUGAGCCCAAUCCAAAUUGGACCAAAAUAGUUUUGUCUAGUAUAGGCCCAUAGAUAACUUUGUUGUGCUUUUUUUUUUUUCACAAUAAAUAUUCUAUUAUUAAGCUCUGAAUCUCAUACAAUUUGGAUAACCUCUGAGUUAGAUCGUUGGUGUUGAUCAUUAAUACCAAAAGCUCGAACUGUUAAAAAGAUGUAAUCAAUUCAUUUAAAAUGUAUAGACAUAGCAUACACUGGUUUCAAUUGUAACUCACACUACAACAAAAACGGUUUAUAGCGACACUUUUAAAUGUAGAUACAUGUAAAAAAAGUGCUGCUAGCUAAAAUUACCGACACUUUUAAAAAGUGUUGCUAUAUGUGUGGUCGCUAGGUAUAUAGUGACAGUUAAAGAGUGUCACUAUAACCUAAAAGAGUGCUGCUAAUUUACCAACACUUAUUUAAGCAUUUAGCAACCGCCGAAACUUUAUCUCGUUGGUUGCGGUGGCGGAGGAGGACGACAGGAAAGGCUCUUCGUCUAAUUUCAGUAGAUUGAGUGAAGAGAGAAGAAAAGAUGGUAAUUAAUUUUUUUUUUUUCUUUUCUGUUUGUAAUCGGGCCAAAUGGACUGGGUGUGGUGGGUUGAGUAGAGUAAUCUUUUAUUUUUGGUUGGAUUGGGCUUUAUAUUUAGGCAUUAUUUGAUGUUUUUUUAAGUUUUAGGAUAAAUUGGACACUUACUCAAAAGUGUCCCAAACAUGUGCCCCUAUAACUUAAUUCUGUUGUAGUGUCAGUCCAAUCAGCUGUCCACCACUUCGAACAUAACUCAACUCAACACGGGCCUCCUGCCUUUUUGGACGUGACUUGGCCCAAUCUAACCUUCCACUGCAAGGCAGAAUGCUGGCCCCUUUUAAGCCAACACUCUGUCCCAGUUAUGAUACCUAGACUUAUAUCAUGCUUUAAGAGAGAAGUGUCACAACAGUGUAACCUAUGGGUAUUCGUGUAUAUAUAUACAAUCUAUUUAAAACACAUUAGCAUGAGGUAUGGUUAUUAAAAUGAUUAUUAAUUCUGUUUUUCAUAAUAAAAGUAGUAAUCCCACCACAAUAGCAAUCAAAUUUUUAUGUAUAUCAUCAUAGUGAAAUUUGGUUUUGUUCAAUUAUUAAAUUUUUUUUUUUUUAAAAAGAAAGAAAGCUAAAAGUGGUUCAGUAGUUUACUAAAAAUCCAAAUCUAAUCGUAUCAUUUGAAAAAAUAAAUAAAUAAAUACAAAUAAUAAAUGGCACCCAACUGACCUAAAACAUCUAGAACACUCUAGUUGGAUUAAUUUUUGUUAUUAUGGGUUUACUUUGUGAAUUAAAUAUGCCUCAAAAAGUACUUUGAUAGACCCAAAUGAAAAGUUUGAAUUGGCACUAACCUUUUUUACUAAAGAAACAAGCACAUUUUCAGAAAGAAUAUAUUAAAAAAUAAAUAAAUAAAAGGGAGACCCCCUCAACUAUAAGUCAUUUUGAAAUGGUCCCUCUAUUGCUUUUAUUUUAUUUUAUUUUAUUUUAUUUUUUUUAAAGCAAUGCUAAGGCUAUAAGAACUGACAAUCUCAAUCUGUACCCGCAGAUACUCAUGAAUUAUUUAUAAAUUUAAGGAUAUAAAUACUAAUUUUUCUUACUUAAAAUAUUAUUAGCAAAAUGGGCAGGUAUCUAUUAAAUUAUGGGCAUUUUGAACAAUCUGAGAGUAUCUACAUGUAUAAUUUUUUCAAAAAAAUUUAAAAAUAAAAUAAUGAAUGCCCUUUUUAUUUUACUCUUUGCUAGAAUCCUAACAGUAAUUUCUCCUAAUGCCAUUUUUUUCUUUAUUAUCUAUUGUAUAUUGUGAUGUUUUAAAUAAUAAGUUAAAUUUUAAUUUUUUAAUAUAUAUGAUUAUUUGUGUUUGAAAAGUAUAAAUAUAGAAAGGAAAACAGAAGGUUAUGUUGUGGGUAACCCAUAUAUCCGCCUGCUGGCAAAUAUGGGUAAAGAUAAUGACUACCCAAAAUUUAUGAAUAAAUUCUAUCUACGCCCACAUAACCCGUGGAUACAAUGAUCGAUCCGCGAUUUGCCCAUGUAGUCUGCUCGUUUGCCAGGUCUAAGCCUACAACCUACUUUGGGUCCUUAUCUUACAGUUCUGCUUAUCGAGUCCGGCUACUUUAUUCUUAUGAGUACAAUCGCCUUUACACUCAUAAAUCGUUUUCGAUGAUAGAGUUUUCGAAUCGAUGAUCCAUACUGUUAAACAUUAUCUAGAACAUUUAAAACUUCUACAAAUCAAAAUUUAUAAUUUUUUAACAUCAUUUACUUUACGAUCAAAAAAUUUCAAAAUUGACAAUUUUUAACGGUUGGUAUAUAUGGGAUGCUUGCUAGUUUAACAGUGUAAAAGAAUCGGAAUCUUUAAAUUCUAUUCACUAUCUAGAUAAAGAUCAAUAACUUUGAUCUUAAAUUGAAGGAUUCGAUCAUCUAUUUUUAGAAUGUCGUUCGAUUUUGACUGUUUAUUUUAUACCUGCUUGACGGACUUUAUUAUGAUUUCAAAAAAUUACGAAAUUUAUUUUUUUAGACGUUUCAAAUACUUUAGAUCAUAUUUAACGAAGUAGAUCGUCGAUUCAAAAGCUCCAUCAUAAAAAAUAAUUUAUGAAUAAAAGAAGAAUUGUAUACUCAUAAGAGUAUAGUAGUCCUACUCCUUAUCAAAAAAUAUCUAGUUUUCUUCUACUUGUCUUAUCUUUUCUUUUUUUUUCAAAUAACAAAAACCCAAAAUCCCUACAAAGCAUUUCUCAUUAAAAUAAUUGUUAAUUACACAUUUAUCCCUAUAAAAAAUGAAAUUUCAUAUUUAUUGUACAUUUAUGCCUACAAAGUUUAACCCUAUUUUUUAUGAAAAAUAUGCAAUCAAACUGCAUAUUCUCCAUAAAGAAAAGGAUUUUAAAAGGGUUUAUUCAUAUUUAACAUUAUUUAUCAAUUCCAAUAUUUAUAGAAACUACUUUUUGUAUUAUUUUUAUCGAACCAUAAAUUAUAAAUUCUAAAAAAAUUAAAAAAAAUAGUGGCGUAACGGUCUAAAUGGUGAAAAUUUACAGGUAACGUCUACGUCCGGAGCUAAAUUUGCAGAUUUUCAAAGCUUCAGAGAAAUAUAUUUUAUAAUUAAAACUUUAUAGGGAUAAAAUUAUAAUUUAAAAAGUGCACAGGGCUACAAAUGAAAUUAUCCCCCAAAAAAUUAGCUCGUGCGGCAAUUUCUAAAUGCCCUAUAGUUGAGGGGGUCUCCGUACAUUUUUAUCUUCUGAAAAUGACUCAAAUAAAGGAGCUUAAUUUUCUCAUAUUAGAUAUUCAACAUCUUUUUUUAUAGGGACCAAUUUCUCAAUAAAAAAAUCCUUUUAGAGAUCUUGGAGAAUGAAUUGAGACCAUUCAAUUCAGAAUCUCCCCACACGUGUAAAUUGUGUCCAAAUUGAUCACGUGAUUCACAUAUAUAUAUUCUCAUUAACUUUUUGUGACGACAAAAGAUUUUGUGUAUUUUUUAAAAAAUAUAGAUAAAUAUGAAGGAAACAGAAGCUAAUUCUCUGCAAACUUAAAAUUUUAAAAAAUUCUCCUUAUUGUAUAGAGAAGGUCUUUUUGCAAAAAAAAACUACUAAUUUUGCCUUUUUAUAAAAGUCGAUCAGAAUUUUUUUUUUUUACGGAUUCAGAUCAAAAUUUUUGAAAACUGACAAAAAUAUUUUUGUACUCUAAACGCCCGAUCUCCUUCCUUCGCCCCUUCCUUGCAAGCCAUGUCUCCACUGCGUACCGGUAGCGGUCUCAAGCUUGCGUCUCAUCUUUGCCGCCCUCAUACUAAUUCUUCUAGCAUGUCUACGUCGUGAACACCUCACAAGGGAGAGAAACAUGGCGAACUUGAACCCCUCAUCGUCGUGGCUGCUCAGUACUUCGCCGAAGAUGGAGACUAAGGUGGCAAAGGAGAAGCGUGACGAUCAUUGAUCGAGAAUACUUUCAAAGUAUGUUCAUGGCGAGUAUGACCGAUGGUGACGAUAGUGAAAGAAAAAAAAAAUUGACAAACAAAAUAAUAUUGCACUAUUUAUUAAGAAGUUUUAUUAUUCAAAAAUAUGUUGUACUAUUUAGUAAGAAAGUUGCACUAUUUUAUAGUUUAAUAUAUGUAUUAAAUAGUGUAACUUUUUUACUAGAUAGUGCAAUAUAUGUUCGACCUUUAUGCCCAAAAAAGGCCUAAAAAAUUAGAAAGUAUAUUUAAUCAUGGCCAACUUGCAUGAAAAAUCUACAGGUUUUGCAUUCUUAAAAAAAUAGACCAUAUUUUGAAAAAUAUUCCUCUUUCUCUCUUUUUUUUCUCUCUCUCGUUCAUUUUUCUUCUCCCUCUUUGUCUUUAUUAUUCUCGCCGUCUCUUCAUCUCCCUUCUCCUCUUCCUCCACUGUCUCCAUGUUGAUCCUGCGUUUCUCUUUUUUACCUUACCCACACAUCUGUUGAUGCAAACUCGGAUAUGGCACAGAUUGUGGAGGUGAGAUUGUGGUGGAGGCUGUGGAUGUGGAUGACGAUAGCCAUGGUGACAAUUGUACCGCACGAUUUAAGGACGACAGGGAGGAAGAGUGGGUCUGGACAGGAGCAACUAUUGCGUCGAAGGGCGAGAGAGGAGGUAUGAUAGUAUAAAAGGAUGCAUAAGGUGGAAGAAAAAAAUAAAAAAUAAAUUUUCUUCUUCUAGGAAGGCAAUCAUAUGAGGUGGUCGCUACAGAAAAGGCCAAAAAGCAAAAAAUAGAAGAAGAAGAAGAAGAAGAAGAAGAAGAAGAAAUUACACUUGUUAAAAAUAAAGUUGCAUUAUUUGAAAUUAAGUUGUACUAUUUGAGGACAUGUUGUACCAUUUUAAAUUAUUUGAGAUAAGUUCGACCUUAUAAAAUAGAAAUUACACUAUUUGAGACUUAAGUUAUACCACUUAAAAUUAUUUGAGAAUAGCUUGCAACUUCUCAAAUAAUAUAAUUUAAGCCUUAAACAAUGCAACUUAAUCUCAAACAAUACAAUUUCUAUUUUUUGUGGUGCAAUUUAGUCUCAAAUAAUUUUAAAUGUAUAACUUAACCUUAAACAGUACAACUUUUUUUUUUCUUCUUAAUUUUAUCUUUAUUUCUUGGCUUUUUCCGUAAUGGCCACGGCGCGUGAUGGUCUUCUUAGAAUAAAAAAUAAAUAUAUUUUUUCUUCUUUUUUUUCCACCUUCUGUAUCCAUUGCCACUAUCGUGCCCUCUCCCUCUCCCUUUGCCGCAGCAGCCACCCGCUUCCCAAUGAACUCUCCUUCCUCGUCAUCCUCAAAUCCUGUAGCAUCCUCGUCGAUCGCCAUCGCUAUCGUUGUCCAUGACCAUAUCCUCUCAUGCAGUCACACCUUCGCAAUCUCUACCAUAGGAAUUUACGUCGUCACUGCCGACAUCGGUGGAGGCUCAUGCUAGACAAGAGAGAGAAGCAUGAUGUCAGCAUUGCAGUGGUGGAUAAGGAGGAGAAGAGAAAGGAAGUGGAAGGAGAAAGAGAGAAAGAAAUAGUGAGAACGAAGGAGAUUUGACGUGGAAGAGAAAAACAAACAAAAGAGAGAAAAGAGAGUGUAACGACCCAGCCCACUAGCAACAAUAACUCGUUGGACCCAAACACCAGCCCAAAAUAUUUAAGCCCAGUUAUUAUUGAUGUGGGAUUAUUGGCACACACACAGCUAGCCCAAGAUCACCAGGCGAUGUGAGACGCGUCUCACUAGCCUUGUCAUUCAGACCCUGACAUAGCCGGUCACCUUGUGAUACAGGCUCCGGCAUAGUCUAUCACCUUGUUUUUCAAAUCCUGAUUCAGCCGAGACUAGCCACAAAUUUUCGGCUAGUGAUUGGAUAUCAAAUGUAACGACCCAGCCCGCUAGCAACAAUUACUCGUUGGGCCCAAACACCAGCCCAAAAUACUUAAGCCCAGUUAUUAUUACUAGUGUCUAAGUCUCUAAUAUACCUAACCACAUUCCCAUUCAUAUCCGAUGUGGGAUUAUUGGAGUGUGACUGAGAAAGAACGAAAAGUAAGGAUAUUUUGAUCAAUUUAUUGAAAAUUCAAACCUAAUUGUAAAAUCCAAAAAGAUGGUCUAUCUUCACAAAAAUACAAAACUGCUAGAUUUUUUUAUAUAAAUUGACCAUUAAUCUCUCUCCUAAUUCUAUAAAAUUGUAGUGGAGAACAACCGCCGACUUUUUAUAGCAUCAGAGAAUUUAAAGUGCUUUCGUAUCAUUUGGCUUUUGAAGCAUGAAAUCAGAUGCUUUUGAAAACCGUAGCGCCAAAUUAGAAUCAAAUUGUGAAGAGCUAGAUAUGGAAACUCUUAUUUUAGGCCUUUUUUUUUGUAAGUAAUUAAAUUACUUGCACAUAUUUUAUGUGCUCUAGCCUUUUAGUUUAUUCUUUUUUGAUACAUCAUGUUAUCUUAAAAAUAAAUUUCAUGAAAAGAUCAUGGAGAAGACCAAAAUGUUUAUCUCUACUUUAUUAAGAUUAUAGAAUUGUAAUAAAAUAUCAUUAUAUACUAACUUGAUACGCUUUAACACUUUAAACCAUAUUGUACUAAAGUGAGAAAGUACGAAAUCACAGGAAGGGUAUUUAAAGUUUUUCCUAAAUAAAUUUAAUGAAAAGAUCAUGGAAAAGACCAAAAUGUUUAUCUCUACUUUAUUAAGAAUAUAGAUUUGUAAUAAAAUAUCAUUAUAUCCUAAAUUAAAAAUAUAUUAAAGAUGGACACUAAAGUUAUAGGCACACAUAUCUCUCUAAUCAAUUGAGCAUAUGCCAAUAAAGUUUAUCUCUACUUUGUUAAGAAUAUAUACUAGUAGUUAGCUAAUAAAAGACUUAAAAAUGAUGCUCUUAUCUUAACAAUAUAGAAUUGGGCAUGACUUUUGAGGAUUUAACAAAAAUGCCCUUCAAUUGGAUAAAACUGUUUUAUUAGUUAUCAAUCUCCUUGUUAAUGAUUUGUUAAUUUGCUUAAGAUAUACAAAUGUAUUUUGCUUUUUUUUAAUGUAGCUUAGUUUUGCUUUUUCUUUGUUACGAUAAAAUUAGGCUUUUGGGUACAAAAUAUUGAGAAAUAUAGAAAAAAAAAAUAAAGCAUACAAAUAACUAUCAUAGCUCAACCACUGGCCUACAUUGCGAAUCAAUGACAAAGUGAAACUAUUAUUAGUAGUCAAAGUAAAACCAAUUUAUUGAUUUAUUACUUAUGAUUCUUUAUAUCCAUGCAUAUAUAUACACACAUAACUCAUUGAGAUAAAAGAAAAAAAAAAUAGUAGUUCAAUAAACCAUAUACAACAAUAAAACUAAAUCCAAGUAUAUGUAUGUAAGUUACAAGUCAAAACAUUUAAUUAGGUUUUUUUUUCCUUAGACAUGCUUUACAUAUAUUGGAUCUGUGAAAUUGAUUAAAAGUAAAAGAAUGAAAGAUACCAUACUUGUCCCAUUUUAUAAUUUCUCAAAUUUUAGAACAUUGUAGAGAAAUAAAAAUGCUUAUUGUUUUUCAUUUUUUGUUUGCUACAUUUUAUUAGUACUCUAAUUAAUUCCUUAUUAAUAACCUCAUCAAAAAAAUUCCCAUCCACUCUAUGUUAUUCCAAAAAUAGAAUAAAAUAAAAUAAAUUUAAUCUAAUCCGUAUUCAUUAUAUGCAAUAUUAUAUCCAAAUUAACAACUUGCUUAAAAGGCAAAUUAUUUAAUUAAGGAGCCAAAUCAAAAUACUUCUUAAAGUAAACGGAGGAGUUUACUUCGUAUCCGUUCCGAUGAGUGGGCAUUCGAAUCAAUAAUCGAUACUAUUAAAUCUGAUUUAGGUUGUUUAAUUGAAACUUUUAGGCUCCAAAUAUCGCUAUUUUUCGAUAUCAUUUGUCUAUUAUUUAAGUGAUCUCCAAAUUAACUUUUUUUAAUGGCUAAUAUAAGGUGAAUUUAUGACUACUUGAGAUUACCAAGCAAAUAAUAUCAUAUAAUUACGAAAUUCGAUUCUUGUAAAGUUUAAAUAGUGUAGAUCAUAUUUAACGGAGCUGACACCGAUUCGAAUCCCUCUUCACCAUAAAUGGCACAAAAGUAAAUGCCUCCAUUAUUUCUAGCUAGAAGUAUUUGAGCUUUAUUUCUAUUCAAACCCAUAUUGUUAAAGUUGUUAAUAUUUCAUUUCCAAAUAUAUGUACAACUUAUUUUAUGUUUAAUUUGGAAUUAUUGGAGCGUCACAUUAUCAUUUAUAUACUUUAGUACAAAAGCACCUCCUAACAAUUUUAUUCUAUUGCCACCACUAUUGUUGUUGCGAGGGCUAGCAAUCCAACUCGUUGUUUCACGACCCAGCUCAUAAUCAGCUCGAAAAUGAGCUCGAGAUCGAUCGCUCAUUUAAUAAAUAAGCCAAACACGAAUUGAAUUUUUCAGCUUGAUAUUUUAACAAGACGGCUAGUGAUUCGGAUUAUUUAAUAAACGGGCCGAAUAUAAGCUGGCCUUAACUCGCUCGCAUUCGGUUCGUUGACUGUUGUACUUGUUGCUAUUGUAUCAUAAUUAAUUGUUAUAUUUUUUUCGUAUAAAAUAUAUAUAUAUAUAGCAGGGCUACUGUGCUAUUAGGAGCACGGCAGUCCUUGUGCUCUUAACUUUCUAACCACCCAUUAAAUUUGAUGGGUGGUUAGAAUGAGAGGAGGAAGAGAAAUUAGAGAAAAAUUGGAUGUCUCAAUUUCUCUUUUCCUUGAAUUUUUUUUUCAAUAUCUCUUUCCCUUUUUUUUCUAAUCACCCAUCAAACUUGAUAGGUGGCUAGAAAGUUAGGAGCACAAGGGCUGCUGUGCUCCUAAUAGCACAGUAGCCCUGCUCUCUCUCUCUCUCUAUAUAUAUAUAUAUAUCAAUAUAUAUAUAUAUAUAUUGAUUUUUUUAAAAAUGUUAGAAAGAAAUAAUAAGAUUAGUUUUUUUUUUUUUAAAAAUAUUUAAAUAGCAGUGAUGGCUCUAUUCAUGAUUGCUUUAUUUACCAAACUCCUCUUUUUUUUCCUCUACUUUUAAGCUCUUUUUUUUUGUUUCUUGAUCCCAUUGUGGCCACACCCACUAUUAUCCUUUUCUAAAGUGAGCCAAAAUACCUUUUUAUCCAACUUUGUACUAAAAUCCCAAACAAGUCAAAAAGCAUUUGCCAUGAUAAAUUAUUGCCCACCCUAAAUAUAUAAAUGCACCACAUGCAACACCUAAUAUUUGAAAACUAUUAGCUUCAAAUUAAUAUUUAAAAUUUAAACUAUAAUUUGUAAUAUCUAAAAAGGAUAUCUGUCUAUGUACCACUCAAAACCUCUAAAAUAUUUGAUAUACCUCUACUUUUUUGUGUUUCAAAUAUACCCUCCUAUAUUUUUUUCAUUAUUCAAAACCUCUAAAGGGGAUAAUAUGCUUUGACCUCUUAAAAAAUAAAAAAUAUUCACUUCGGUCCCCGCCGUCAGUAUUCCGUUAGAGUUCUGUUUAUAUUUUAUUUUUUAUACUCAAAAUAUUUCUGAAACCCUCAUACAUACUCACACACAUGCCCUCUGUUGUCGCCUCGCUGUCGCCUACCCCUCUGUCCAUGCCCAGACACAAGCCCUCACCCUCCUCUGUUGCCGAGAUAAGCAAGAUUGGAGAGGAGGAGAUAAAGAAGAUAAGGGCGAUUUGGUCAUUUUGUCACACAGUACCCCCAACGAAUAUUUUUUAUUUUUCAAGAAGGCAGAGUGUAGGCUUUUCAAUAACUAGAAAAAAUGAAAAAACAAAUAUUAACAGCCUAUAAGAAAUUAUGUCAUUUGAAAAUUUGCAACUCAAACAUAACAUACUCUCAAAAUCCACAAAAAAAUAGCCAAUAUCAUUUCUUUUGUAAAAAAUUAAUAUACUCAUGGUUUUUUAUUCCUUUUAGCACUAACAAAAAUUUGAAUGUCUUUCUUAUUUCUUUCUCUUUGGAUACUAUAAAAUAAUGAUUAGAAUUAUUAUAAUACCAUUAAAAAAGCAAACACUACUUUAUUCUCCGGAGACGACUCCUACCCAUAGUUAGUUAAUUCGGAUUCGGCAAAAAUUUGGUACGGAUAUAAUACGUAUAAAAUUCGUUUUCUAAUUUUUAAAUUCGUUGAAAAAUUCGGCUUAAAAAAGGAAUUCGGUAUAAAAUAUAAAAUAUAAGAUAUAAAAUAUAAAAUAAUUUAUAUUUAAAAAUAAAAUUAUAAGUUUUUUAUUCAUAUUUUUAAUAAUUCGGCAAUAAUUCGCUAAUAAUUUGUGAAUUAUUCGUGAAUAAUUCGGCUGGCCAAAAAAUUCGCGAAUAAUUCUCUUUCUUUCGGAAAAAUUCGUAAACGGACCGUUUAAUUCGGAUUUUCAAUAAUUCGCGAAUAAUUCGCGAAUUUACUAACUAGGCUCCUACCAGCAUUUUGCAGCAUUAGAGGAGAAAAGUUUUAAAUUGGUUUCAAAAGUUUCAGACAUCUCUGAAACAUUAAAACUCGUGCUUUUCCAUAUUACUUUAUAAACCUGAAUCGGAAUAUCAUAAAACGUAUUCGAUAAGUUAGAUUACGAUUUUGUUUAUUUUAUUACAUGAAAAUUAAAUAUUGUAAAAAUAUAUUUGUAAUUUACUAUGUUUACAAGGACCGGUAUGCAAUUAACCCUAAAAAAAAAAAAAAGCCUAAAUAUAGAUAAUAGAACCAAAUCUUAUAACUCGUAUAUUUUAUUUAUGUAAUGGGAUUUUACAAGUGUAUGAAAUUUACUUUAUACACCCGGUGCAACGAAUAAUUUCGCAGUAGCCAUAAAACACGGUCAGUUUACGUACAAAACCGAAUCGCUGGCACAAAAAAUGCCCACGGUUUCUUCGGAAAUUUACGAUAUUGCCAUCACAGCAUCAACGGUCACAUCAAUGCGCACGCUUUUCGACGCGUGCCCCGCAGUUGACUCCUCCCCCAGUUAGCGGCGUCCCCCGUUGACCAAACAUACGUGGGAUCUCGUACACUUAAGGUCGUAUCUACCAGUCCUUCCGCCAAUAGAAAAUUGCCACGUGGGGGGCAAAAAUAGGUAUUGGACACUUGUCGAAGCCUCUCACUUCCUCUCCUCCCACCGUCCUCACGUCCACGACACGCUCCUCUCUUCUAUCACACCUACACCUCAAUCAAUAUCAGUGGUGACAACGUAGGAUCAGAUAUGAUAUAGAUUGUGAAGGCGAGGUUACGGCAGAGUGCAUGACGUGGAUGACAACAACGAUGAGGGUACCGCAAAAUUUGAGAAUGAUGGGAAGGGAGAGAGCGUGUUAGGGUCAGGGCGGGGGCUACGACAGUGGGCGAGGGAAGGGCGCCGUAGCAGAAAAGGAGACUAAGUUAAAGGUGAGGGUGCAAGCGUCGGAAUUGAAACUAAAUUGCAUUGUUUAAGACUAAAUUGCCUAUUUCGAACUAACUUGCGCUAAAAUAAUAGAAAUCAUACUAUUUGAGGCUAAACUGCACUAUUUAAAAAGUUACAAAAGCAAAAAGUAAUAUAGAAUUUGGAUUUAAAUUUAAAUUCAUGGCUUAAAUUCAAAAUGCUUGAUUGAAUUUAAAUUUCAAUUUCAAGUUCAAAUCAAAAUAAAAAAUAAAAAAAUCAAUUUCUAAAUUUAAACUUAUAUUUUAAUUAAAAAUUAAAGUUAGCAAAUUAAAUUAAAUUUUGAACUAAAAUAUAAAAUAUAAUUAAAGUACUUUCGGAACAAGCAUUCAUCUCAAGGUCCAUUUGGUUCACAAUAUUUCAAAUUCUUAUGAAAAAAUAAAUUUUUAGAAUUUAGAUGCAUCCAAUUUGGAUGUAAUUUUAACUUUAGUAUUUGGAUCUCUUUUUACAAUUUCAAAUGUAGCAGUUACAUACUAAUGCAUUACAUUCUCAUGCAAUUAAAACUACACUUCAGUAGUGAAUACUUAUAACAAAAUACUAAAAAUUGUUAACACAUCAACGGCCUAUUAGAGGAUCCUUUAUAGGGGACCUAACAUAUUUCCUAUUUUUUAAAUAAUCCCUUUAAAUUAAUAUGUUUCAGCUUCUAAUUAUAACUUUAAUUACGGUCAAAUCCUAAUUAACUGUCUUAAAAUUUUAAAAAAAUAGAUAGUUGAAUUAAAAUGAGUUGAUUAGGAUUUUUCUAGUUGAAUUAAAAUGAGUUGAUUCAACUAUCUAUAUUUUAAAAAUUUUGGUUUUUCUUCUAAUAUUUUAAAUUUAAACGCGCCAAUUUAUUUCUCCAUUUAUAUCAUAACAAUCCAGCUCGCUAGUAUUAAUAACUCGUCCGGUCUAAUUAUUUGAAUGAAGAUCACCGAUUCUCAUAUUUUUAAUCAUAAUUCGUUUUUCAUCUGAUGUGAAACCAUUGAGAUGUUAUACACUCUCUUUUUAGACUCCGACAGGGUUGGUGGAUCUCACACUUUCGGCUGAUAUUGAUCUAUGAUACCAAAUAUAACGACCCAACUAGUAAUACUAAUCAUUAAUUAUGUUCAAAUUAUCGGCCCAAAAUAUUAAAGUUUAAUUAUUAAUUCUAAUGAUGAUUGCUAUAAUCCUCUCGUUCUCUCAUAAAUUAUCUGAUAUAAGUAUACAUAUGAGUCCGACUACCAUACUUUUACAAGUAUAUGCUCCUGUGUACACAUAAGGUUUCGGUCGUCAGAUCUACCCCUUUGAUCAUUUCUAUCCGUUAGAUCAUACUAUUCAACCAAUAGCCCACUUAAUCUUAGGGGACCACUAUCAUCCUAACCGUAUAUAUCUUCAUCCAAUGAUUGAAAAUUUAUAAGUAUAAAAAAACUUAUACUCAUAAGAAUAUAGUAGCCCUAGCUGUAUACAUAUACUGUAUUUAUAAUUACAUCCAAUCAAGCUGUGGGUACACAAGGGCCAAGGCGGAACAAUGACAAUGGUGUUUUUGUACACGUGGCGAUUGACAACAAAUAGGGGUAUAAUCGUAAUUGAGGAAAAGGGUGAGGGGCAUUUUCGGUAAUUCGCAUUCGUAGUUGAGAGUGAUCCUUGGGCUUCGCCUACAAAUAAGCCCUCGCCCCGCGCCUUCUUUCUCUCUCUACUUCUAACUGUUUCUCUCUCUUCUUCACCGCGUUCGAAUUCUCUCUCUCCUCUCUCUCUCUCUCUAGGGUUUUGAUCCCACGAAGCCUCUCCAUUCUCGCAUCCCGAUCCCGGGAGGGGCGAUUCUAGGGUUUCCGCCGUUGAUCACGGAUCCGUUGCGUGGUUUCUGAGGGUUUUGAUCGGGGGAGGUUUGGGGUUGGGGGUAGGGAUUUGAUGAGGUUCGACGGGGAGAUCCCGCUCUGGGAUGAGGAGGAGGAGGAGGAGGAGAACGAGAGGGUCUCGGCCAUGGCGUGCCCCACGCCGCCCCAGAAGCUCGUCGUGGGCUACGCCCUCACGUCGAAGAAGGUGAAGAGCUUCUUGCAGCCGACGCUCGAAUCCCUCGCUAGGUAAAUUCGUGGUAAAACCCUAAAAAUCUCGUGACUUGUACCUUUGCUUAAUCAAUUUACCCAACAUUUGUGCUACUCUCUUUUCCCUGUUUUAUUGGAUACCUUUUAAUCGAUAAAAGGUUAUAUUUUUCGCCACUUUCAUGUUUUUCCCGUACAAAUCAAGCAAAAUAAUUGAUAAAAUGUUACGGAAACCCUAUACUUUCCAUACUUUGGGGAGGAUUAUCCGGAAUAUGUUCUUUUAUUUGAGGAGAUUAUCCAUCAGUUAAUUAAUUAAUUAAUUAAUUAAUUCAAACUUAGUAGCUUCUAAUUCUUAUAUUAAGUUGACUCAGCGAGGAAUUUCCCAAAUGAAUUGAUAAUUUCAACUUGAUACCCUGAUCUAUCGAUUCUUAGAUUGUAUUCUGGAGUAUCUGGAAUCUGGGUUUCUCAGUUGGAAUAUUCUUGUGCAUUUACAUCACCAGGGUCAGGACAGGGACUUGUGAAUUAAUUAUGCUUGUUACCCCGGACGUACAGAUAUAUUUACUGCAUGUUGUGUUUCUUAUGUCACAUAAAAAUAUAUGGCUUCUAUAUUGCAGAAAAACCCCUUACACUUUUGGCUGUUUCGCAAGUACCCUCGAGCAUAAAAACUUGUAUUGAUUUCAACCCUGUGCUUUGUCACUGUGUCAAUUUGGCCCAAAAAGUUUGGGAUGACGGUUGAAUUUAGAUGCAAAACUUCACUCUAAUGUUUUAAUAUAUUACGUUGCUAUGUUGGUUUUAUGUCUGAACACUUUUGCUGCCAUUGCUACGUGCAUAAUGGAUCUAAAAUUAGAGAAAAGAGUCUCCUGUAUCAGAGCUUUCAAAAUUGGUUGUUAUCAGAUAAUUUAUCUAAAUUAUCUAUUAUCAUUGUCAUCCACCAAUUUGUUUUCGUGUAGUUUUGCAUUUGAAAUCAUUUAUCAUUCCAGGUUUUUGGAACAGUUGAAAGUGUUAGUUAAAAUUGAUGCAUUCUUUUACACAAGGGAGUAAUUCAAACGCAAACUGAAGUGCGAGGGUUAUCUUUUUUCUUUCAUAAUUCAACCUUUAAUACAUUGCAUAUUUUGCUCUGUCAAGUUUUGGAUUAGGUAUGAUAGUAAUUGGAGGCUAUAAUAUCAUCUAUAUAUGUAGCCUGAUGACAUCAUGGUUUUGGUAAAUUUAUGCAUGUAUGUAUUUAUUUAUUUAUUUUAUAUGGUCAAUAGUACUCUCAUAAUUUUAUUUACUGGUUAAAAUUUGUUUAAUUUACUGCACAAGAUUCAUCCUCUGUGAUGAUAGGUUUCUUCAUCUUUUCAAGGACACCGUAAAGAUGACUGAAAAUAAGUUUAGGGUAUUUUUGUUUAUUUGUUCUUUGGUCAAAUUUUUGUAAUUUCGAAGGACAUAUUCAGAGAGUCCUUUAAUUUUUUGACAUGUCCUGUAAUGAAGUCUUUGUUUUUUUUUCUUUUCACUAUAGUAGUUAAAUGUUUUUUUUCGUUUAAUUAAACAGUUAGAAACUGUAAUUCCUUGUGUUUAUUUGGCCUUACAAAAUUGAUGCAGGAAGAAGGGCAUUUGUUUCGUUGCAAUCGACCAAGGCCUUCCUCUUUCAAAACAAGGUCCUUUUGACAUCAUUCUGCACAAGGUCUGCAGUUUACUUUUAUUGGAUGUGCUUGUCUUUUUUCCGUCAGUUGCAUAUCUUUUCCAGUCUUUGUUCAAGCAUGCUUCCUUUUUUGGAAAAGCUAAUUAAUCUGUUUUGUACUUUUAUAGCUAUGAAUAUUUAAUGAACCUUUAAGCAAUUUGGGCCUAAUAAGCUUCUUUAUCGGUUUUUUCUUUUUUCAGUUAACGGGAAAAGAUUGGCAACAGAUUCUAGAGGUUUGUGUUUCCGAGUACUUUGAAAUGUUCAUGUUACCUUGAGUGUCCUGCUUAUGCAUUUGUUCUUCCACUUAAUAUGACAUACCAAGCUUUAAAUAUAUAUUACUAUGAUAUGAUUGCUAGGUCUCUUCCAAAGGAUGGUCAAUUAUGAUCUGGCUUUAAAAGACACGCUGAAAGCUACUAGCUUUUAAAACUUAUUUGCUUCUGAAAUAAUUUGCAGAGUGCUUAGGUAAAUGUUGAAGUCUCGACAAUUCAACAUCCGAGGAUUGUACUUCCUGAGACCAGCUAAUCUAGCCUCUGAUAUCAUUUCUUGGUGACUUUCAGGUUUAACGCAUUUAAUUUGGAUUUAAGCUAGGCAUGCCCAGUAGCGAGGUUUUUUUGAAAUGAAUGAUUACUUGGGUGUUUGAAACAUGUUAUGAGUUCUAUUGAGCACCUUUUCACUCUAUGAAAUUUUGACCCCAAAAAACAUUGAAAAUUAGCUCACCCAGUUAUCAUAGUUUUCUGGAUUAUUGAUGCUGGAUGUAUUCAAUGUGCUCUAAUCUGUAAUUCUGCUAGCCUAAUUUGUUUAUCUAGUAUUUACGAAAUGUCCCUCUUCUUUUAUCUCAUAUGUUGUGAACUCUAAAGUGCCGCUGGACAAUACACUAAAUUGAAUAAUCUUGAUACUUAAAUAUCUUGAAUUUCAAUGCACCUAGUUAUAUUUUGUGCAGUUCCAAUAUAUAUUUGCUUAUUGGAUAUUCUCUUUUUUAUGUUCUUUAACAAAAAGGCAUAACUUAUGUUGAAUUCCUCAUAAUCUUCAUGUUCUUGAAGAUUUGUGGGUUGCUCGCGCUCCUGUCAGCAUCUAACUUCUCUGUUAUCAUUAAGAAAUGGAAAACAUCAUAAAAAACUGUUAAUCAAAAGAAAAGGAAAUCAAGCAUGCCCGAAGCAGGGAGGUACCCCUGCCUCACAAUCCGCCCUUGCACAAUUCUGUAUGUUUAUCUUCUGUACUGUGGUGCAUGCUUCUAUCAGCACUUGUCUAGAGCUCAGGGGGUGCUUCACUAAGUAGUGUUAGUGUGAAAAUGCAUAGAGCCUUCCAAUCCUAGCAGUUUUUUUUAGCAUCCCCAGCACAUAUUUAUGCUCUUCAAUUAAGUUAUGCGUAUCCUUGAUAGGAUUACUUUGAAUUAUUUUGUAACACUGCACCUUAUAAGUACUUGAUAUAAAAUCGAGUAUUAGAACAAUACUUGUCUGUCUUGGUAAAACAUAUCUUAAAUGAUCAACUGAUCCUUUGUUUUUUUUUCUUUGUUCUUCUGAAUUAUGCUUGAAAUUCUUUUACUAUAAUGCGGUUGAUGGCAGUUAAAUCCAUCUUUAAGUUACUGUUUUCGAAAAGAAUUGUUGUUUUGAUGUUUCCUUUGUUUUAAAUUAAAGGAUUAUCAAGAAGAUCAUCCAGAAGUGACCAUCCUUGACCCACCCGAUGCUAUACGACAUUUACACAAUCGCCAAUCGAUGCUUCAGGAUGUAGCUGACUUAGACUUAGCAGAUUGGAAUGGUAAUUCCAUUAAGAUUAAUCUUCCUUGAGCGUAGGCAACUAUUUGAAGCAUUCAUCCUUUUUCAUGGACAUGUUUUCUAUUUCUUGCUAGCUGCUAUUAUCUAUAGAUACCACUAGUCUAUCAAAAUUUGAAUAAGCUCUUCAAAAGGCCAAUGAUUUUGUUAUUGAAAAUAAUUUAUUGUUUUAGUAGGUGUUCCAAAUUUGUGACCAUUGGUGGAACUCGAUGAAUAUUUAGUCAUUGAUUUUUAGAGUAUCUUUUGACCUUGACUGUCCUACUUUUGUGGCGUCUCAAAAUGAAUAUCCUUUUAUGUUGGUUGGAAUAGAUUUAAAGGUUUGCUUCUGGUUUUGAUUUUCUUUAUGAGGUGACUGCAUGGUGCAUUUCAGGUAAAGUUGACAUUCCUAGGCAACUAGUUAUUACCAAAGAUCCAUCUUCAAUACCAGCUGCAGUCACAGAGGCUGGACUAACACUACCUUUAGGUAAAUCUUCUAUCGAUUCGUCUAUUUUAUUGUUUAGCUCUAUUUUACCGAGUUACCUCCUGUAAACAAUGCCAGCUGUAAUAGAUAAACCAUGAAGAGGCAGUUUUGUUUCUAUUUGGUCUGCAUAUGUUUAUUUUAUAGUAUAGUUAUGCUGGUUAAGUAGCAAAUCUCAACUCUCUUGUUUGGUGUCUUCUAAUUAGUGAGGAACUUUGUUUUUGCUGUGAAUUCGGCAGUAACUAACCUAAACAACUCCAUGAGAGUUCUCAUCCAAGCCCUUUCUUGUAAGUACAACACCUUUAGGCCAAUUCACCGGAUCACUACUGAGAUGUUAAGACCUCUUUUUCCUUUUUGUUGUUUUCCUAAGAGCAAAUGAACCAGUAGAUGGAUUUUGCUAUUUUCUGUGAUUGUUGGUUACUGGUUAGCUUGUGAUAUGUCCAAACGAAAUGCAGAAUGACAUCUUUGCAAGAAGACAAGAAGUGAAAAAAAAAGUAAAUUUGUUUUUGUUUUCUGUUGCCAAUCAAAUCCCAUAAAUUGCAAGGAAUCCACUAUGUAGAAUUGUGUUGAGAAAAAAACAAAGAGGAGGGAAGUGGUGUCAAAUGAGGCCUAAAUUAUUUACUAAUUGUUGAUGCUGUAGGCAGACUGACAGAUAGACUGUAUAGUAUUCCAGCCUAGUGACUGGUUUUCCGACUGAUAAAUUGUAUGCUAUUCGUAGACAACUAUGACCGACACCAAACAUAUAGGCUCAACUGUGCAUAAUACAUGCAAUGCUGUAUUCAGCUGUUGUUCUGAUUGUACAUUUUAGGUUGUUCCAAGACCUUGACCGUCAUUUAAUACACAAAUGCUUAUUCAUAUAACUGGUAUUUGUUGUGUACAUGUGGACUGCACAUUAAAUAUUCAAAUUUCAGUGUUAUGAUGGUACCCAUUUUCAUUUUUGAAUCGAAGAAGAAGAUCGUACUUAUGCGUAAACCAUCUAUCUUCUGCAGUAGCCAAGCCAUUAUUGGUUGAUGGAAGCGAAAAGUGCCAUGAAUUAGCUCUCGCUUACGAUCAGUUUUCCUUGUCAAAGCUCGAGCCACCUUUGGUUCUCCAGGAAUUUGUGAAUCAUGGUAAACUUGGAACUACUACCAUUUUGCCUCACACCGGUGGAUAAUUGGAACAUUUUAUUGAAUUCAACUUUUGUUGUAUUUACAGGGGGUGUUCUAUUUAAGGUGUAUAUUGUUGGGGAAAGUGUUAGGGUUGUGCGCCGUUUUUCCCUUCCUGAUGUUAAUAAGAGUGAAUUGUUGAAUAAUUCUGGUGUUUAUCGGUUUCCGAGGGUUUCUAGUGCUGCAGCUAGCGCAGAUGAUGCAGAUCUUGACACUAGUGUUGCUGGUAUGGUUCAUUGUGACGCUUUCCCCUUCUCUUUGACUUUCUGAUACUAGCAAAAGAGUUCAAUUCAAAUUCUUGUUGGUUUAAAAUUGAAAUAUUUGCUUUCUUUUUUGUAUACAGAACUUCCUCCAAGGCCACUGCUCGAAAGUCUAGGCAAAGAACUUCGUCGACGGCUGGUAUAUUACUUUCUAUUUCAGGAUUAUACAUUUAUCUUUUAUAUAUUAUCUGAUCACUUGUCUUAUAUGUGUAGGGACUUAGACUGUUCAAUAUAGAUAUGAUCAGAGAGCGCGGGACGAGAGACCGGUUCUAUGUCAUAGAUAUCAACUAUUUCCCUGGCAAGUCAACACUAUUUGCUUAUAAUAUGAAAUGCAAUGCUCAUUUUCAUUCCACAUAUCUUUUUACUGUUGCUCUUCCUUUUUCGAACUUGACCCGCAUAGUUGUGUCUGUUAAUAAAGAAUAGGCUUGCGAGUCUCUGAUAAAUGUGGAUGAUUGAGUAAAAGUUUGUUAUCCCUACCUCUGACGCAUGUAAAGUUCAUUAAUGGCAUUGGUUGGUUCAAAUUUUCCGGUUUGCUGAAACUUACCUCGAACUGAAUAGCCCCUUUAAGACGAGAGCUUUGUGCAGCAACUUCUUGUCAGUCUCGGGCUGAAGAUAAAUGAUCUAAGAAACAGAAAGCCUUUCUGAAAUCUUAUCCUAUUCUUCUUCCUAUGCUAAGGGGGCCUUCGCGUUCAUACUUACAUAAAAUAAUCUCUUAUGAAAAUUCUUGUUCCAAACCAAGGAUUUAGUGCUGUGCCUCGGAAUCGUGCCGGAAACUUGCCGGCACGGUAUGGCACGGUGCAUGCCGAUGCGUGCCGGUCAAAAAAAUUUUUGUGUGCCGACACAUAAUACUAUGAAAUAUUUAUUUUCUUUAGCAACAAAAUAUUCUAACUAUUUAUUAUGCCUUUUUAUCAUAUCUUUUCAAUUUUAUUGAGGAAAUUACUUACUAAUUUAAAGAAUAUAGGGUUUUAAGCUGUGCUAUCAAUACGGGGUCUGUAUCGUGCCGGUAUCUUAUUGGCACGGUAUGGCACGGUGGAUACGGCCCGUGCCGAUGGGCACUUAAAACUUUGUUCCAAACCUCAAGUCGAAAUACGAAAGGGAGAUCAAAUCAAAUUAAUCGGCCAAUAGAUUUAUCUUGUAGUGAAAAGCCUUUCGCAUUAUUAUGUCGUGGAAACGUAAUUAAUUUUGGAAGACGUAGUCUAUAGAAAGCGAUUGAAAUGUAUUAUUUGCCCUUGAAGCAUUAAAUUGAUUGACUAAUAAUGUUCCGCCAAAUGAUAUGAUUUCUGCCACUACAAAUGCCAGCCAUAAAUGAUUGCUACUGCAUGACAAUAAGUUCAAGCCAAUGCCCUCUCAUAGAGCUUUUCUUUUUCAGCUUUUUAAAGUGUUUGUUGUUGUUGCAGGAUAUGGUAAAUUGCCAGGCUAUGAGCACGUAUUCACGGACUUUCUCCUAAGCCUAGUGCAGAGCAAGUACAAACGGCGCUUGGCGAACAGUUAAACACGACGCGUCAUACGACACAUAAAAUUCCCAAAGUACCCAGAAAUCCACCUCUGCACAUACUCCCAACAAGAAUUCCCAUGUACAUAGCGGGGAUAGUUCCGGUGGGUGCUUUAGUCGCUGCGAGCAUAACCUCCCUCCUCACCCUUUGAAUUCACUGAAGUAAGCUCUUCUGCCACGAAUGUAUGCAAUAAUAUCUCCUUUAAUUACAAGCUUCUUAACCUUAGGUUAUUUCGUGUUUUAAGUUCCUUUUUGGAAAUUUUGAUAAAGAAGGUUGUUGAUUACUUUUGCUACGCUCAUAAUAGCUGAUAUAAACAUACAGAAAGCGAAUAUGCGAUUAGCAAAUGUUUGAAUGAUUAGACAUCUGAGAGAUAAUAUGUGGCUGUUGUAGUUUGAUAUUUCUAAUCUUGCAUUUACUGUAAUAGUAGCCUGAUAUCAUUGCAUGUUCCUUAUCCGAAGCACUCCGUACUCUCUUUUUGUUUAUAUUUGAAUUACUUGAUAUCCUGGCAGUGUUCUUUGUGCUAAUUAUUUUUUAAGAAAUUGCUUUGAUGUAAUAUGUAAAUGAAUGGUGAUAAAAUGCUUUCGUAUGUGUGUGGGGGUUACUCUUACCAGAUUCUAGUAGGAACUAAAGCAAUCCCUUAACCUGGGUUAUAUAUAUAGUAAUGAUUUUGAUGUAAGGGAGUAGUAGUAGUAGCAAUAUAGUUGUUUUUGGGUUAAUUAUGUUUUUUUUUUUUCUUGAGUAAAAAUAUACAUAACUUAUCUGAACUAUGGGCUAUUUUGAGUUGGCUAUCUAAUCUGUCAAAAUUUUAAUUUGACUAUCUAAUUUUUAAAUUUGCUUAAUUUGAAUCGGUCAACAGCAUUUUGAUCUCAGAAUUUGAACGCGCCGUUUAUCUUUUCAGGUUUAGAUUGUGUACUUUAUGUAACUCUUGCAAUUAUAAAUUUAUUAAAAUAAGUAAAAUUCGCUUAAAUAUUUAAAGUCGGAAUAUUGUUGAUUGAUUUAAAUUAAACAAAUUAUAAGGUUGGCUGGUAAAAUUAAUUUUGUAUAGCCAGAUUCAAAAUGGUCCAUAAUAGUGCUUCUACCUUUUUUCCUUUUUCCGUUCGCCCUUCUUAGCUAUCUUUGGUUCUGAUGAUUGAUUAGCUGUUUGCAAACUGAGGUGGAUGAUGGUUUCCGCCUCAACCUCGCAUCCUUUCAAAGAUGUUUGAUCAGAUCUUAAUUUUUGAGCAUUCAGGAAACUUACCAGCUGCAUCUCCCAAAUCAGCUUCUGUUUCUUAGAGCCAUCAUCCAAUGAACGCUAUUAGGUAAAUGAAGUUAGGUUGAAAGCAUAUAAAUAUAAAGAUAUAUACUCUCUCUCUCUCACUUAGAUCAUUGCGAUAUAAGCAACGUAUAUAACACACAAUUUUUCUGUAAUUCCAAACGGACAUGCGAGAGAGGCUCUGGUUGGAAAAAUUCUAGAACCUCUGGUUUGAAAAAUUUUAGAACGUAACGGAUGUAUUGAUGAUGUGGCGUAACAAAUUAAUUAAAUAUUUUUUUUUAGAAAUAUAUGUUCCAUCAUGAUUAUAAAAAAAAAUAUUUUUAUUGUACUUUUGUCUGAAAAAAAGAAAUGUGAUUGGCAUGAUAGGAAUGAUAGGAAUGAAAGGACAUAAUACAUUACAUAUUUGCAGAAAUACAUUAAAUUAUGCAGAGGAGCUGCUGCUGUUUCUGCUACCAGUCAUUCCCUUUCUCAUUGGCAUAACAUCAAACACUUCAUAGGCAAUUCUCAAAUCAAAUUAAACAAGCAUCAACUAACAAGGCAGAGAAGGCAAAUCAAAUUAAACAAGCAUCAGCAAACAAGGAGGAGGAGGAGGAGGAGGAGGAGGAGGAGGACACAACAACAAGAAACAACAAACCCUAGAAAUUGGGAGCGGCAACGGGUUCGGCUCCGGGUUCGGGUUCGGAUUCGGGUUGGGCGGGGUCGAGGAGGGUCCAAUCGGGGGGGAGAGUGGGGAGGGGAGGGUAGGGCGUGGGGCCCUUGCGCUUGACGUCCCAGGGCUGCGUCUUCUUGGGGCGCGUCUUCAUGUGGUGCGACGUCGCCUUCUUCUGCGGCCGCGACGAGCACUCCACCACCGCCAUUCCCGGCCCCAAACCCUCCUCCUGGUUCUUACCAUGCUUCUUGCUGCUGCUGUUCUUGUUGUCGCGUACGGCGCCGACGACGGAGGCUCGCCAAAUCCCUGCGGCGAUCGACGCCAUUGAUGAGCUCCGAGGAAGAAGAAGCAGCAGCUCAAGAAGAGGAUAAGGUUGUGGUGGUGAUUUUGAAAAUGGAUACGGAAAUGGGGGACGGAGUUAUCAAUCAAGCCAAACAAAAUUGCCUAGUAGAAUAAUUAUAUGUGGUGGUGGUGUACUGGUGAACUGGUGAACUGGUGAUCGGCCGCGUCAUCUCUAAAACGGGUUAAUUAAUGGAUAUUGGAGCUCCGCAUGAGUUCACCUGCCCGUUUAUGCCUACCCGGAUCCGAUCCACCAAAUCGGCUUGACCCGAACUCAUUGACUCCUCAACCAGCCGCACGAAUCGUAAAGCUACAACAUUCUAUGUAAACCUAUAUAUAUAUAUAUAUAUAUAUGUAGAAAUGUGUGUGCAUAUGUUUGCAACGCAACACAAACAUUUGCACCACGUAAUUAGGAGAGAUUAAUAAAAGAUUUAAAAAGCACGCACGUAGAAGCCAUGCAAACGCCGAGCUCCACGUCGUCGGUUUCCUCUCCGCCGCCCCGCGCCGACGCAGACGCCGACCCCGUGCCCGGCGCUGACUUCGGCCACCCGUUGCUGCCGCACCUCCUAGACCAGGCGACAGCGGAGAUCCGGCCGCCGCUGCUGCCGGAGGCGCCGCACGAGGCGCAGCUCCCGGUGCUGGCGGCGGAUGCAGCGGCCGCCGAGCGCCCCCGCUUCGGGGCUCUGGCAUAUCGUCGGCGGCUGCUGCGGCUGCGGCAGAUUCUGGAGCGGUACCAAUGGCAGGCGCGGCAGUCGCAUGCGCGGCGGAUGCAGGCGCGGCGGCUCUUCUGGGAGCUGCAGGCGAUCGCCGAGGAGGAGUGGGUGGGUCGGCGGCUGAUGAGGGUGGCGCACGACGAGUUCAACCACAUCGCCACCGCCCCGCCGCGGCACAACAACUAGGACGUACGUGGCCGGGGACGACGAGCGAGGACGAGGACAAGAACAAGAAUUGCGUGGCCCGGGCCGUGAGGAUAUUGUUUUUUUUUCUUUUCACAUAGGAUUUAUACCAAUCCAAUUCUUUUCGGAUUUUAUACUACUACUUCUUACGUAGGAGGUAAAUACAAAUACCUGCUCAAAUUCGUUCCAUCUGUACCAUUCCAUUAAUUCAUACUAAUUCGAUUCUUUUUACGGAGGAUUUAUACCAAACCAACUUCGUUUCGAUUCUUUCAAUCUCGUUUCGUGCAUUUCUUUAUCCAGCGUAAUCUAAUUUUAAGUUCCAUCAAAUUCAAAUUCGUUCGGUUUUCGUAUUACGCCUAUUGUGCUCAUUUGCGCAAUUUGAAUUUUGGUAAUGUCAUAAGAAAUUAACUUUAGCGUUAACAAGAUCAUAUUAAAAAAUUUUACUUUCAUUUUUUUCAAAUCGAUCGAUCUUGUCCCGUUCUGAGAUGUUCCCUAAUAUUUCUAAUUAUAGAAAAUUUUUUAGUUAUUUUAGUAUUUUUUUAGUUAUUUUUAAUAAAACAAAAUUAAGGUUAGCUUAUUUUAUUUUUAUUGUUCUCUUUCUCCUUAUUUCUCUAUCUCUAAGUGUAUCUUUUUUUAAGACAGUUCGAUAUCCUUUCGAAUCAUCGAAUGGAUCAUUUAUUUCUAUCGAUACAGUCGAAUCGAAUCACAUUCUCAACUGCUAUUAUUUUAUGUUUAUACAAUAUAAACUUUUUAUAAAGUUAAUGGUAAAUAAUUUUCAAAUUUAUUUUAUCAUAGUUUCUAGCUUAAAUUUUCUAAAUUGUUGCAAAUAAAAAUUUAGUUGAAUAGAUGCUUAAGUUAUCUUAGUCAUUAUGACGUUACUGUUUAUCAUAUUAUUGCAUCACUACUAAAUUAGCGACACAUCAUUAUUUAUUUAACCGCGUAAAUUAAAUUGUAAGGCUUAUUUCCAUAAUUUGAAAAAUCUGAGUUAGAAAUUGCAAUAAAUUAAAUUUGAGAACGUAUAAAAUUAUAUGAAACAACCAUAGUUCUCUAAAUGCUCAAGAUCAUAAAGAAUGAUAUUUUUAUAUUUUUAUAUUUAGCACUUUCUUCCGGUUUGGGCUCAAUUUUUAUAUUUUUCAUAUUUAAUAUUGUGUCUCAAGAAUUUUAGAUAGACCCAUGACGUGAACUUAUAUUAAAUCAAAUAAGAGAAAAUUAAUUAGAUUACAUUUUAUAUUUAGUAUUUCUACUCAAAUCUGGGCUGAUGUGAAAUUAAAUUAAAUUAAAUGGGAUGAAAUUAAUUGUGAUAGCAUUUCUCUUAUUUGAUUUAAUAUAUUAAUCAGUGAAUUCAAUGAUGAAUAUAUCGAAUAUAAUGAUUUCAUUAAUUUUUAAUUAAAUUAAAUUAAAUUAAAUUAAAUUAAAUUAAAUGGCUAAGAAUUAAUAGAAAUAUUAAAAUAUAAUAUAAUUUUAACUGUGCUAACAAAAAAAAAAAUCACUUUAGAAAAGUUAGAAGACGUUUAUAAAAUAAAGAAAAAACAUCAACUACCACCUCUAUAGUUUAGUGCUUUCUCAUUUUAGUAUCUUAUAAUUUUAUUUUUCUCUUUUUGUUAUCCCUUUUAUUAAUUUUUUUAUCAUAUGGAUCGGUGAUAAAAUUAAAAUUAUAUGGUACUAAAGUAAAAAUUCAGUAAACCACAUAAUACUAAAGUAAAAUUAAAAUUAUAUGAUAGUAAAGUAAAAAUUCAGUAAACCACAUAAUAGUAAAGUGAAUAUUCAAUAAAUUAUAGAUCGGUCAUAUAAAGUUUUUUUAUAUCAUUUAACAGAUGUGCUGACUGAAAAAGAAAAAAUGAAACUACAGGUACUAAAGUGAUAUAUUUUAAAUUAUAGGAUAUCGGAAUGAAAAGGUGCAAAUUUAUCCUAAAAUGAAAGUUGAUAGAGCUAUUUCUAAAUGAGAUAUAGUGUAGGGAUCUCCGAGCAAUUUUACCUUGAAUACGUGAGUUGGAUGAGAUUUAAAGGGAACCAGUGUAAAUAUCUAUCCCAGUUCCUGGAACUUAGACAGGUUGUGAUGUAUAUAUAGGGGUUAUUCGUUACAGCAUGUCUACGGGUCUAUGAAUUAUGAGGCGUGUGAGAAUAGCAUCUUUUGUGUUCGUAUUUGGAUCGCUGCAUUAUUUAUAAGAAUUUAUUUUAAGAUCAGUUGGUUGAAAUCUUUCUCUUCUGAGAAUAAAUUUUUAAUUAAGUCAUGGAUAACAUAUAUGCCCUUUGAUUACAAACUUAUUCCAAAACAAAAGAAAAAGAAAAGAAGUUAAUUAUAGAGGUAACAUCAAAAUCCUGCAUUCACUUUAUUCGCAAGGUAUAGCAAUUGUUUGGCAAAUUGAUGUAACCUCUUUCAUUCAAAUUUUUAUAGAUGAUGUNUUAUUCAUGUUUUUUUUUUAAUCUUUUUUAGUAAAAAUUUACAAAGCUUAUCUGAACUAAUAGAUUAUUUUGAUUUUGCUAUCUAGUUUUUCAAAAUUUUAAUUUUACUAUCUAAUUUUUAAAUUUGCUUAAUUUGAAUCAGUCAACAGGAUUUUCACCUCAUAAUUUGAAUGCGCUAUUUAUUUUUUCAGGUUCAUAUUGUGUACUUUAUGCAAUUCUUGCAACCGUAAAUUUAUUAAAAUAAAUAAUUCGCUUAAAUAUUUAAAGUCAAAAUAUUAUUGAUUGAUUUAAAUUAAACAAAUUAUAAGAUUGGAUGGUAAAAUUAAUUUUGUAUAGCUGAUUAAAAUGGUUCAUAGUGUCAGUAGGGCGUGGGAUCAGAAAAAAAAAUAUAUAUUAUAUAAUUUUUCUGUAAUUCCAAACGGACGCAUGUGGGAGGUUCCGGCUGGUAAUAACAGCAAUUGAUAGAAUUGAAGGACAUAAUAUAUCACAUACAUGCAGAGGAGUUGCUUGUCACGGCUUCAGUGUUUUUGUUCGUAAAGCCCGCGCGGCGCCCUCCUUCCUACUCGAAGAUGGACAAGUUUUCGUCCCUGUUGCUAGUCCGGACCUUCGCGUCCUACGACUAAGUAUGCAAGAGGAAUGAGAGAGAGAGAGAGGCAGAAGUUCACUCAAAAAAACUAUGUACUCCACUACUUAAAAAAAGAGAUUACAACACAAAUACACUCCCUCUUGUGUGUUUUGGUCUUAGCCAAACCCCACUAUUUAUAAGUCUAAGAAUACAAUGAACCUAGCCACAUAACUUACCCACUAGCCUACUCAUAAUGAGUCCUCAUAAUACCCAAAAGUCACCAUAUUAACUCUUGGUUGUUUUGUAAUCUUUAAGCUUUCAUCAUUGAUGAAAAAAAUUACAAAAUCCUUCAUUUCCCCACAGCAGGUUGGGUUUGGGUCUCCAUGACAAUCCGAUUCAACCCGUUUUCACUAGUAGAAUUGGGCCAAGGACUAAGAUUGCAUAGCAAUUUCGCUAAGUCCCUAACAUGCUGCUGCUUCUCUUGCUGUUACCGGCCAUUCCCCUUCUCAUCGGCAUAGCAUCAACACCUCAUAGGCAUUUCGCAAACCAAAUUAAACAAGCAUCAGCAAACAAGGAAGAGGAGCAGGAAAAAACAACAACAACAACAACAACAACAACAACAACAACAACGAUAAUAAGAACACCAGCACAAGAAACCCUAGAAAUUGGGAGUGGCGACGGGUUCGCCUCUGGCGCCAUUGAUGAGCUCCGAGGAGGAAAGAGCAGGUCAAGAAGAAGAAGAGGAGGAGAAGGUGGUGGUGAUUUUGAAAAUGGAUACGGAAACAGGGACGGACUUAUCUCAGCUCAAGCUUGGCUUGAAAUUAAUUUCGAUUCUAAAUUUAGACUCAAGCUCGGCUUAAUAAAUUCGAGCCGAACACAAGCUCUAACUCGCCGAAAAUCGAGUCGAACGCGAGCCGACUUGCUCAUUUGCCAGCCCUAUGGGCGGAGUUAUUAAUCAAUCCAAAUAGAAUAAUAUAUGCGGUGGUGGUGAACUAGGGAUGGGCCAAAUCAUCUCUAAAACGGGUUAAUUAAUGGAUAUUGGAGCUCCGCAUGAGUUCACCUGCCCGUUUAUGCCUACCCGGAUCCGAUCCACGAGAUCGGCUAGACUCGAACUUAUUAGACUCCCCCAACCAGCCGCACGAAUCGUAAAGCUACAACAUCUUAUGCAAACCUCUCUCUCUCUAUAUAUAUAUAUAUAUACAUGUACGUAUGUAUGCAACCACACAACACAAGCAUUUGCACCACGUACGUACGUAAUUAGGAGUGAUUUGAAAAAAGAAAGAUCAAGAGCGCGAACGUAGAAGCCAUGCAAAGGCCGAGCUCCGCGCCAUCGGCCUCCUCUCCGCUGCCCCGCACCGACGCCGGCUUUGGCAUCCCCCAUCCGUUGCCGCCACGCCACCUAGACCCAGCGGCAGCGCUGAUCCGGCCAUUGUUGUUGCCGGAGGCGCCGAACGACCUCCCGGUGAUGGCGGCAACUGUGGCGCAGCUGGCGGCGGAGGCGGCGGCCGCCGAGUGCGCCGGCUUCGGUGCUGCGGCGUACCGUCGGCGGCUGCAGCGGCUGCGGCAGAUUCUGGAGCGGUACGAAUGGCAGGCGCGGCGGUCGCAGGCGCGGCGGUCGCAGGCGCAGCGGCUCUUCUGGGAGCUGCGGGCGAUCGCCGAGGAGGAGCGGCGGGGGCAGCGGGUGAUGUGGGUGGCGAACAACGAGUUCAACCAUAUCGCCGCCGCCGCCCCGCGGUACAACAACUAGGACGUACGUGGCCGGGGACGACGAGCGAGAACAAGAAACAAGAACAAGAAUUGCGUGGCCCGGGACGUGAGGACAUUUUUUUUCAUUUUUUUUUCACAUAGGAUUUAUACCAAUCCAAUUCUUUUCUUCGAAUUUUAUACUACUACUUCAUACGUAGGAGGUAAAUACAAAUACCUGUUCAAAUUCGUUCCAUCUGUACCAUUCCAUUAAUUCAUACUAAUACGAUUCUUUUUACGGAGGAUUUAUACCAAACCAAUUUCGUUUCGAUUCUUUCAAUCUCGUUUCGUGCAUUUCUUUAUCCAGCGUAAUCUAAUUUUAAGUUCGAUCAAAUUCAAAUUCGUUCGGUUUUCGUAUUAUGCCUAUUGUGCUCAUUUGCGCAAUUCGAAUUUUGGUAAUGUAUAACAAGAUCAUAUUCAAAAAUUUUAGUUUCGUUUUUUUAAAACCGAUCGAUUUUGUCCCAUUCUGGGAUGUUCCCUAGCUAGAUUAGGAUAUUUCUAAAUUAUAUAUGGAAAAAAUUAUAUUAUUUUAGUAUUUAUAGAAUUAAGGUUAGCUUUUAUAUAUAUGUGUGUGUAUUUUAUGGUUUGAAGAAUAAUGAGAAAAUUAGUUGUUUAAUUAAUUAUAUUUUCUUUCUUGUUCUCUUCCUCCUUAUUUCCCUACCUCUAAAUAUCUCUUUCUUUUGAUCACCUCGAAUAGAUCGUUUAUAACUAUCGAUAUAAUAGAAUGGUAUCACAUUCUCAUCUAUUAUAUAUAUUGGGUUUAUACAAUAUAAACUUUUUAUAAAGUUAUGGGUAAAUAAUUUUCAAAAUUUAUUUUACCGUAGUUUCUGGUUUAAAUUUUUAAAUUAUUACAAAUUAACUAAUACAGACUAAUUUAGUUGAAUAGAUACUUACGUUAUCUUAGUCAUUAUGACGUUACUGAUUAUCAUAUUAUUGCAUCACUACUAAAUUACCGGCACAUCAUUACUUAUUUAACCGCGUAAAUUAAAUUGUAAGGCUUAUUUCCAACAAUUUAAAAAAUCUGAGUUAGAAAUUGUAAUGAAUUAAAAUUUGAGAACGUAUAAGAUUACAUGAAAUAACUAUAGUUCUGUAAAUGCUCAAGAUCGUAGAGAAUGAUUUUUUUAUAUUUUUAUAUUUACCACUUUCCUCGGGUUAAUUUGGGCUCAAUUUUUAUAUUUUUCAUAUUUAAUGUUAUGGCUCAAGACUUUGAGAUAGACCAAUGACAUGAACUUAAAUUAAAUUAAAUAAGAGAAAAUUAAUUAAGAUUACAUUUUAUAUUUAGCACUUCUCUUCAAAUUUGAGCUGAUGUGAACUUAAAUUAAAUUAAAUAAGAGAAAAUUAAUUAAGAUUACAUUUUAUAUUUAGCACUUCUCUUCAAAUUUGAGCUGAUGUGAACUUAAAUUAAAUUAAAUAAGAGAAAAUUAAUUAAGAUUACAUUUUAUAUUUAGCACUUCUCUUCAAAUUUGAGCUGAUGUGAACUUAAAUUAAAUUAAAUAAGAGAAAAUUAAUUAAGAUUACAUUUUAUAUUUAGCACUUCUCUUCAAAUUUGAGCUGAUGUGAACUUAAAUUAAAUUAAAUAAGAGAAAAUUAAUUAAGAUUACAUUUUAUAUUUAGCACUUCUCUUCAAAUUUGAGCUGAUGUGAACUUAAAUUAAAUUAAAUAAGAGAAAAUUAAUUAAGAUUACAUUUUAUAUUUAGCACUUCUCUUCAAAUUUGAGCUGAUGUGAACUUAAAUUAAAUUAAAUAAGAGAAAAUUAAUUAAGAUUACAUUUUAUAUUUAGCACUUCUCUUCAAAUUUGAGCUGAUGUGAACUUAAAUUAAAUUAAAUAAGAGAAAAUUAAUUAAGAUUACAUUUUAUAUUUAGCACUUCUCUUCAAAUUUGAGCUGAUGUGAACUUAAAUUAAAUUAAAUAAGAGAAAAUUAAUUAAGAUUACAUUUUAUAUUUAGCACUUCUCUUCAAAUUUGAGCUGAUGUGAACUUAAAUUAAAUUAAAUAAGAGAAAAUUAAUUAAGAUUACAUUUUAUAUUUAGCACUUCUCUUCAAAUUUGAGCUGAUGUGAACUUAAAUUAAAUUAAAUGGGAUAAAAUUAAUUCUGAUAGCAUUUCUUUUUAGAAAGAAAGGUACCAUAUAUAUUGUGCUAAUAGUUUUUUAAGAAAUUGCUUUGAUGUAAUAUGUAAAUGAAUGAUAAUAAAAUAAAAUGCUUUUUUAUGUGUGUGGGGGUUACUCCUACCAGAUCCUAGUAGGAGCUAAGGCAAUCUUUAACCUGGGUUAUAUAUACAUGUAUAGUAAUGAUUAUGAUGUAAGUGAGUAGAAGUAGCAAUAUAAUUGUUUUCGGUUUAAUUAUGAUUUUUUUUUUUAUCUUUCUUAGUAAAAAUUUACGAAAUUUAUCUGAACUAUAGGUCAUUUUGAGUUGGCUAUCAUCUAAUCUUUCAAAAUUUUAAUUUUACUAUCUAAUUUUUAAAUUUGCUUAAUUUGAAUCGGUCAACAGCAUUUUGACCUCAUAAUUUGAAUGCGCCGUUUAUUUUUUCAGAUUCAUAUUGUGUACUUUAUGCAAAUCUUGCAACCGUAAAUUUAUUAAAAUAAGUAAUUCGCUUACAUAUUUAAAGUCAAAAUAUCAUUGAUUGACUUAAAUUAAACAAAUUAUAAGAUUGGAUGGUAAAAUUAAUUUUAUAUAGCUGAUUCAAAAUAGUUCAUAGUGUGAGUAGAGCGUGGGGUCAGAAAAAAUAUAUAUUAUAUAAUUUAUCUGUAAUUCCAAACGGACGCAUAUGGGAGGUUCCGGUUGGUAAUAACAGCAAUUGAUGGAAUUGAAGGACAUAAUACAUCACAUACAUGCAGAGGAGCUGCUUGUCACGGCUUUACCGUUUUUAUUCGCAAAGCCCGUGCGGCGCCCGCCUUCCUACUCGAAGAUGGACAAGUCUUUGUCCCUGCUGCUAGUCUGGAUCUUCGCGUCCUACGACUAAGUAUGCAAGAGGAAUGACAGAUAGAGAGGCAGAAGUUCACUUAAAAAAACUAAAUACUCCACUAUUUAGAAAAAAAGAUUACAACACAUAUAUAUAUACUCCUUUUUGUGUGUUUUGGUCUUAGCCAAACGCACUAUUUAUAAGGCUAAGAAUACAAUGAACCUAGCCACAUAACUCACCCACUAGCCUACACAUAAUGAGCCCUCAUUAUACCCAAAAGUCCAAAAGUCACUCUAUUAACUUUUGGUAGUUUUGUAAUCUUUGAGCUUUCAUCAUUGAUAGGAGAAGUUACAAAAUCCUUAAUCUCCUGACAGCGGGUUGGGUUUGGGUUUGGGUCUCUAUGACAACCCAAUUCAACCCGUUUUCACUAGCAGAGUUGGGCUAAGGACUCAGAUUGCAUAGCAAUUUGGCUAAGUCCCUGACAUGCUGCUGUUUCUCUUGCUGUUAUCGGCCAUUCCCCUUUUCAUCGGCGUAACAUCAAACACCUCUAGGGACGUCAAUGGGUAUGGAUACCCGAAAUAUUAUCCGAACCCGAACCCGAACGGGGCGGGUUUAUCCGAGUUAAACGGGUAUGGAUUCAGUUAUGGGUAUGGAAAAUAAAAACCAGACAGAUAUGGAUACGGGUAUGGAUUUUGUAUUUACCCAACCCGAACCCGAACCCGAACCCGAACCCGAACCCGAACCCGAACCCGAACCCGAACCCGAACCCGAAUAAAUUAUACAUAUACAUAAUUUAUUUAUAUAAUAUAUAAAAUAUUUAAUAAUUUUUAUUCUUUAGAUCUUUAUUCAACAGUAUGGAUUUUUAAAACCCACCGGGUCCGGGUUCGGAUUUCGGGUUUUUUAUCGGGUACGGAUAUGGGUAUGGAUUUUUAAAACCCGCCAAGUUCGGGUCUGGAUACAGGUUUUAAUUUGGUUUUCGGGUUCGGGUUCGGGUUCGGAUUUUUAAAAAUCCGACCCAAAUCCGACCCGUUGACAUCCCUAAACACCUCAUAGGCAUUUCGCAAGCCAAAUUAAACAAGCAUCAGCAAACAAGGAAGAGGAGCAGAAGACGACGACAACAACAACAACAACAAACAACAACGAUAAUAAGAAUAUCAGUGUGAAACAACCGUUGUACUCUAAAAGUUUAAACUGUUAGAGAACGGUGUUUAUAUAUUUUUAUAUUUAACAUUCUUUCUCAUGUCUGGACUCGAAACUCUUUAGUUGGCCUGUGACGUAGGCUUGAAUUAAAGGGGAGAAAACUAAUACGCAAGGAGUCUGGCAUGACUCUAACUCAGGACCUCCUGCUCUGAUACCAUGUGAAACAACCGUUGUAUUCUAAAAACUUAAGCUGCUAUAGAACGGUAUUUAUAUGUUUUUAUAUUUAAUAACCAGCACAACAAACCCUAGAAAUUGGGAGCAGUGACGGGUUCAGCUCCGACGCCAUUGAUGAGCUCGGAGGAGGAAGGAGCAGCUCAAGAAGAAGACGAAGAGGAGGAGAAGGUGGUGGUGAUUUUGAAAAUGGAUACGGAAAUGGAUAUUGAUAAAUGUGGCGGUGAACUGGUGAUGGGCCGCACCGCAUCUCUAAAACGGGUUAAUUAAUGGAUAGCUCCGCAUGAGUUCACCUGCCCGUUUCUGCCUACCCGAAUCCGAUCCACGAGAUCGGCUUGACUCGAACUUAUUAGACUCCCCCAAUCAGCCGCACGAAUCGUAAAGCUACAACAUCUUAUGCAAACCUCUCUCUCUCUCUAUAUAUAUAUAUAUAUACAUGUGCGUAUGUAUGCAACCACACAACACAAGCAUUUGCACCACGUACGCACGUAAUUAGGAGUGAUUUGAAAAAAGAAAGAUCAAGAGCACGUACGUAGAAGCCAUGCAAAGGCCGAGCUCCGCGCCAUCGGCCUCCUCUCCGCGGCCCCGCACCGACGCCGGCUUUGGCAUCCCCCGUCCGUUGCCGCCACGCCACCUAGACCCGGCGGCAGCGCCGAUCCGGCCAUUGUUGCUGCCAGAGGCGCCGAACGACCUCCCGGUGAUGGCGGCGACGGUGGCGCAGCUGGCGGCGGAGGCGGCGGCCGCCGAGCGCGCCGGCUUCGGGGCUGCGGCGUACCGUCGGCGGCUGCAGCGGCUGCGGCAGAUUCUGGAGCGGUACGAAUGGCAGGCGCGGCGGUCGCAGGCGCGGCGGUCGCAGGCGCAGCGGCUCUUCUGGGAGCUGCGGGCGAUCGCCGAGGAGGAGCGGCAGGGGCAGCGGGUGAUGCGGGUGGCGAACAACGAGUUCAACCACAUCGCCGCCGCCGACCCGCGGUACAACAACUAGGACGUACGUGGCCGGGGACGACGAGCGAGGACGAGGACGAGGACAAGAACAAGAAUUGCGUGGCCCGAGCCGUGAGGACAUUCCUUUUUCUUUUUUUUUUCUCACAUAGGAUUUAUAUCAAUCCAAUUCUUUUCUUCGGAUUUUAUACUGCUUCAGUUGCAUCUGUACCAUUCCAAUUCUUACUAAAUCGAUUCUUUUUACGGAGGAUUUAAUCCAAACCAAUUUCGUUUCGAUUCUUUCAAUCUCGUUUCGUGCAUUAAUUUCUUUAUCCAGCGUAAUCUAAUUUUAAGUUCGAUCAAAUUCGAAUUCGUCCUGUUUUCGUAUUAUGCCUAUUGUGCUCAUUUGUGCAAUUCGAAUUUUGGCGCGCAAUGUCGUAAGAAAUUAAUUUUAUCGUUAACAAGAUCAUAUUCAAAACUUUUAGUUUCAUUUUUUUUCAAACCGAUCGAUCUUGUCCCAUUCUGAGAUGUUCCCUAGCUAGAUUAGGAUAUUUCUAAAUUAUAUAUGGAAAAAAAUUAUAUUAUUUUAGUAUUUAUAGAAUUAAGGUUAAUUAGCUUUUAUAUGUGUGUGUGUAUUUUAUGGUUUGAAGAAUAAUGAGAAAAAUUAGUUGUUUAAUUAUAAUUUUCUUUCUUGUUCUCUUCCUCCUUAUUUCCCUACUUCUAAAUAUCUCUUUCUUUUGAUCACCUCGAAUAGAUCGUUUAUCACUAUCGAUGUAAUAGAAUGGUAUCACAUUCUCAUAUAUUAUAUUGGGCUUAUACAAUAUAAACUUUUUAUAAAGUUAUGGGUAAAUGAUUUUCAAAUUUAUUUUAUCGUAGUUUCUGGUUUAAACUUUUAAAUUGUUGCAAAUUAAAAUUUAGUUGAAUAGAUACUUACAUUAUCUUAGUCAUUAUGACAUUACUGAUUAUCAUAUUAUUGCAUCACUGCUAAAUUAGCGACACAUCAUUAUUUAUUUAACUACGUAAAUUAAAUUGUAAGACUUAUUUUCAUUAAUUUGAAAAAUCUGAGUUAGAAAUUGUAAUAAAUUAAAAUUUGAGAACAUAUAAAAUUAUAUGAAACAACCAAAGUUCUCUAAAUGCUCAAGAUCAUAGAGAAUGAUAUUUUUAUAUUUUUAUAUUUUGCGCUUUCCUCAUGCUUGGACUCAAUUUUUAUAUUUUUUAUAGUUAAUGUUGUGGCUUAAGACUUUUAGAUAUACCCAAGACAUGAACUUUAAUUAAAUCAAAUAAGAGAAAAUUAAUUAGAUUACGAUGUGAACUUAAAUUAAAUUAAAUAAGAGAAAAUUAAUUAGAUUACAUUUUAUAUUUAGCACUUCUUCUCAAAUCUGGGCUGAUGUGAACUUAAAUUAAAUUAAAUGGGAUGAAAUUAAUUCUGAUAGCAUUUCAUUUUUGAAAGAAAGGUAGCAUAUUGUGCUAAUAAUUUUUUAAGAAAUUGCUUUGAUGUAAUAUGUAAAUGAAUGGUGAUAAAAUGCUUUCAUAUAUACAUAGUAAUGAUUUUGAUGUAAGGGAGUAGAAGUAGCAAUAUAAUUGUUUCUGGUUUAAUUAUGUUUUUUUUAAAAAAAAUUUAGUAAAAAUUUACGAAACUUAUCUCAACUAUAGAUCAUUUUGAGUUGACUAUCCAAUAUUUCAAAAUUUUAAUUUUACGAUCUAAUUUUUAAAUUUGCUUAAUUUGAAUCGGUCAACAGUAUUUUGACCUCAUAAUUUGAAUGCAUCGUUUAUCUUUUCAAGUUCAGAUUGUGUUUAAAGCAAUUCUUACAAUUGUAAAUUUAUUAAAAUAAGUAAUUUUCUUAAAUAUUUAAAGUCAAAAUAUUAUUGAUUGAUUUAAAUUAAACAAAUUAUAAGGUUGGAUGGUAAAAUUAAUUUUGUAUAGUUAAUUCAAAAUGGUGCAUAAUGUGGGUGGGUAGGGUGUGGGAUCGGAGAAAAUAUAUUUAACGGGUUUGGACGGAGCGUAAUUUCUCUACAAUUGCAAACAAAGGGAAAUCAAAAGUAGCGGCCUUUCAUGAGAGAUGAAGGGGUAUAUAACUGCUGCAAUUAAUUCUUAUAUAAUUGCUAGCGAAAACCAAGAGUCGACAUUGAUAACUUUUGGAAUCACUAGGUAUUCACGCAUGCGGACUCAUGAUUAUUUAAUAAUGGGCUAGUUAAUAUGCUUUAAUGAGAGAGAUUUUUUUUUUUGACAAAUAGAUAGCACACUAACCGCUUCGUUUAUUUCAUUUAAAAAUAAACUUAGCUGAAAAUUUAGUGAGAGAAAGUUAGUGUAGACUUUAUUCAUACAAAUUAUAGAGAAUGCUAAGGCAAAAAGAAGAAGAGAGGAAAUAUAGAUAGAAACACAUGAGGAGUUGUAUAUUAUAUUCCUAUUCUUCUAAACAGUGGAGUACUUAGUUUCUUAGCAAGUCUCUGCGCGCCUCUCUCUUUUCUCUCUUUUCGCAUACAUAGUCACAGAGCACGUAGGUCCGGAUCAGCAAGAAGGAGUAGGCUUGCACAUCUUUGCGAAGAAAGGCGGGUGCCGCACGGACUUUGCACACAAAAAUGUUAACACCGUGAACAGCUCAAGAAGAAGAAGAAGAAGAAGAAGAAGAGGAUAAGGUGGUGAUGAUUUUCUUUUGAAAAUGGAUAUGGAAAUGGGGACCGAGUUAUUAUAUAAUCGAUCCAAAUAGAAUAAUAUAUAUGGUGACGAUGGGCCAAAUCAUCUCUAAAACGGGUUAAUUAAUGGAUAUUGGAGCUCCGCAUGAGUUCACCUGCCCGUUUAUGCCUACCCGGAUCCGAUCCACGAGAUCGGCUUAGACUAGAACUUAUUAGACUCCCCAACCAGCCGCACGAAUCGUAAAGCUACAACAUUUUAUGCAAACCCCUAUAUAUAUAUAUAUAUAUAUAUAUAUAGAAUUAGGCUACUAUACUAUCUAUAGUACCGAAGCUCCGGUACUAUAGUAUUGUUUUCGAUCUUAGAGCGUUCAAAUCAACGAUCCAUAUCGUUAAAUAUGAUUUAGGGUAUAUGAAGUUCUUAGGAAUAAAAUUUUUAAUUUUUUUCAAAUAUCGUUUAUUAGUAAAUAAAUUAUAUCAAAAUAGACGGUGGAAAUUGAAUACUCUUAAAAUUGAGCAUAGGACUUUUAAAUUCAAAAUCAAGAAUGUUAACCUUAAAUCUAUAUAAGUUUAAAGUAUUUUCCUAUCUAUAAAAAUUGAAGAAAUUUAAAUUCUUCUACACCGAAAUCAACUCAAACUCGUCAAAAUAAGCCAUUGAAAAUUGACAAUUUUGAAAUUAUUUGAUCAUAAAGUAAAACUAUGUCGAAAAAAUAUAAAAUUUUAUUUCUAAAAACUUUAAAUAACGCUAGAUUUAGGUUUAACGAUAUGAAUCGUUGAUUUUAAAUAGCCGAAAAUCACAAAAACGAGAUUAUAGUACCGAAGCUCCGUAAUAUAAAUAAUAUAAGGAGUCUAGUUCUAUAUAUACAUAUAUAUAUAUAAAUAUAUAAUAUAUAUAUAAUAUAUAUACUACUAUAGUAUAUAUAUUAUAUAUAUAUAUAUAUAUGUAGUUGCAACCACACAAACAAACAUUUGCCCACACGUACCUAAUUAGGAGAGAUUUAAAAAAAAAGAAAGAUCAAGGAGUACGUAGAAGCCAUGCAAACGCCGAGCUCCACGUCGUCGGUCUUCUCUCCGCCGCCACGCGCCGUGGCCGACGCCCGGCACGCAAACCCCGACGCCGUGCCCGGCGCGCGCUUCAUGGACGGCCUGCCGGCGCACCUCCAAAACGAGGUGGCGGCGGAGAUCCGGCGCAGGUGCUGCAGGGGCGCCGCACAAGGCGGAGCUCCGGGCGAUGGCGGCGACGGUGGCGCGGCUUGAGGCAGAGGCGGCGGCAGCCGAGCGCGCCUGCUUCGGGCCGCGGCGGCGUAUGGCAGGUGGCUGCCGCACUGCGCAGUUCCUGGUGCUGUACGAACGGCAGGCGUCGGCGGUGCGCAAGCGGGGUCGUCGGGCUCAGGUGCUCUUCUGGGAGCUGCGCGGGCGAUCGACGAGGAGGAGCGGGUGGGGCUGCGGGCGAUGCAGGCGCGCGCGCGACGAGUUCAACCGGCAUCGCCGCCGCCGCCCGCCCCGUGUGGAGAACAACUAGCCGUGGCACGGACGAGGACAGGACAAGGACUAGGUACAAGAAAUUGCGUGUACGCCGGGCUGUUCUUUACAUCAUCAGAUAGAGUGACAUCUUUUUCACAUAGGAUUUAUACCAAUCCAAUUCUUUUCUUCGAAUUUUUUACUGCUUCAGUUGCAUCUGUACGUACUAUUUCAAUUCUUACUAAUUCGAUUCUUUUUACGUAGGAUUCAUACCAAACCAAUUUCGUUUUGAUUCUUUCAAUCUGGUUUCGUGCAUUUCUUUACCUAGCAUAAUAUAAUUUUAAGUUCGAUCAAAUUCAAAUUCGUCCGGUUUUCGUAUUAUGUCUACUGUGCUCAUUUGCGCAAUUCGAAUUUUGGUAAUGUCGUAAGAAAUUAAUUUUAGCGUUAACAAGAUCGUAUUCAAAAAUUUUACUUUCAUUUUUUUAAAACCGAUCGAUCUCGUCCCAUUCUGAGAUGUUCCCCAGCUAGAUUAGGAUAUAUAUUUCUAAAUUAUGGAAAAUUAUAUUAUUUUACUAUUUUAUAGAAUUAGGGUUAGCAUAUAUAUAUACAUAGAGUGCGUCUGGGGUGCUUUCGGAAGCACGGAGCGCUCCGUGCUUCCACUUUGUUUUCGAUGUUGGGACUUUCAAAUCGACGAUCGGCUCCGUUAGACUUGAUCUAGAGUAUUUGAAGUAUCUAGAAAAUAAAUUUUGCGAUUUUUCGAUAUCAUUUGCCUAGUGAUCGAAGUGGCUCAAAAUCAACGGCUGAAAAUAAAAAUCUCACAAAAUAUGAUGAUAUGACAUUAAAAUUUUAGAUCAAAGUUAUUGAUCUUGUUUUAUAUGGUAUAAAGAAUUUUCUAUCAAAAUUUCACGUGAUUUGGAUAUUUCUACACCGUUAAACUUGCAACCGGUUCACCACAGCCGUUAAAAUUAUUGAUUUUGAGCCCCUUCGAUCACUAGGCAAAUGAUAUCGAAAAUCGCAAAAUUUAAUUUCUUGGUACUUUAAAUACUCUAGAUCAAUUCUAACGGAGCCGAUCGUCGAUUCGAAAGUCCGAACAUCGAAAACAAAGUGGAAGCACGGAGGCCUCCGUGCUUACGAAAGCAUACCAGCCCACUCUAUAUACAUAUGUGUAUAUUUUAUGAUUUGAAGAAUAAUGAGAAAUUAGUUGUUUAAUUAUAUUUUCUUUCUUGUUCUCUUUCUCCUUAUUUCUAUACCUCUAAAUAUUUCUUUCUUUCGAUCACCUCGAGUAGAUCGUUUAUCACUAUCGAUACAAUAGAGAUACAAUAGAGUCGUAUCACAUUCUCCUCUAUUAUAUUGUGUUUAUACAAUAUAAACUUGUUAUAAAGCUAUGGGUAAAUGAUUUUCAAAUUUUAUUUUAUCGUAGUUUCUGGUUUAAAUUUCUAAAUUGCUGCAAAUUAAUUAACUUAUACAGACUAAUUUAAUUGAAUAGAUACUUAUGUUGUCUUAAGCAUUAUAACAUUAUUGAUUAUCAUACUAUUGCAUCACUGCUAAAUUAGCGGCACAUCAUUAGUUAACCACGUAAAUUAAAUUGUAAGGCUUAUAUGCAUCAGUUUGAAAAAUCUCACUCAAAAAUCAUAAGAAAUUAAAAUUUGAGAACUUGUAAAAUUAUAUAAAACAACCGCAGUUCUCUAAAUGCUCAAAAUCGUAAAGAAUGAUAUUUUUAUAUUUUUAUAUUUAGCACUUUCCUCAUAUCUGGGCUCAAUUUUUAUAUUUUUUAUAUUUAGCACUCCCUUUGACGUCGGGGCUAAAGAUUUUCUGAUAGACCCACGACGUAAACUUAAAUUAAAUUAAAUAAAAGAAAAUCAAUUAGGAUUAUUUUUUAUAUUUAGCACUUUCUCUCAAAUCUAGGCUGAUGUGAACUUAAAUUAAAUUAAAUGCAUGGGAUGAAUUUAACAUCAAAACUAAAUCAAUUAAUGGCCAAAACUAUGUUAAAGCAAUCAUAAAGUGAGCUUGAAACACGAAUCCGCUACCGCGAUUUGCGAUACGGCAAAACUGUACAGAUUUUGUCGUAUCGCAAACGGUUAAAAAUAAAAAUCUCAUAAAAAAAUAGUGGUCAAAAUACUUACAUUUUAAAAUCGGAACUAUUGAUCUUACUGGCGAUGCGAAGUAAAAUUUUGUAUUAAAACUUUAACUAAUUUGAGCUGUUCUACCUGUUGAACUUACAUGCUUACUUCAUCGGUCUUUAAAAUGGUUAUUUUUUAGACUCUUUAAUCUUUCAACUAUAAUAAACAAUGAUUUAAAAAUCAGGUCGAAUCGAUCGGCUCGACCUGUCCGAUCGUGACUCAGUCAUAGUGUGGUUUGAUUUAACCCUCUGAAUGGAUAAGUUAAAAAAUCGUUUUGAACCGCUCAAACCGGCGAUUCAACCAUCGACUCGGUGAAUCGUCUGAUUUUAAUCAAGCCGGCUAUAUUUUUUUUAUCAUGUCAUAUUAAAAUUUAACAACUUAAAAUCAACUAGUUCAGAGCUACAAUUCUAAAUUUUAAAGGAACAAAAUAAAAGUCUUUAAAAGCCAAAAAAUAAAAAAAAAAAAGGUAAUCAUUUAUAAAAGGCUAUAUUAUAAAAAAUCCUCUUAUAAAUACCCACUUUUUUUAAUUUUUCUUCCAUAACUUUCAAAAAUUUAUAUUUUAUCCCCUCAACGUUUUAAGUUGUUGCAUUUCGCCCCACUCCGCUUUGGUUUCAUCAUCAUUCCGUCCAUUUCUUAUAAUAUAUACCUAAAAAAUCUUUCAAAAUGACAAAAAUAUAUUAAAAAAUUAUAUUUUUUCUUAACACAAGGAAUUAAUAAGGACAAUUUGAUUAUUUUGCCCUCUCCAUUAACGUUAUACUCUUCCUGAAAAUAUUUUUAAAAUUUUAAAAAGACAAUAUAAAAUUUAAAAAGUCAAAGAGAAAAAAAAAAUAUUUAUAAAAUAGAGUAAUUUAGCCUCAUUAAAAUAUUUUUUAAAAAAAAACUAGGUCAAAUUUUAAGUUUUCUAAUCUUAUUUUAUUUUAUAUUUUUUUUUGUCAUUUCCAUGUUCACAUGGCAUUCAUUGAUUCUUACCUGUCACUGCAAGUGAGCAGGUGUUGACCAUGCUAUUAAUUAAUUAAUUAAUUAAUAUAAGAUCUUGUAUUUACUGCACAUAAUUUUUAAUUAAUAAAAUAAAUAAAAUAAAUUAUUAUUCUCAUACAUUAAUGAUCUCAACUCGGACCCACGUGUGCAAGGAUCUGAGGUGCAUGCACGCACGUGUCACGUGCGUGCACCUACCCCACUGCCACAUGUAUCGAGGAUCAAAUGCUUUGUGCACAAAUUAUUAUUAUCUAUCUAUAAAUUAUAAAAAUUAUAUAUUUAUUACCAUCAAAUUUUAUAAACUCUUAUAAUUAAUUGUUGGCCAAUUUGCAUAAAAAAUCCACUAGUUUUGCGUUUUUGCAAAAAUGGGUAAUCUUUUUUGAUUUUGUAGAUUCGAACCGGAUUUUCAGCCGCAUGACAAAAAUGCCCCUAGUCUACAUCCGCUUGAUAUACGUAUAUCUACGCAAGAGGCAGAUGUAGACGAGGGGUAUUUUGAUCAAGCGGCUGAAAAUUCGGCCCGAAUCUGCAAAAUUGAAAAAUGUGGCCUAUUUUUGCAAAAACACAAAAUUAGUGAAUUUUUUAUGCAAAUUGGCUUAGAUUUAUGUUUUGUCAAUUUAAAAUGGCUAUUAUUGUCAGGCUGUUUGGUUCCUUAAAAAUUGUAUAGAAUAAAAAUUUUUCGAAAAAAUUUUUUUAUGAUUUUUUUUUUCCAUAAACUAGCUAUUUUGGAUAAAUUUUUUUUUCAAAUUUCAUAAAAAAUUAGUGUAUUCAUUUUACUCUCUUGGAAAAGUAAAAAUGCAUGUUAUUAUUCUGUAACAUAAUUUUUGACAUGCACCUAAAAUCUGUCUAAGGUUGUAAUUGAUUGAUGCCUACUUUUUUGGCCCUGUUAAUUUUCCACCAAGUAAAAAAAAAAAAAGAAAAAGAAAAAAAAGGAAAAUCAACAAAUUAUUUUCAUGCUUUUAUUAGAAUACUACAAGCAGAAUAUUUUUCUUACCUAUUUCAACUAGUACUUUGUACAUGUGCUAUUCAAUUAUUAUGCAUGUGAAUAGGUACGUAAAAUAUAAGUUGCACGAGAAUACUAUUAAUAAUUUUUGUACUUUUUUAUUAUUGAUUUUUUAGCCGUUAAGAGUUGAGCUGAAAUACUAUUAUUAGUAUGGGUUAAUUUCAUAUAGGUCACUAUAAAUAUAGUGAAUUGUAAACAUAUCUCUACAAAGUUCAACUUCCAUAUGUUGUUUUUAUAAAAAUCUUGAUGUUUUUAAAUAUAUUCUUGCCGUCAGGAUCCGUUAAAAAAAAUUAGUUAACUAUAGAUAAAAUACUUAACCCUAGUUAGUUAAUGAGGUGAAUUGAUCUUUUUACCCAUCUUUAAUUAAUAGUUUGGACUUUUGAAGAAAUAUAUUUGUGAUGCCAAAAAGUCAUUUCACUUAUAAAAUAAACAGUAUUUUAACGGUAACAAAUCAGAGGGACAUAUUUGAAAAUAUUGGGACUCUUAUAGGAACAACAUAUGAAAAUUGAACUUUGCAGGAAUAUAAUUGCAAUUCACUAUAUUUAUAAGGACCUACAUGAAAUCAACCCUAACAGUAUUUGUACUUUUUUGCUAUAAUUUUUUAGCCAUUAAAAGUUGAGCUGAAAUACUAUUAAUAGUAUUUGGAUUCUUUUACUAUCGAUUUUUUAGCCAUUAGAUGUACACUUUGAUCAAUUUCGUCCUUUAGAUUAUACUAUUCAACAAACAAUAUUUUAUUAUUGAUUUUCGUAUCUAUAAAUUUUAUUAUCUGUGCUAGGCUCGACUAUAAAAUAUUGCACAAUUUAAAAAAUGCAUCUGACCGAUCUAUCUCUUUUCACAGAAUCAAAAGCUCCAAAUUCAAAUUUCUAAUUUUGAGGCUUUUUUUUUUCUAUAGCAGAAGAGGUAUUACUUUUUUUCUUUUGUUUAUCAAACAUAUUUAUUAAAUCGACUAUUGCUGAAAGCAGAAGCAGGCUCAAAAAGCUCCUAAGCCAAUAAAGUAUACUUUUUCUAAACCCAGACUAUAAUAUUGCUAAAAAGUAGGAACUGAUCUUUUCUUGUGCACAAUCAAAAGCAGUAAAUUAGAGUUCCAUAAAAAAUUACUAACUAAUUUUUUUCUGUGCAAAAUGAGAAGCAAUAAAUUAGACUCUCUGCUUUUAAGGCUCAAAAGUUAAUUUGUAAUUUUCACUACGACAAAGAUUUUACUUUUUUUACUAUAUUAAAUAUUUAAGUAAAUUAUUCUAUUGCUGAAAACAGAAGCAGAUCUAACAAGCCCUUAACCCAACAAAUGCGCUUUUACCAAACCUUGAUUGUCUUAUAUUAGAAAAACCAUUGACUAAUCUUUUUUCUAUGCAAAAUGAGAAGCAAUAAAUCAGACUUUCAGCUUUUAAGGCUCAAAAGUUGAUUUGUAAUUUUUCACUAUGACAAAAUUUUAAUUUAAUUUUUCUCUAUCAAAUAUUUAAUUAAAUGGGAAAAAUAUUUUUUUUACGUUUCAACGUAUUUCAAAUAUAUUCCUAGAGUUAAAUUCUGUUAAUGAACUAUUAGCAAUAGCUGUUAUCUGUAUAAAAUUACCGUUUUACCCUUUCAAAUAUACCCUUCCACCAUCACCGACUUUUCUUAUUUACCCUGAAGUUAGGAACACAAAAAGUAUUUUGAUUUUUGGUCUUUUCAAAUAUACCCCUCUACCAUCACCAACAUUUCUUAUUUGCCCUUAAGUUAAGGACCAAAGAGGCAUUUUGAUUUUUUUUUUUUUAACUCUAGUAGAUAUUUAACUCAUGUUAAAUCCAAGUUAACUUAACGGAUGAUAACUGCAGGGGUAUUUCGGAAUAACGGAGGAACAUAUCAGGAAUAUAUUAGAAAGAAAAAAAAAAGUAAGGAUAAAUGAGAUAUUUUCGAAAUUUUAAGGGGUAUAUAGGUAAUUAUCCCUUUAAUUAAAUUACACAGUAGCUGAAAGCAUAAAUGAAGUCAAACAGGUCCAAUUUCUAGGCCAGUAAAAUACACUUAUUACACCAACCCUGGUUGUACAGCUUCUCCCAACCACACUUGUAGCUAAUCAAAACAUGUUAGCUUUAAAAGUACCCUAAGGUUUCAGGUGGGAGAGAAAGCUCCAAACUUUUAUCACCAUAAUAAUAAUAAUAAUAGCUUCCUCAGAACCCUAUUCAUGGAGAGAGAGACAGAGAGAGAGAGAGAGAGAGAGGAGAGGUCAAAACACAUGUGUCUACAUAAAAGGGGGAGCUUUCUGAGUGUUUAGGUAGAGAAAGAGGGGGGUUAGGGUUAGGGUUUGUGGGGUUUCUUUGAAUUUUUUUGUUAAAUUUUUUUCCUUUGUUGGAUCAAUUGCGGUUUGACCAAGCUCAUCCACUUCAACACCCUCCUCUUCUUCCUUUCCAUAUAUAUAUAUUAAAGAAAAAAAAUAGAGCUCUAGGAAAAAGGAGCUCCUUGGUUUUCUUUGAGGUAUGGUCUCUAAUUUUCCCUCCUAUUCUUCUUGCUUGGAUCUCAAAGAUGGUAUUUUUGGGGCUUUUUUUUGUUUUUUUUUUUUUGGGGGGUUGGGUAUUGUGAUUUCCCCCCACCCCCCUGUUUUUGUGUUUGGAUUUGAUUUUUACUGUUUUGGCCAAGUGGAUUUUGCUUAAAACUUGAAAAAGGUGGGAUUUUUGGGUUUUUUUGGGUGAUGGGUUAUUGUGAUUUUCCCCCCUUUUUUUGGUGUUUGGUUUUGAUUCUUACUGUGUUUGGGCAACUGGGUUUUACUUAAAACUUGAAAAGGUGAGAAUUUUUAUCUGUUUUCAUGGGGUUUUUUUUUUAAGGCUUUGAUUCAUGUGAUUUUGUUUUUGUUUUCUUCAAAAUUUGAAAUUUAGCAGUGAGACUGGGAUUUGAUCUUCUUUUGUGAUUUAUUUUGUUUAAAUAAUACUACAUGUUCUCCAUGUCUAUGUCCAAUAAUUAAUUUUGUGCUUCUCCCCAUCAUGAUCAUAAUCAUGUGUGUACUGUACUAUAGUUCAUAUUUUACUUCAGAACCAAAAUUUUCACAUAAUUUCUUGUUUUUUCUUUUUUGUUUUAUUUUCCCUUGUACAGGCACUGUUACAAUUCAUUUUGGUGAAAACCCAUUUAGGAGUUGUUCUUAGAUUCAGGAAUUUUAGAUCUUAAAUUUAGAAAAGAAAAAAAAAAAAAGGUUAAACAUGUUGAGACAAAUUUCUAGUAGAAACCACAGAUCCAAGGGAUUCAAAUUGAAAAAUGCCCUUCAAAUUUGCCUCUUAGUAGUUGUCACCAUUUGGUUGUUGUUCCAAGUUAAGCAUUCGUAUGAUAAGAAGUCCGAGUACGAAGACCGAAACGCGCAUUUGUCGAUCAAACACGAGCGCAACGGUGAUCGGCACGAGGCGUUCGAAAUCGGCCGAAAAGGUCUUCCCCAUGAUGUCCGAAUCGAGGACGAGGUGAGCGAAGAUGACCUCGAGCAAGAGUUGCUCAAACACGACGAGAAUGGCGAGAGCGAUGCGAUCGACGAGCAGGAUCAGGGGAAGGACGACGACGGCGGCGACGAGCAGAGCGUGUUCGAGGAUGCGGAGAGCAACAAGGAGGGGGCGAAUGCGGCCCGAGAGGAGAGCUUUCGAGGGGACGACGUCGCGAGCGCGGUGGUGGUCAGCCACACUGGUCGGCCGGAGGAGCGCGGAGACCACUCUCGCGAGGCGAGGGAGAAGAGCUUUAACGGCGAUAACGUUUCUAGUGCCGUAGCUCACGAGGAUCAUUUGGAGAGCGCGGAGAGCAAAGUCGGGGGCGGUGAAAAUUUGACAUUCGUCGAUUCGACUAGCGACGGGGGUUCAAAGGAUCGCGAAGUGACGCCGAAUAAUGAAGUUUCGUCAAAUUCGACGGUUGAUGAACCGAACAACGACACAAAACCGAGGGUUGAUCCGACUACUACGAAUGUCAACGGCAACCGAACGGAAACGCCGUUUAGUUCAUCAAACAAAACAGCUGGUCAAGAAGCAAUAGAGAGUCCGACGAAUGCGACAACCGUGUCGAGCAACCAGAUUGAGCUUUCGACUAACCUGAAUGAGACGACAAACUCGGGUUCGGGUUCGGCUCGCGACGGAAACGGCACGGUGAUUCAAAUCCCUGGAGACGACAAGCUCAAUACCGGCGCUACUACAUCAUCGGCUUCAAGCGAGAAAGGAGAAGGGAAAGUGGAGUUCCAGGAUGCGACGCGGAAUAUGGCCGAGGAAGAAAUGAGAGAAGUUCCGAUCGCGAAAAUUGAAAAACUCGCAAAAAGUGGUGAAGAGGCUGUGUUGGAGUGAAUCUGAGAGAGUGUUUAACUCAAAAACUCUUUAAGGAUCUUGGUUUUUCUAGUCUCUUUCUUUUUUUUUAGUUUUUUUUUUUUUCUUUUUUCUUUUUUGGUCUCAGUUUAAGCAUCACAUACAUACUUUAAUAUGAGAAAGAUGUAACAGAACAACACAUCAUGAGUUUUCAGGAUCUAAAUGGUAGGGAGAUGUGUUGAAUGAGAUACUAAUCUCUGCAGAAGUGUUGUAUAAUGGAAACUUCAAAAACUGCAGCUUUUCAUAUACCAAUUGUAUUUCUUUAGUAUCUUUUACACAGAUGUAUUUGUGUUAUAACUGUGUCAGAUCUCUAAUAUAAGUUGGCAUCUGAAAACAUAUAAUUAGUUAGUAGGCAUGAGAUUCAGAGUGUCUGCUUCAACAUCCUUCUUGUGGUGUGGUGAUCUGAUCGCAUUCCCAUCCCAUUUGCGUUUAAUCGAUCGAUUUCGAUCGGUGUUUGUUGUUCCAAAGUAAACAGUUCGAAGCAGAUUACUAAAUGAAGAGGAAUGCCUCUUCGUCGUCCAGCAUCUGAAACAACUUCUCUGAUAUGCAGCCGAGCUUUCUGGCAUGGUGGUGCUUUUGCUGCUCGGUUCCAUAAAAGAAUAAGAAGGCCGGUAGUGCUUUUCGAAUUGCUUCUACUCAAGUAGUAUUUUACGGAAUUCUCUAGCACAGCUUUUCAGCUACGAGAAGCAGUAGCCAAGAAUUUAGCAAACAAAAAAAAAUUCAGGGUUUUAAUUCUGCCUAGAAGCUAAAAUUUGAGUUUCGAGCUCUUACAGAUACUUUUGCUUCUGCCAUAAUUGAUAGUGCUUUUUCGAAUAGCUGACUCGUAAAUUAUAUUUUGGUGCAAGUCUCAACCAAUCAAAAGUUUUACGAUAAGAUAUGUGAAAAGGGUCAUUAAGAAAAAUAAGAUUUUCUCAGUCAAAGGUUGUGCUAUCUUAAAUAAAGAAAUGAGAUUUGUGUAGAAAUUUGCAAAAUAAAUAAAUAUUUGAUUUAAUUUUCUACGAUUUUUUUUUGACCAUUGGAAACUUCUAGAAUUUGCCUUGAAAAUAUUGCAAGUGUUGGACUUUGGUGUUUCCACUGGAAAUUUUUUAUUGGAGUUUUUUUUUUCAAAAAAUAAAAAUAAAAAUUGGAUGGGUGCUUUUGGAGUGACCAUUGAUUACUAUUUGAAUUUCCGGAGCUAAACUGCACUUUUGAUCCCCAACUUUUUUUUUUUUUCUUUUCUUUUUCCGCGGGUUCCUUAAAACUUUUAGCCUCCGUUUGGUUGGGAGUUAAGGGGUGGAACAACCCCUUAACUCCCAUUUUAUUCCCAAACAUUUCUAAAAAUAAAUGAGGUUAGCUAACCUCACCUCAAAUGGGUUAUUCCGGAUUAGCUAACCCCACCUAACCCCACUAAACCCCAACCAAAUACUAUUUUUUAUUCAUAAUAAUUCACUAUUCUUCUUAUUCCACCUACUCCAACCAAACACUAUUUUUCACUAUCCUGGCUUAACUCUAACCUCCAACCAAACACAAAAAUACUUUAACCCCACCUUAACUCUAAACUUAAUCCUAUUCCUGGAAUAACUGAUUUUUUUUUAAUCCCGAACCAGACGGUAGCUUAGAAUUAAUUACAGUAUUGGUUCCUAACCUCUUCUCCUGUAUGCGCACGCCAGUUAUGUCAAGUUCAUUCUCACCAUCCUCAGUGUCAAAGUACGAUGCCUACAAAACCAUCUUGACUCGCACACGCCGUCUACUAACUCUUUUGAAGUAUCUGACAUCAUCAUCAUCGAGUCAGACAUGUAACCAAACUCUUUAAGAAAUUUAAAAAAAUUAGUACUGAGAUGGAUCAGGAUCUGCCAAAUUAUAACUGUGAUCUACAUGAUUAAACGGGGCUUAAUCGGAGUUGACGUGGUCAAUGUUUGUCAAAAUUAAUAAAAAUAUUGGUGAAACAAAAUAUAAAAGUUAGAUCCCUAAUAGUUUUUUUUAAAAAAUUAGAGCCAAAGUGAAAAAAAAAAAAAGGGUAAAAGUUCACAACCACAUAGGUUAGAGCCUUUUGGUAUUGUUAUUAAUUUUUUUUUCCACAUAGAACAUUGAUUUCUUUGAUUAAUUGUGUUAAAAAAUUUUAAUGGAUUUCAUAGCUCAGUUAGCUUUUAGCAAUUAAUUGAACUAGUUUUAUUGCUAUAAUAAUGUAGUUUAAACUAUAAAAUUUGAUGGAGUUAUCAAUUCAUUUUAUAAAAUUUUUCAAUUUAUUUUGCUAAAAUUACUCGAUUUCAAAAAUUCAAAAUUGAGGAGCUCUCAAUCGAAAAAGUUGUAGUUCAGGGGCGUUAGUUUUAGAAUCGCGAAUAGUUGGGGGGGUCACCAUACAUUUUUACCUCUUCUUACCUCUUCCAUUCCGAUUAGGGGUGUCAACGAGCCGAACACGAACUAGCUGGGGCCGGCUCGUGUUACACGAGCUAGCUCGUUAAAAUAUUGAGUCGAAAAAUUCGGCUCGUGUUCGGCUUGUUUAUUAACGAGCUGAACAUGAGCCGAAUACGAGCUCGCUUAUGAAUAAAAAUUUAAAAAAAUUAAAAAAUAUAUAUAUAGGAAAUAAAUUUAUAAGAUCUUAUCCGUUAUAUUUUGAUCUAAUGAUCAAAAUUUUACAUAUAAAUAAAUCAUUUUAUAAUUGAGUUGGACCUUAUAUGAUAGUGCGGCUAAAAAUCGAUUAAUAAAAAUUUUAUAUUAUAUACAUAUAUAAUAUUAAUUAUUAUAUAAUAAAUAUAUGUAUUCGAGCUGUUAUCAAGCCGAACACAGAGGAGCUGCCGUUAGCUCGUGUUCGCGCUCGUUUAUUAACGAGGCCUGAAAUAUCAGCUCAUACUUAGCUCGUUUAUUAAACGAGCGAUUCGAUCUCGAGCUUACUUCGAGCCGAACACGAGCUGACUCGCGAACGACGAGCUGGAUUGCCACCCCUAAUUCCGAUGUAGUGAUGCAAAUGGAUUCGGAUUUGUGGAGAUCCCGCCCCGAUCCGCCCCUUAGUAGGGUGGUAAGUGGGAAUAAAAAAUAACAAAAAAAAAAGAAUCCAUUUUGAAUCCGCUUCUGCCUCGUCCCGCUUCGAAUGAAAUGGCAAGUCAAAGCAAAAAAUAGGAUAAAUUUCAACCCGCUUCGAAUUUGUCCCGACCCGCUCCGUUUGCAUCCCUAUUUGGAAAGCGAGAUCACAUUUUAGGACAGAAAGGGUUGAUCACAUCACAAACUCUCUAAUCCAUUUAUACUCCAUUUUCUAUUUAUUAUAUAUUUAGUUUUAACAAGGAAACAUUAUUGUAAAAUAAAUACUUAAGUACGGUAUUCAAAUCGAUAAUCGAUACCGUUAAACUUGAACUUUUAAGUUCCAAAUUUUAUAAUGUUUUUUACUUCACUUGCUUGCGAUUAUAGUGGUAUGAAAAUCAGACUAUUUUUAAUGACUAAUAUAAGAUAAAUUUGAGACUAAACAUCACGAAAUUUAAGCUUUAUAAAGUUCGAAUAGUUUAGAUCAUGUUGUGAUUCAGAUAACCCUUCGCCAGAAGGGUUCAAAAGUAUUCUAACUUUACUCAUAAACUGACGCUUAUUUAUCGGAAAAUAAAAAGGGUGUCAAUCGAAGAGACCUCUUAUACUUUUAUAUUUGUUUUCAAAUGAUUAAAAAAGAUUUAAAAAUCAUAAAAAGUUUCUUAGAUAGGCUUAAUCCCAAAUGCUCACUACUCCUGAGCCAAACAAAAAGAAAUAAUCCCUGAUAUAAAAGUUCAUGAAUGUUGAACACAUUAUUGCUACAAUAAUGAGUAAAUAUUUCGCGGGUUAGCGAGGCGCUAACCCUACGCAAGAAACCGUAAAAUACGAAAUCGUUGAUUCCACCUCUGUUUAGUUCUCGCAGAAGUUCAGAAACCCCAUGUAUUCGCGAUGUUCGAUCAUCGAUAUCGUCUUCGCGGUUCCCACGACACCUAAACAUAGUUAAAAUUAGAAUUUCAGAUAUAUCGAAUACUGCUAUUGAAUGUUUGUUAUUUGCGGGUUUUCGAUCUACCCAUUGUUAGUGCACUCGCGAAGAUGACGGAGGAGAGAAUGAAUACGAUGAUCGAUGCCCGCUUGAGGAACUUCACUAGCUUCCUGACGAAGUACUGGCCCCAGAAGCCGGCCAUAACCGAGACUGAGAUGAGAUAUAAAGCUGCAGGAAAAAGAGAGCGUCAAGUUAGAUUGUCAGUCCUACUACCGAGUGAAAAGUUGAAAGCAAAUUUAAAAAAUAUUAAUCUAUAUAUAUAUAUAUAGAGAGAGAGAGAGAGAGAGAGAGAGAGAGAGCUAGGCUGGUAUACAAUUGGUAGCACGAAGGCCUCCGUGCUACCAAGUUGUUUUUAAUGAUGUGGCUUCCAAAUCGACGAUCGGCUCCGUUAGACUUGAUCUACACUAUUCAAAGUAUUUGGAAACUAAAUUUCAUAAUUUUUCGACAUCAUUUGGCUAGUGAUCAAAAGGUCUCAAAAUUGAUAAUUUUAAUGGUCGAUGUGAUGCGUUUGUGAAUUUAACGGCGUAAAACAAUCCAAAUCCGAUAAAAUUUUUAUAGAAAAUUCGUUUUACUAUUUAGAGUAAGAUCAGUACCUCUGAUCUUAAAUUCAAGUCUUUUAUCAUCAUUUUUUAUAAGAUUUUUAUUUUCAACCGUUCAUUUUUAGACCAUUUGUUUGAUAGAUAAAUGAUACCGAAAAAUUAUGAAUUUUAGUUUUCAAAUACUUUCAAUAGUGUAGAUCAAGUCUAACAGAGCCGAUCGUCGAUUUGGAAGCCACAUCAUUUGGAAAACAAAUCUUGAUAGCCACAAAUGCCCUCUAUGCUGUCGAUAGUUACCAGCCUAGUCUCCUCUCUCUCUCUCUCUCUCUCUCUCUCUCUUCUCUCUCUCUCUCUCUCUCUCUCUCUAUAUAUAUAUUAUAUAUAUAUAUAUAUAUAUAUAUAUAUAUAUAUAUCUGAACUAUAUUCGAGUCGAACACAGUGUGAGCUAACCCAAGCUCGUGUUCGACUCGUUAAGAUUUCAAACUCAAAACUCCAGCCAACGUUCGGCUCAUUGAGUGAACGAGGGAUCAAUCUCGAGCUCAUUUCGAGCCGAACACGAACUGGCCUCCGAAUGCCAGCCCUAUGUGGAAGGGGAGUACCAUAAGGGAUGGGGAAUCUCUUGAGGAAGUAGAACUCCACCACUGAGAGGGAUGAGGAGAACAUCAUCACAAAUGUUGCUGUGGCACUUGCAACCUAGCACCCAAAAAAAAAAAAAGUACAAAUUUAUAAUGAUGGAUUUUGUACAAAUUUCUGUUAGUUUGACACUCUUAUUCUGUCAAAUAUUUAUUUUUAAUAAUAUUAAUUUUAACACUGUAACCCCCUGUUGCAUAUUUCUAAUCUAUCUAGGAGAGCUAAGUGCAUAUAUUCGUUUUUUAUUUUAGGGGUUAAGUGCGACAAGUGAUAUAUUGAGUGAGGUAAUUCAUAUUUUUAGCCCCAAAAAAAUGAUUAAGAAUUCGAAUAUAAUGAAAUAUGAAAUCAUAUAUAACUAGAACAAUUAAGGUUCCCAGUUGGACGGCUGAAGCUCUUGCAAAAGUGUGGUCUGAGUAAUGUUAUUAAAAGAAGCACUGACAUAGUCUUUAUCAAAUUUGUCCUAAUUGGCGAUACUCAGAAUCUUAGUUAAAACCUUAAGAGACUCUAACAAGAUACAUGACUGGUUAGAAUGAUUAGCGUUUGUUUGGCAGAGCUAGACGACUAAACUUUCUGCAGAAAUAUUGUCCGAGCUUUUUCAAAAAUCGCUAACAACUUUUUCAGCAACAACAAUCCAAGGAACAUAUCUGGUUCUAACUGGGGGAGAUUCAGAGUAAUAACUUGUGAGCAUCUCAACUGGUGAUCAGUGAUCACAUGAAUGGGGCCCCAUUAAGAGAGAUCACUCUCUUGUGAUUUUCUUUGUGGAAAAUUGGAAAUAAAAGCCCUUAGUCUCAACAUGUGGUUAAAAUAGGAAGGUACCUACCCUAGUAAGUCUCCACCAGUUAAUGUGUCAUGAGAAAGAACAGGGCCACUUUUUUUUAGCAUCUUGAACACAUCCAAAAUACCAAAAACCAAACCACCACUAACAUGCAAAAAUAGAACUGAUGACCCCUUUGCAUACAUCAGCAAUCUAUUCAUCAUUAUGAUAAUGUUAUGUAAGUUAAUUAUCAAAUAUUUUAGGGGUCCUCAAACUUCAGUUUGUUGCAAUUUAUUGUUCAAACUUUCUAAACUGUUGCAAUCAAGUCUGCAAUUCAUUUCGUUGAUAUGUCAUUAAUGUGAAAGUAAUAUAGUAGCGUUGUGAUUGAUGAUGUGGUAAUAAUUAAGAUAUCACAUCACUUUCACAUCAGCGAUACAUCGAUCUUUAUUUAACUAAUCUGAUUGUAAUAAUUUAGAAACUUUGAACUAAAAAUUAUAAUGAAUUACAGUUUACAGAUCAGAAUGUUACAUGCCUAGUAGUUGGAGAAUCAAAAGUAUAAAUUACCCCUACAUUUUAGAGCCUAUGUUAUUUAAAAACAAAAAGAAAGGUAGUGGAUGCCAAUAUCUACUGUAAAAAGUACAGUAGUACAUUGAAUUUUAGGGCCCAUAUGUGAAAAUAGGCACAAGGAGGGAUCAAAGAAGAAUCAAAAUGUGGGUACACUUAUGAAAAAGAUUGAAAGAGACUUUUAAGUCCAUUAGUUCAAUUAAUUUAGGAUUUGCUGUAGGACAAGAAUUUUACUGUACUAUCGAAGAGAUAAAAGGUGAUUUGACAUUGUAAUCAGUGAGUUUUGAUUUGAAUUUUUCACUUCUUUUCUUCAUUUUCAACAUUUAUCCAUCACUUUGUGACGGUCACUAACUUUACACGCAAUGUAAUUCAUGAGCGUUAUUCAAGUGUUUAAGCGAAAAGUACAGAAAGGAAUAAGUACUAAUCCAUAGUACGUACCUGAGGGAUCACGCCGAUCUCGAGGAGGAGAGGGCCGAGAAUGAAGCCGCCGCCGGAGCCGAGGAGGCCGCCAACGGUGCCACCUAGGAGGCCGCAGAGGGCGCAGAAGAGCAGCUGCGGCGCAGUCCAGUCGAUGGAAGCCUCGCAAACACGCUCCAUGUUUCCGCACGUGCGUCGUGCCCGGCUCUCCCGCCACAGCUUCACCGCUUCCCACGCGAACACACUCGCCGCGAUCGGAAUCUACGAAGCGCUCAUUUUUCAAUAGAUGCGAGAAUUUUCUUCAAUGUACGCCGAUCAUUUUAUGUCAAUGUAAUCUAUAGAUAAAGAGAAAUUAAAAUUUAUCGGUGUUCUGAAAAUUUUGGUUUCUAACACGCAGAUUGUGGAUUCGAAUGUCUCAAUACCAAUUUUCUGAUUAAUAAAAUAUUUAAGCCAUAUCAAAUCAACUGUAUCCUAAUCUAUCUGUGCCAUGCAAUGCCAAAAUUGCCCAUGUGAGAGUUAGGCAUGCUCAUGUUACAUAAACAAACAUAAAAAGGAAAAGAGAAAGAUGAGCACCUGCAAGAUAUUUAUUGCCCAGUAGAAGAUGCUACAUGUUUCUGACCCAUUCUGCAACCCCAUUGAACCAAUUUUAGCAUCUUACACCAUCAUAAGAACCAAUAAAUGCCAAACACUAGAGACAGAAACAACUAGAUAUGUAGAGAGAGAGAGAGAGAGAGAGAGAGAGAGGUUACUAAUCACAUGCCUUUAGGAUUUGGAGUACAAGAAAGGAAGACCAAACCAGCAUAAGGAUAAGGAUUCCCUUCCACCUUAUGUUGAACAAAAGUGCUUCCUUGGGAAAUAAAAAAAACAACAUCACAAUGAUGAUCACAACACAAAAUGAUGAAGCAGGUUUAAGCUUUUGAAGAACAACGAUUAUCUUACACAAUUUAACAUGAUAUCAGAACAAGUCUCGAGUUUGAGCUCGGCCCUUAUUAAGUCAAUGUCUUGAACAAGAUUUUAUGUGCCCGUUGGCACGGGCCAUAUCCACCGUGCUAAUAAUAUACCGGCACAAUACAGAUCCCGUGCCGAUGGCACAACUCAAAACCCUCUAUUCUUUAAAUUAAUAAGUAAUUUUUUCAAUAAAGUUUAAAAAUGUGAUAAAAAGACAUAAUAAAUAAUUAAAAUAUUUUGUUACUAAAGAAAAUAAAUAUUUCAUGCUAUUAUGUAUCGGCACACAAGAAUUUUUUUUGAUUGGCACUGCUCGGCAUGGUGCCGUACCAUACCGGCAAGUUUCCGGCACGAUCUCGUGCCACGGCACUUAAAUCCUUGGUCUUGAACUUUUUGAGAAGUUUUGAAUAUAAAUAUUAGAAAUAUCAUUCUCUGAAAGCUUGAUCUUUCGAAGAAUAACAAUUAUUUCAUAUACUUCAAUAAUAGUAACGCUAUUUGUAGGAUACUCUUAUGUACUUACAAGUUUGGAUUUCUCCUCUGUCUGAGGAAGAAGAGGCUCAUAUUCUGAAUCAAUAAUAACUGGAUCACAAACAAAAGAAUAUUUAAUGGGUACCAAAUAAAGCAACAAAUGAGAAAGAACAUACACUACAAAAUGUUAUUCUGUUUUUUUUUUUUUCCAUUUACCAUCAUUAUUGCGGGAAUUUGUUUGCGCUUCUCGCUUUUCUGUCUCCAUCUGCAUUUCGUAUGUGCGCGAUUUAAAAUUAGUGAAGCCGCAAAUCACUUGUCUUUAAUACCAAUAUCUCUUUCUAAUAUGCAUUUGCAGAAUAAUUAGUGCCUGUUGGGGUCAGAUUUUUGGAAUAGCUUCUCUACAAGUGCAGUAGAAUUCAAACUUUUCGAAAUCUAAUGAUUUUGAAAUGAUUGAAAAGACAAAAGAAAAAAAACAGAAAGGACUUCUAGAUCACAACAACAAAGGCUCUAGGUUUGCGUUUCUGCUUAUUAUUUUAUAAAGAAAAAGCAAUUUGAGCCUUUUCAAAUAGCUCCUUGAACAGCAUUUUUUAAGAAGCUCCAGCGUAAUCGAAUAAACUCUUGAUCCUUAGUAGUUCAUGAAACAAUUGAUAUCAAAGUAAAAGGAAAUUACGAAAAAGAAGAACUUUAAAAAAGAGAGUUUACGACACCGGAAAAGGAAGUUUUAAACAACCUUGAGUAUGGUUUCUUGCUUCCACAUCUGGAUUCCCCUGAAGAAGGACCGAGACGAAGUACCUGUCCAUAAUUCGUAACAGAAUCACUAAAACCAAUCUAACAAAAUGGUACGCAUGUCGUAAAAGGGCAAAAUGUAGAAUUUGUAAGUCGAUCCUGGCGUCUUUUUAUUUAAACACUUUACUUCAUAAACGUUUACGCAUGUUACAAGUUCACUUCGUUGGAACGAUCAUUUGACACCUUCUCCUGCAAAAUAAUCCUUGGGCCAGAAAAAUCACUUUAUAGGAAAGUUAGUUCUUUUAAUUAGUUGUCGCAUAUGGAGCUACGACGUAUGAGAAAGAUCAGAAAGUAAAGUGUUUAAGUAAAAAGUGUAGGAGUUCAGUCGCAGUGUCGAACUAACACAGUAACUAUUCAAAACUUGUGGUCGGAAUUGAUCAGGAAGUAAAGUGUUAAAGUUAAAAGUACGUGAGUUCAGUCGCAGUAUGGAACUAAUACAGUAACUAUUCAAAACUUAUGGUUGAAAAAGGAUCAAGAAAUAAAGUAAGUGUAUAAGUAAAAAAGUACAAAAGUUCAAUCGUAGUGUCGAAUUAACAAAGCAACUAUUCAAAUCUAGUAGUUUACAAAGAUCGGGAAGUAAAGUGUUUAAGUAAAAAAUUACAUUAGUUCAGUCGCAGCGUCGAACUAAUAGAGUAACUAUUCAAAACUUAUGGUUGAAAAAGAUCAGGAAGUAAAGUGUUAAAGUUAAUAAGUACAUGAGCUCAGUCACAGUAUCGAACUAAUACAGUAACUAUUCAAAACUUAUGGUUGAAAAAAGAUCAAGAAGUAGAGUGUUUAAGUAAGAAGUACAAAAGUUCAGUCGCAGUGUCGAACUAAUACAGUAACUAUUCAAAACUUACGGUUGAAAAAAGAUCAGGAAAUAGAGUGUUUGAGUUAAAAGUACAUGAGCUCAAUCGCAGUGUCCAACUAAUACAGCAACUAUUCAAAACUUAUGGUCAAAAAAAGGUCAAGAAGUAGAGUGUUUAAGUAAAAAGUACAAAAGUUCAAUCGCAGUGUCGAACUAAUACAGUAACUAUUCAAAACUCAUGGUUGAGAAAGAUCACGAAGUAAAGUGUUUAAGUGAAACGUACAGGAGUUCAAUCGCAAUGUCGAACUAACUACUACAGCAACUGAUCAAAACUUUGUGAUUUAAUUACCUAAGAAGAGGAUAAUGAUGAGGACAGUGAUCAACCAGAAAGGGAAAACAACACUGAGCUCAACACCAAUGGUGAUGCCCAGCAUGAGCAUGGGCUGAAACAGCAGUGCCAGAUUGUAGUCUAUGAUGGGCACCUCCUUUGUUGGGUGAGACACCUGCAGAUUGUACCACACCGACGACGUCGAAGCGCCCAUAAUCAUACCUUAAAAAAAAUAGUUAAGAUCAAUCACAUUCGUCAAUCCAUCGAUCUAAAAUAGUUAAGAUUAAUCACAUUCGUCAAUCCAUCGAUCUCUUCUGUGAUCCUUAUGAGUAUGUAAGUGAUGAUAUCAAUUCCAAUACAGAGCUAUUAAAGCCUAGUUCGGUAAUACGGUCACGGAAAGUACCAUUUAAAAGCGCUCUCAAUCUUCUUUUUUUUUUAUGCUAUAAAAAUUACUGUCACAGACGCAGCAGUCGCCAUUGGUUGCUACUGCAACAAAAAAUUUACUAAUUUAAUUUACCAAGUUAUCAUGGUAUCAGUACAAAAGAUCCUGAGGUCACAUCAAUUCUUUUGAGUACUAAAAUUUAAUUUGUAUUUUAUAAAUCCUAGGGGAGGGAUUAUAGUUCAAAUUUAAAAAGUCAAGGCUAAAUUAAACUUUUAGUCCUCAAACUAUGAAUAAUCGUAUGUUUUGAUACUCAAACUUUAAUUUGUCGUAGUUCUCACUCGAACUUUUUAAAUUAUCAUAAUUAAAUUUCUUUUAUGCUAUAAAAAUUACUGUCGCAAAAGCUGCAGUCCGUUGGUUGCUACUUGCUACUGCAAUUUUAUUGUAUAAACAAAAAUACCUGGACUAUGAAUACACGUGGAUUUUGUGAAAAGGCCCGAAAAUUACUAAUUUAAUUUACCAAGUUAUUAUGGUAUCAGUACAAAAGACCCUGAGGUCACAUCAAUUUUUUUUUAAAUUCUAAAAUUUAAUUUGUAUUUUAUAAAAUAUUAGGGGAGGGAUUAUAGUCCAAAUUUAAAACUUUUAGUCCUCAAACUUUAAUCUGUUCUUGUUCUGACUCGAAUUUUUUAAAUUAUCACAAUUAAAUUCUGCAGUACAAUUCAAAAUAUCUCGGUGGUGGGGACGGUAUCCUCAUCGCAUCAGCAAGGCAUCGUCAUCCAGUCACAACCAAUUAAAAAAUACCAAACUUUAAAUUAUCAAAAUUUAAAAGUUCGAGCCGAAAAUUAUAUAAUAAUAAUUUAGAGAAAAGUGAAGGGCUAAACAGCUAAAAAUCAAACCGUCCAAAAAAAGGUCGGUAAUUUCUCUCUCUCUCUCUCUCUCUCUCGCUUGCUCUUAACCCUAAUGCGCUUUACGACGUACUUAAUUAACCCUAAACGGAUCAAAAAAAUCCCAAAAAAUCAGGAAAAAAUAAGCAAAAAAAAAAAAAAAAAAAGGUUGUUGCUUACAUUUGGAGAGUGCGGCGGCGGAUUUGGUGUCGAAUCCGACGACGAGGUUGAGGAGGGGGACGAAGACGCCGCCGCCGCCGACGCCGCCGACGGUGCCGAACGCCGACCCCAGGAACCCCACCACCGUCGCCACCGCGCUCUGCCAAUUCGCCUCCAACCCCUGCAAACAAAACACGCAAAUACAACAAAUCAAAUCAAAUCAAAACCUGGGUGCACCACCCAAUUCCUCCAAUGGAGCCAUUGCUACAACUACUACUGCUUAAUUACCGGCCAAACACGGCGAGGAGAGGAGGUGGCGGAGAAGAAGAUACGGCGGCGGCGGUGGUGGGAUUGAUUUGCAUUGCCGGAGGAGGAGAAGAAGAAGAAGGCGGCCGCAGCGACGGCGACGGAGGAUGCGAAGAGAAUGUAUGCGACGAACCGCUUGGUUGUUGUCGUUGUUGUCGUCGUUGUUGCUGCAUUGUUGGUGUUGGUGGUGGUGGUUUCCAUGGUUUGUGUUUGUGUUGGGGGAGGAGGGAGGCUCUACUUGUUUGUGUAUGUGUAUAUAUAUAUAUUAUGUAUAUAUAUAUAUAUAUAUAUAUGGAAGAUGAUGAACAUAAAUUGGAAACGUUUUGGGGUACACGUACGUGCAGAGUUGGGCCGGAAUUUAAUAUUAAUAGCGUGGUAUUAUUUAUUUUAUUAAUAUUUUUAGGGUUAGGGUGUUACUGAAGAGAGCGAAGUGGUUGAACUAUCCUUUUAAUUUUUUUUAAAAUUUUUGGUUAAAUUAUAGAAAAUUCUCUUAUAAUAAUUCGCUUUUUCACUUUUCUCUCCUGACAUUUAAAAACUUACACUUUGCCCCCUUGUAAAAUAAAAAAUAUACACUUCACCCCCUACCGUUAGGGUUCCGUUAGGAUUCUAUUAUAAAAUAUUUUUUUAUGCCGAAAAUAUCCCUCCGCCCUCUUCUCUGUUGCUUCGCCUCUCUCCGGCUCGCCACCUCGCCGCCGCCUCGCCGUCCUCCACUGCCUCGCCCUCGCCCACAUUCCCUUCGCCGUCGUCCGCCGCCUUGCCUUCGCAUUCGCCUUCGUUGCUUUUGCCUACCUCUCCAUCAACACCCACCUCGGUUUCCUUCCUACUGUCGCCAAAAUCGAGGGGCGGCGAAGGUGCAGGAGGAAAAAGGGAGAAGGAAAUGGAGAGAAAUCGCGGCCGAUUGAGGUAGGAAUCGCGGCCGAUCGAAAGAGUAGCUGAGGAAGAUGAGGAAGAAGACGAAAAUGGCGAGGGGCAAAAUGGUCAUUUUACACACCGUAACCCCCCUAUGAAUAUUUUUUAUUUCACAAGAGGGCAAAGUGUAGGUUUCUAAAUGUCAGGGGGCAAAAGUGAAAAGGUGGGUUAUUACAGAGAGAUUUUCUAUAAUUUAGCCUAAAUUUUUUAAUAUAUUUUUAUUAUUUUAAAUGAUAUUUUUAAUAUAAAUUAUAAAAAAUAAACAGGAUAGCGACGGAACGUUGAAGAACGCGAGAAUAAGUAAUGAACUUAAAAUUUUAAGCGGACAAAAUAUAAAUUUUUAAAAAUUAGAGGAAAAAUAAACUUGUUUUUUUUAUUUUAGUAUCUGUAAGUUUUAAUUACAUCACUCAAAUUAAAGGACCUUGCGUUUCUAUUCUUAUUCUCUAUUAUACCCUUUAUUAAUUUUUUCUUUAAAACAGUCAUGUGCUAGCUGCACAAAUAUUGUUAAUUGUCGCGUUUUCGCCGUUAAGCAUCUAGCAAGAACGAUCAGAAUUAUGCCGCAAGGAAUUUCAUGCUAUUUUUAUCGACUCUUUUGGGACAUCUCUAGCGCAUAUGCGCGGCACAUGGCGAAUUUAACUAUAAACAAAAAUAAAAAUUACAAAAUAUUUAAAUGAUACAAUUAAAAUCAAUAUGAUAGUGUAAUAAAAGAAUCGUAAACCACAUAACUAUCCCAAGUGUUUUCUAAAUUAAUUUAUUUGGUCAUAUCUUUCCAUAUAUGAAUACACUGAAUAAAAUACUUUGCUCACUUACUAGUUUACAAAAAAAAAAAAAAAAAUUACUGAAACAAAUAUGGCAGUUUCUUAUUAGUUCUCUUUGCCUAGAAUAAUAAUUACCAUUCAACUAAUACAUUGAAUUAUUUUUCUCAAUACAUUAACUUUUAAUUGGAGUUAUUUAUGGAAUUUUUUUGCAUGGGGGAGAGAGAGAGAAUGUGUUACCAUAUAAUGCGCAACAUUCCAGAAGUAUAUGAGGAUUAAAUAAGUAAAGAAAGGGUCAGCGUAAGAAGGUAGUUUCCAUAUGAGAUAAGGGCAUUAGAAAUUAUUAGGAUAUAUGAGAGGAUGGAUAAACAGAGACAAACAUGUGGUGCCUCAUUUAUUUGGCUUCACAUUACUAUAUAUAUAUAUAUAUAUAUAUAUAUAUAUAUAGAAUUAGGCUGGAAUACUAUUAAUAGUAAAACGUUUUUUUUGCUAUCAAGUUUUUAAUACUUGGAUGAAAAAUUAUAGGGUCAGGAUGAUAUUAGUCGGUUAGAGUUGAGUGGUCCCCCUAGGGUUGAGUGGUCCUCACUGGGUUAUAGUAUUUAAUCCAAUGGUUAGAAAUAAUGAAAAGAGUUGAUCCAAAGGCUAAAAAAUUGGUAGCAACAAUGAAAUUUUGCUCCUAAUAGUAGCCCAGUCCAACUCUCUCUCUCUCUCUCUCUCUCUCUCUCUCUCUCUCUCUCUCUCUUUAUAUAUAUAUAUAUAUAGAGUUGAGCUAGAAUACUAUCGAUAGCAAACGGGCUCCGUUGCCACCCAUUUGUUUUCGAUGAUAGAGUCUCCAAAUCGACGAUCGGUACUGUUGAACAUAAUCUAUACCACUUGAAGUAUUUCGAAAUUAAAUUUCAAAUUUUUUUACAUCAUUUGCCUAAUGAUCAAAGAGUUUCAAAAUUUGUAAUUUUAAUGGUCGAUAUGAGGCGUUUCUUGUUUAACGGCGUAAAGAUAUCCAAAUCAAUUGAGCUUUUGUUAGAAAAUUUUUUAAACUAUUUAAAACAAGAUCUAUACUCUUGAUCUUGAUUACAAGACUCCUAUCAUCAUUUUUUAAAGAAUAUUCAUUUUCAGCCGUUUAUUUUUGUGUCCACUCAAUGGAUAAGAGAACAAUAUCGAAAAUAUAUAAAAAUUGAUUUCUAAAUACUUCAAGUGGUAUAGAUCAUAUUCAACGGUGCCGAUCGUUGAUUUGGAGGCUCCAUUAUCGAAAACAAAUAGGUGGCAACGGAGCCCAUUUGCUAUCGAUAGCAUUCUAGCUCAACUCUCUCUCUCUCUCUCACUCUCUCUCUCUCUCUCUCUCUCUCUAUAUAUAUAUAUAUAUAGAGAGAGAGAGAGAGAGAGAGAGUUGAGCUGGAUACUAUUAGUAGCAAACAAGUUUUAUUACUAUUUAUUUAUUUUUGAUAACCGAGUCUUCAAAUCAACGAUCGGCACUGUUGAACAUGAUCUAUACUAUUUGAAGCAUCUGAAAAUUAAUUUUUAUAUUUUUUCCAAGGAUUUGUCCAACUGUUUUUUAAAAUUAAUCCUUAUUCAGCAGCUUGUUUAUAUUUAACAAUCACAUAAAGAAAUAAACAAUAGAAAAAAAAAAUAUCUAUUCUUAAAAAAAAAUUAGUUAGAUGUUCAAUAAAUGGUAUUACCCAGCAUACAAUUUCAUGAUUUAAAUUUAAAACAUAUUCAAAAUCUAAUUAACAAUUAUGUUAGAACUAAAUUAAAUUUGUUUUAAUUAUUUUAAUUAUUUGCAAAAUAGUGGAGAUAUUAUUAGAGGUAGGGAGAAAGCACAAACACUCAUCACUGAUUCAGGGAGAAUUACUUAUCCAAAUUUUUGUCUUCUUUCUAAUAAAAAAAUAUUUAUAUGUACAAGCCAAAGAGUACUUGCUUUUUUACAUCUAGAACCAAAAGCCACCUCAACUUCGCAUUGUUAUUCAAUAAUACUUUAUUGUACCUUUUUGGCCCAUAUAUGUGAAAAUUUGAUUAUAAAAUCUUGCUUAAAGAGAUCAUUAACACAUUAUCCAUAUUAUUAAAUAUAGAAAUAUAAAAAUAUUACAUUCUACAAGCUUUAGUUUUUACAAUACCAAGAUUGUUUCGCAUUUUUUAAUAUGGUAUCGAAACAAUAAGUCUUCAGUUCAAAUCCUGUCAAACUCCUAACGUUAUUUAAUUUUCUCUUAUUUAAUUUAACACAUGUCUUGAGUUUAUUAAAAAUGAGUGGGAGUGUUGAAUAUAAAAUAUAUAAAUAUUGUUCUCUGAUAAUUUAAGUUUGUAAAAAAUAGCGGUUGUUUCAUAUAAACAUAUAUAUUAUAUGAAAAUAUUUUAUUAGUUUUGUGGAUUCACUUCAAAAAUGCAAAGUGUGUUUCCAUGUAACAAUAUGAAUGAAUCAAUCCUAUUUCCUUUGCAUAUAUCUUUUCACUUUCUACAAUAUAAAAUCUUUUUUUUUUUUCAAACAUACUACUCAACUAUUUUUUUAAUUCCUACACUGUAAAUAAUAAAUCUAUAAUUUUUUUAUAUAAAAACUAUUAAUAAAUUACUCGUUAAAAGUGGCGAAACAUAUAUUAAACUCAUUUUGCCAUAAAAAUAAUAAAAAUAAUUUAAAAUAACUUAAUAGAAACUUUUCAUUCCUACAGUAUAAGCAAUAAAUUUAUAAUUUUAUAUAAAAAUUAUUAAAAAAUUAGUGGUUAAAAGUGACAAAGCAUAUAUUAAACCCAUUUUGGCACAAAAAUAACAAAAAUAAAUAAAAACAACUUAAUAUAAAAUUUUAAUAAAUUUAUCAUGGAGGUUUGUUUUAUACAUUUUCUACUAUCUAAUCAAUGUCUCUUAACAAAAUUGGUAAAUUUCAUCUAUAAUAAUAGAUUUGUUAAUAAUAACAUAGAGAUUGGCAAGAUCAAAAAAUAAAUAGUUUAGUGAUAUUUAUGAAAAUAAAUUAGUAUAAGUAGCAAAAUAAAAAUAAAUUUAAAAUAUAAAACUUUAUAAAAUAUAAAAAUAUAAUAGUGUUAUUUUUUUAAAAAAAAAUAUAAUACAUUAAAUAAAAAUAAUACUAAAGUACAGUGCAGUAGAGGGUAAUUAAGCUCAUAUGAUAUGAAAUGAUGGAGAGUUAAUGGAGGGUAAUAUGGUAAUUCUCUAUUGAAAUGGUGUAAAGAAAAGAUCAUGCAUGUAUCUAUCUUUGUGAAAUAAUUGUGAUUUAAAAAAUAGAAUUUAUCCAUUCAAGGGACCCAAAACUUUCCCCUUUUGUUUUUAUGUGUGAUUGGGAUCUCAACUUAAUAUUUUUUAUUCAAUAAUUUUCAUUGUACCACUUUUGACCCACACAUGUUUUUAGUAUGAUUAGGAUCUCAACCUUUUUUUUUAAAAUUUUUUUGGUUCAAUAAUUUUCACUGUAGCUCUUUGGCCUAUAUCUAGAUAGGAACAACACUACAUGUCUCCUAAAAUACCAAUGUUAUAAAUUAUUGAUGUGUUAUUUUAUAUUUGAUUUAAAGAUAUAUGAUUAUUUCAAAUAUUUCACAUCUCUCUUUCUAUCUGUCCAUCUCUUUGGACACUUCCAACAUGCUAGUUUUUUUAAUUAAAAUCACAUACGCAGUCAUCGUACCCUGACCUUAUUAGGGAUGCAAAUGGAUUCCGACUGGUGGAGCUCCCACUCUCAUCCGUCUUGAAUGAGACGGUAAGUAAAAACAAAAAAAAUAUAAAAAAAUAUAAUCUGUCUCGAAACAGUCCCGAUCUGCGAAGAAAAUAAAUGAAAUGAGAGGCGGGAACCACCCGCCACCAGAAAUCUGCUCUUAGCUCAAUCUGCUUCGAAUAGAGCGAUAAGUGGGAGCCAAAAAAAUAGGAUGCAAAUUAAUCCAUCCCAAGCCUAUGAAAACCCGAUAAGUUACCAAAUAAAUGGGAGGUGGGAAACCUCUCUCGCCUCUGGAUUCGCCCAUUUGUAGCUCUAGACCUUAUGAGCCGCGAUUCAAGUAACAAAUAGUGAGCUAAGCAGCUAUUAUCUUAUGUGUAUUUAUCAAUACAUCAAUAAUAUAUAAAACCAACAUAUCAGCAUCUCUAAAGACAGAAAGUUAGAGUUUAAGCGCUAAUCGAUACGGACCGUGCCUACCGUGUCGUAUUGUACUAAUAAGAUACUGAUACAAUACAACCCUUUGUACCAAUGGCACAGCUCAAAACUCUAUUUGUUUUGAAAUUAGUCAAUAAUAAACUCAAUAAAGUGCUAAAGAUUUGAUCGUGAAAUCACCACAUAAAUAUUUUUUUUGACCGGCACGCAUCGGCACAGCAUACACUGUGUCGUACAGUACAAGUAAGUUUUCGCCACGAUUUCAUGUCAAGAUACUUAAAUUCUUGGCAACAAAUAUUUUUCCAUAUUGUUUUUAAUCUAUGAUUAGGAUCUUACAACCCAAUGACAAAAUCUUCCUUAAUUGUUUUGUAUUGUGAGUUUGCUAUCAUCAAAUCUCUAUCAAGAGAUAAUAUUUUGUGUCUCAUUAAUGUAUGUUUGAGGCUAUGUCUAUUUAUAUUAUUAUCAAGGUUAAUUUCAGGUACAUUGGGUCCCUCCACACUGUCCCUUUUAUAGGUACAUAAAUGGCCAAAAAAGAAUAUGGUUUAGAGAUAGGUACCCAAAAAAUAAAAAACAAAAAAGUACAUUUUAUCACUAUUUCACCUAAAAUUGUGAGAAUAUUUUAAAAAAAGUUUAGAAAGUGGAGAACCAAAUAUUCUUAAUUAUGGAUUGAAAAAGAAAUAUACCUACUUGCUUGCUCAAAAUUUCAAUUAAAAAAAGCCUAUAUGAAUUGAAAAAGAAAAAAUAGAGAUAAUAUCUGGUAUAUCUUUUAAAAUUUUAAAAAUAUCUAAUAUAUUUCUGAUUGAUUAAAAUAUUUUUAUUGAUUUUCAAAAAUUUCUUCAAAUAUCCUGAUACCCCCUAUGAUUUUCUAAUUGGAUUUGGGGUUUAAAAAAAAUAUUUUGAUAAUUUCUGAAUAAUUUUGAAAAUUUUGAUCAGUAGUCAAGGAAUAAAUAAGAAAAAGCACCAAGAAAAUAUACCAACAGGCUUGUUAAAAGUGAAAUAAAAAAAAAAAAAAGAAGCUCUAUGAAGAAGGUUCAUUACAUGUAUCAGUAUAUUUAUAAAAAUAUAUACAAUUUAUCUGAAGUAUGAACCAUUUUGAAUUGAUUACCUUACUUUUUAAAAUUUUGAUUUUAAUUUAAUUUUAAUACUCAAUAUUCCAAAUUGUUUACUCUGAAUUGGUCGACAAUACUUUGGCUUCAAAAUUUAAAUUAAUUUCAUACUUUAUUGAAUUUAUAGUUACAAGAAUUGUAUAAAAUAUAUUAACUGAAUCUAUAAAAAUAAAUAAUACAUUCAAAUUUAAAGUCAAAGUUUGACCGACUCAAAUCAAACAAAAUGAAAAGUUGAAUAGUAAAAUUUUGAUAGAUUGAACAGUAAAUUUAAAAUAGUGUAUAGUUCGGAUAAAUUUUAUAAAUUUAUAUUUAUUUAUUUAUUUUAAGGAAAUGAAGGUACACAUCAUUUAUAUUAAUAAAAAAGAAAAGAGUGGAUAAGAAUGAGAAGAACAAACAAAGAACCAGGGAUAAGGCAAAUAUCAAGAAGAGAACUACAACUUGUCAAAAAAAAAAAAAAAAAUUUAAAAAAGAAGGGCUGGGGACUAGAAUGAAAAAUCUGGAAGAUGUUGGAGACCAAUGGUGUAAUUUACUGGUUUAAAGAAACCAGCAUUUUGUCCUGUAUCGAAAGAUCAGAUUGGACCGAAUCAUGUUCAAAAUGACGAGAGGUCGAAUUAAGUCGAGUCAUGUUCAAAAUUACAUAAGGCUGAUCAUGUCGAGUCAAAAUCGAAACCCAUGAACUAGUUGCGUAUUUCUAACAUAUCUCUGAGCUUCUGGGAUAACUAGUUAGCGCCAACGAUCCGAUAGUUAACCUCUAUAAAGUUUACUCACGAGCCCAUAAAUUAUAAUCAUAAACAUUAUUUUGAUAAUUAAGUAUAAAAAAGCUAAAAUGCAGAAUUUUUUUUAUAUAAAUAUCUCUUUUUGCAAUUCUAUCCCCGAUUAUUUCAAAAGCUAAUAUUUUGCCACCUCAAAAUUUAAAAUUAUAGUGUGUUGUGAAAAAAUAUUAAUUAGUAAAUAGUAGAGAAUCUCUUUCAUAAAAUUAGUUAAUUCGAGGAAAAUAAAAGAUUCUAAUAUAUUUUCAUAACUUGUAAAAUACAAUAAAAAUAUUUUAGUAAGUUACUCGGCCGUGUUAAGUAUACGAUUUUAAAUUUUAAAGAAAAAAAUAAAAAUUUUAUCCCAACACAAAGAGUAAUGUGCAAAAGUGAAUAUUUAUUGGAUUUUUUUUUUUUUUACUAUUUUAGCCUGAAUAAAAUUCAUGUUCAACCUCACGUGGCUCAUUUUUUUUAUUAAUUUAAUAAUCGUGCUCAAUACAAUUCUCAUAAUAAACGACAAAAAGCAAUACCUAAAAAGUGUUCCAAUAAUAAAUUAUGUGGUAAAAAAUAGGCACAAGUAUUUUAUAUAUGCAAACCUAACGCAACAACAAUAAUUUAAAAUUAAUGUGGAUUGGAGUUUAAUUCCAAAAAGAAAAAGAGAGAGAGAGAGAGAGUAUAUACAACUCACAUGAGAAAUGUUUUUAUUAGCGAAGUUGAAUUUGACUAAAAUUUUGUUCACAAAUCAUGUCUAGUAACAGUAAUUAUAAGGCCAAAAUUCGCAUUUGGUUUUCAAAUUUCAAUUUAUUGUAAUUUCUAAUUCACAAUUUUCAGAAUUGCUAUAAUCAAGUUCUACAAUUCAAUUUAGUAAACUAAAUAUUAAUGAGCCGCUAAUAUGAAAGUGAUAUUCCAAUAUUGUGAUAGAUAAUGCGACAAUAAUUAACAUGUCACAUCACUGUUAAAGUAGAUUAUUGAACUUAAUUGGAACUUUAAGUUUGAGGACUAAUGUGUCACCGGUGUCAUAGUUUGAGGACCAAACAUGCAUUUUAGCCUAAGUAAUAAUCCUAAUUAUAAAUAUAACUCUUGGCUUAUUCAAGAGAUAAUAUUUCGUAGCAAUAUACAUAAUUUGAUUGGAGAAUGAGCACUUAACAACACUGCAGAGACCUGCUAUGCUCUCACUCUCCACAUUACCAAAAAUAAAAAAUAUGCUCAUAUUAACCUAACACAUACAUUUAUAAUCAUCAAUUUACGAAAAAAUCUUAAGUAGGAUAUUUACCGCACGCUGCUACGAAGUCGUCGGAUGGAGUAACCACUGAGGUAGCUUCGCGAAAAACUCUCUCCUCGUGUCCAACGGUUAAAUUCCGAAGCUCGAAACAUGUGAUGAACACCUCAAGUCAGGUAAUAUUUGCGCGCUUCCUUAGUUCUCACAAGAGAAAAUGGUCGAUCAUGUGAAAGAUCACAUCCGCGCCAUCGGAAUGCAAAAAGUACGUCUUUACCUGCACGGAAUAAAGAAACAAAAGUACAGAGAAAGUUAUUCUCGCGCUGCAGAUUCUGUCGCGGUAGAUGAUACCUCACGUGCACAACAACUACAAGAGGAAACUGGUACGAGUCGCUGCGAGAGAAACCUGAAUAGUGCUGUGAGCGAAAAUUCUUUGCUUGCUUUUCUUGAAGCUGACAUCGACUCUUUCCCACGGAACUCGGUUCAGACCUCUGAUCAUAGCCUCUACAGUUAAUGAUGAUUUUACAAAGAGAUAAUAGAAAGUCAGUUCUGUGAUUCUAGUUCGGAACUAAUUGUUCGGAAAUGUUCAAACCUUCCAUUUCCGCUGUAGUUCUUGCCUGAUAAAUCAUUGCGUCUGAAAAAUCAUCUGGCUGGUUAGUAGCAGGUUUCGGCUUCUCCACGUAGACGAUGUGCGGAUAUUUGCCAUCCUUUAUAAAAUUUUGGCGCUGCAUUAGAGAGAAAAACUUGAGAUGAGAUACACGCACCGCACUCGAACAAUGUUGAUAAUUCGGUGCUUUACCUUCGGAAGCUCGUUUUGCCGACGUAUCGAAGAUGUUUUCCGGCCAACAACGACUGAAUCCAGUUAAGCCCGACAAUUAAUCGAUUGUGAACGUAACAUGGAAUCUUUUUGAUGAUUGAAGUUUUUCAUAAUAUCAGAACAAAGGAUACAAUCACCACACACAUUUGAGUAAGCAACAUGGCGCUUGAAGGAUUGCAACGCGGACCUACAAAAGAAAGCAAAAUAAUAUAUGAUUUGACAUGAAUCAAGGUAAUGAGGAAGAGACAAACUAGCUUAUCUAAGAAGCCGUACAUGAAACGAAGAUCUCCAAAAUCAGUGACCAUUUGAAGAAGGAGAGGCGGCUUGCCAUCUUUUCCGUCCUUGAGAAAGAGAUGCUUCCCGCUCUUCCGAGCAAUCCAAGAUAGCCGGAAUGCCAUCUUUUCCAAUGUAUUGAUGCCACCAAGUAGCGGUAUCUGCAAGCAAAAUUUCACACUCAUAUUAAUAAGCAAUUACACUGCGGCGCGAGUCUUGAUAAUAGAAUACUUUCUUCAAACAGAACGAACAGGCAUAGAAUCAGAUCGAUUCCCAAAAUGCCUUUUUGGAUCUUCCUCAGUGUCCCAGCUAUUCACGGAACCCCACAAUAGUCAUGCUACUCAAUCUAUCAAUAGGAGAAUUUGUAAUAGUUAAUGUAGUUCUUUAAUAAAUAUUUUUUCGUUUUCUUCGAAUUUGUAAACAAUGUGCAUCUCAUAUGCCUUGGGCAGACGCUUUAUGCCCUCGUUGCACCUUGUGACUUGCUCGUUGCAUCAAGCCUCCACUCCAGAAGCCCUUUCACUAGAGCACCAUACACCAUUUAAAACUAUGAUCUCAACUGGCUUUGUUGCCAUUGGUCUUUGAAAGAAUCACCAUGCCGUGACAAAGUUAAUCUCAUGGGAAAGAUCGUAUGCAAUGUUAACAUAACCACAAAGAAACCACGACAUUCGGAUAUGUUGAGAGAAAUUCAUUGGACAUCAUGAAGGAGCAGCUUAAGCAAAGUACAAAAAGAACUUAUAUAAAUCAAAUUUACAAGGAUUCAUGCCGUGAAAGCCCAAUCUUAUUUAUGCACAGGGAAGAUGAUAUGAACAAGUUAACUAUAAAUAGUAAAACAAUAAGAAGUAUUCAUGUCACGCAAGAGAUUACCCUACUAAUAAACCAACCUAUAUGUGCAGCUAUCUCAUGGCGAGGAGGCAUUGAGAUUAAAAUUUUUUUAAUAGAAAGGUGUUUUCUUCAACAUUACCUGCUUGUGAGACCUCGUACCAAGGUGUGGUGUCGCAAAAGUGAUGAAGUUCAUGGGCUCCAAUCCAGCAAUGUUGCCUUUCAAGUUUUGAUUCACAGAUUGAGUUUGGGAUAUAUUAGUAUUAAGUUCCCCAUUAUCCUCAGAAGAUUCCUUCGAGAUGCCUUUCUCAUAAAGUAAUGCAAUGGUAUAUCUUGCAAUCAAGCCACCUAGUGAAUGUGCGACAAAGGAAAUUUUUUGAAGCCAAGGCCUUUUUGAGACAACAGAUAUUACCUGAAUAAACAAACUUAGUAAGUAGCAGAACCUAUAGAUUUAAUAUAGGUUGAUGAAUCUAUUUGCUACACUAAUGAUUUGCGUAAUCAAAUAAACAAAAUUAAAAUACCUUUUGAGUCAUUUGAAACACAACCCAAGAUGAGGGAUUAACAAUUGUAAGAUCACAGUUUUAUAUCGUUCCAAGUCGAAGCAGAAUUUUGAUUUAAUAAUUGUUAAAACCGAGCUGGACCACAUGACAAUAUGGACCAAAUCGGGUACAUCGAAAUAACCCUAGUUUGCUUUAGUUUACAAAUUAGUGUUGAACUUUCUUUUUCCUUUUCAUGUAGGCCUUCAACGUUUUUUUCCCUUUGUUUUUUUUUCACAAUUUCAUUGACAUUCAAGUCAAACACAGAAGACGGAAUCUCUUCCCAAUUUAUCUAAAAGAUGAUUAACUACAAGCAUUUCAGAAAUAAAACAUAGUGUGUUUCUUCCUUUUACCAUUUGGAAAAUAUCCUACAUCUCUUGAGAAAAUUAUCGUUAGAACAGGAUGGAGACUUUUCAUAAGAAUUCAUGUUUACAAUUAUAAUGCUCCAUUAAUGUGGAGCACACGUGUAGUGUUACUACAAAACCGACAUGUUAUAGUCUUGAACUGAACCGGAUUGGAAAAUGAACAUUUUGCUAUUUUAAAACCAAAAGUGAACAGAGAAAUAAUAAAAUCAAGGCAACUUGUGUUUAUUGGUUUGACAUGCUCUAUUUUCUGUUUUCAACCAAAUUUGAACAUUCUCAGAAAAAAGUUUAUCUACAGCUGCGAUUUCUCAAAAUAAAGUGUAAAUCAUAUUAGACUAAUAUAAUGUCAUUCUAUUAGCAAGUGGAAUACAGUGACGUCUACCUCCUCUGCUAAUCUUUCUCCCAUCAUAUCAACACCAUCAAGAGUCAGGGUUGCAGAAUUACAUUCACUGCCUGUAGAUCAAAAUAAAUAGCACGUGUUCAUUAUACAAAGGAAGGAAGAAAGUAGAUGCAGAAGGGAAGGCAUAGCAACAUCCAGAAACAUAUAGAAGGGAAACAUGUAAAGAAUCAAAGAUGGACUCACAUUGCGAGUUAAAGACAUUACGGUUAUCUAAUGAAUUCCCUUCUAGUAUUGCUGAUUUUCAAUUGCAAUAGCAAUCAAUGUAUAUACCUUCAGAAUCAAGAAUAAUUCAGCUGCUUAAUAAUUGUUUUGUGAUUAUUGUUAGUCCUACUACAUUUCUUACAUGUUAGGGAACAAGAUUUCAAAAGUUUCGACAUGCAACCCAAACAUCAUGAGCCUUAGGACUUGUUUAGAUGUCGAAAUAACUUAUAGUUGAUAACUCAUCCGUUGAGAACUUAUUUGGCAUGCAGCUUGUGUCGUGUAAUUGGAAGAUGGGAGUUUGAUUUUUGCUCUUGAAAGACCUUUGGCAUCCAUGAUUUAGUAGAACAACAUAUUUCACCUAUGAAGUGAUUUAUUUUAUUCCCGAAAAAAUAACUUGAAGGCUGAAUAUGUUACUCCCUUCCAGACAUUUUGACAACAUUCCUAGCUUUCAAUCACAAUAGAAAAUCCUCAUAUUGAAUAAGAUAUCACUGGAUAACUUAUUCCAACAUGCAAACAAUCCUUAGUAAUUUUGACUACAAUGGCAUCAAACUACUACAUUCAAAGAAAACUACUACUGCUAGACUCUCUUCCUGGAAUGUUUCUUCGUUUAAUAGGUCAUCAUACACAUUACUAGUACAGCUGAAUAAAUCCACAAGAAUGUCGAAUGAUGAAUGGCUAAGAGAAGAUAGAAAAGAGUAAUAAUGCAAACACCUUGAGUUUCUAAAUACAAAACGAGUGAGAGGCAAACAUUCAAUUACAUAGAUAACAGGAAACUAGGCUCUUUUAGCUCUUUUAAAUUUAGAGGAUCAGUUACUCAAUAUUUUCAUGAAGGAUAAUUAUAUGGAGAAGUAUGAAAGGUUUAGAACCUUACAAUGUACAAUAACAUCUUCGGGGUACUUCUUCACAAACUUUUUCGCAGCAAAUUUCCAAUCCGCAGCGCUGCAGGCAUACCAAGAAGAAUAUCAAAAAGAAGAACAUCAAAUUUAAUAGUGGAUAGGCAGGCUCAUGACACUAAUGAAGGCACACCAAUACCAAUACAGGCAAUCAGAAUUCAUAGACAACAGAACUAGUUUUACAUUCCACUUUUUCCUCAAAAAAAAAAAAGGAAAAGGAAAAAAGUUCAUCUUGUCACUGGAAUAGGCCAAUCGCUUAGGAAAAUUUCUAGCCAGACAAGUUUGACAGUUACAAUUACUUUUCCUAUUUCAGAAUAUCAUGUUCAAUAAUGUUAGAGUAAACUUUGGCAUCAAGUAUAGAUAACAAGUACCAAUCUUAGUUUCUAUUUUGGUGUGGCCUCGGAAACAGCUUCUCCAUUCAAGAAGCACAAGCGAGCAUUUAGCAAACAAAAAGUCCAGCAACUAGGUGCGGCAGAAAGGUAACUGAGCUUCCAGGAAGCUUUUACUUGUAGCUGGCACAAGAAAGAUGUUGGAAAGAUAUGGGAAAAGCAACAAGAGCUUAUUCAAAUAGCUACUCAAACAACACUUUUGCAGAAAUUUUCAAGCAGCCAAAUCUUUGAGAAGAAGCUAUGCAUUACUGCUGAUAUAAAAGAACAUAAAUAAGUACAAAUCCAAGAAGUUAAAUAGUAGAUUUUGGAGAACAUAAUGUUGCCCCUCCACAACAUAAUCUAGCAGAUUCCAUGGAAAGUACUUCCCUUUAGAGACAAAGUAAUGCAGUAACAACCUAAGAUAUUUACAAAAUUAUCCAUAGGAGCUCCCAAUUCUUCUAGUAUAACACAUGCUAAGAGAUCACUAUUGGAACUCACCACAUAUUCCUAAAUUCCUCAAACGGUUUCUAAUGUUUAUUAUAGUAUUCUAACUAAUUAAGUAUACUAUAUGUUCAAUUUGGAUAAAAAUCUCCUAAUGAUGAUCCACUUACACUCUUAUUACAACUAGGUAAAAAUGUACCGAUGCCCUUCAACUACAGGACAUUUUGAAAUAGUUCCCUCAGCUUUAUUUAUCCCGUUUUGAUAGCGCCCUUUCAAUCCUUUUUGUUAGUUGAAUCAAGUUAAUGGCUCAACUUGUUUUAGCCAUUAAUUACUAAAGAAAUCUGCAGUUUUUGCAGAAAAGGGAGUAAAUCGGUUAAAGUUAUUAGAACAGUUUGAAUUUAACAAAAUUUGCAAAUUAGCUAAGUAAAAUUGUUCAUCAAAGAAUCAAAAUUAAAGGGCACGUCAAUUGAAAAAGGAAAAAAAAUGAGGGGUCCAUUUAAAAUGGUCCUAAGGCGUCAUUUAGAUCCUUCAACUUUUUUCUUUUCCGAUUGCACCGCUUAAUCAUUAAUCAUUUAGACUUACGUUCUUUCCUAAGUUGAACUAGGGAUUGUUGCUCCAUUAGCAAAAUUAAAUGUUCGCAGUUCCAUCAGGGCGAAAAAGUGUUUAGAGCAGUUAAAUUUAUAUAAUCACAACUAAAUUUAUAACAAAAUCGUAAUUUGAUUCAUGAAAAUAACUUAAACCAGAAACAAUCCAAACUGGAGGGGCCCAAAUCAAAGGGAAUUAGUUGAGAGGUCCACAUUUUCACUACAACAUAUGAUUCACUAAACGAGAAAGAUGUAUAGCUCCUAAUUUCUUCAUAAAAGGAGGAAUCGAACCAGAAAAGGGAUGGAUCCAUCUCGAACCCCACCUUCCGACGAUCCCAUUCACCAUCACCACCAGAUGCGGCGGCGUCGGAAUCCUCCUCUCCCCCUCGCCUCCUCCUCCUCCGCCGCCUCCGCCGGAGACCGGCGAGCCGUCGACGACCUUGAAGCAACUCGGUCGCCGGAGAUACGCUCUGUAGGUCACCCCCUCCCACCCCCUCCUCUUCUUCUCCCCCUGCGCCAUUAGUGAACCCUAUAGGAGAAGCUCUAAGGAUCGGAAUCGUCUCCUUCAACCGAAUUAGGGUUAGGGUUAGGGUUGGGGUUAGGAUUUUAUAGUGGGGGUGGCGCCGUUUUCAGCUCUCUCGUCGCCGACAACUUCAAUUUUUUAUUUUAUUUUAUUUUAUUUUGCUCAGUUCGUAGGACUCCAACAGGACGAAGCCCUCGCUUCUAGAUGAUCUAUUACGUACACCUGGUGCACCACCUCAUCACGUACACCGCAACCUUUUACUCAUUGGACGGCGCUGAUUGGGUGGAUUAUCAGAGCGGUUCACAGAAUGAUGUGGCGCACCGUGAGCACGUAUUUUAGCUUCAUUAAUUUGAAUCUUUGUCGGGGGCCCACCACAAUUGUGAUGGGCCCCACAUGUCGUGAUUAACGCUACAGUGGAUGGAGCAUUUUAUCCGCCACGUGCAAUGGCUUCGAACAGCAACUUGAUCGAACGGCUGAAAUUAACGGGCUCCCAACGUGGCACGGAUCUAAAAGCGAUGUCGCAUAAAAUAUUCUGUGUUCGUCGGAAACGAAUCUUGACCGUUCACCGAAAGGCGAGCGUCCAGAUAUCGUUCCACGCAUAGAAGUUUUUUGUGGGGACGUCUCUGACGUCAUGCUGGGGCCCCUUAGGUGUGACGUGUGCGGGAACCGUUAGGUUCGACCGGAGAGUGGGGCCUACUUGUCGAUGACGUGGACAAAGUGGACCUUUGUCAUCUUUGUUCCGGCCUAGUCGGAGUCAAAGUCAAAGUGACGACUUAGACUACCGUUACUAUUGGUCCACGUGGCGUAUUAUCUAGAAGAAGGGCCAACCGAAUUGAAGUUAGGCUAACUAAUUACGACUUUUAAGUAAAUUUGUGGUGCUCAGGGGAGCCACGUAAGACAUAGACGUAUUAGUGGCGGAUAUUAUACGGGUAAUUACUGUUGGAUUAGUAUGCUGCUAUGUAGCUUAGGCCGAGUCACAUUCGAAAUGACGUGAGGUUGGAUAGGCCGAGUCAUAUUCGAAGUGGCGUGAGGCUGGAUGAGUCGAGUCAUAAUUGAGAUCCGUGGGCGCUGUAUCUAUACACUUAAUUAAGUGAAUUAGUUGCGUAUUUAACAGCUCGAGCUUUUGGUAUUAAUGGUUAGCGCAAACAAUCUGACAAUUACAACCUAAUAAAUCACCUAAGUUAACAAUUUGAUGAGUUCAAUCGAAAAGGUUUCACCUUUUGUUAAAAGAAGAAGAAGAAACUAAUCCAAAAAUUCGCGAAUUAUAAAUCCAACACAAAAAUUUACUUAUUAUUCCGAUUUUUUGUGAAUAAAUCGCAUACAGAUCGUUUUAUUCGGAUUUUCAAUAAUUCGCAAAUUAACUAAUUAUGGAUUCAAGCUGAAGCAAGAUAUUUGGAUUUUUUUUCGAAAAUUGUGCAUAUAUAAGGCAGAUUAAUUGGCCAACAACAUUUUAAAGAUAUUUUAAGUCUGAGAUCCAUCUAAAGAGGCUUAACCAGUCUACGUACAAAGAAAUCUGAAUCGUGCGACACCGAAGAAAGAAAAUGAAACCUUAGGCUCGGUCGGAUUUUCCUGUUGGUUCAUUUCAUUUCUCGAUAUCGGAUCAAACUCAUUAGCUUCAAGGAAGUCGACCCGGAUUUGCGAAAAUUUGAACCUUGUCGACUGUAUCGGCUCUCACUCAAUUUUUUCAUUGAUUGGUACGGCAUGCUCGACGUGCCGAGAUUUGGGCCUAUCCGUUUGAUGUCCAUCCUAAGCUCGUCCCAACCCGAGAGAUGAAUGAGCUGCGCUCGGUUUCAGCUCUAACGAGCGUGGCUUAACAAGUACGAAAGCCAUUGAACUCAUAAAAAUACAGUAGCUCUGCUAAUACACACACUAUUUGUAGGCCCAAAGCCCCACUUGCGAGCCUCGAAGUACGUGACGAUCUCGGCUUGGGCCUGUUGUGAGGCCCAGUCUUCCGGGCUGGGCUACACUCGGGCCUCGUACUUUCGAAACUGGACCACGUAUGUUUCCGUACGUAAUAUUGCGUUUCGCAUAUUGCUCGCAUAUAUUUCUCCGUUGUUUAAAAAUAAUCUCACUAUUAGGCCCCGUUUGGAUACCUCUAAAAACGUAGCAUAGUUAAACUAUGCUACGGUGGUAGGAAAAUAAUCCUAUGAAGCGUUUGGAAGAAAAAAAAAAUGACGUAAUUUUUGGAAUAUAGUUAUACUAUACUACAAAAAAUGUAGUAAACUUACAAUACCCUUUAACCAAAGGAAAAAAUUCUACCAUUUCGGGCUCCCAAAGAUGUAUCAAUUUUUAAAUUUUAAAUUUCAACAUAAAAUUUUAGAUUUCAAAUUUUAAAAUUUUAAAAUUCAAAUUUAAUUUUGAUUUUAAAUUUCAAAUUUUAAAUUUCAAAUUUCAAAUUUCAAAAACUUCAAAUUUUAAAUUUUAAAUUUCAAAUUUCAAAAACUUCAAAUUUCAAAUUUCAAAUUUCAAAUUUCAAAUUUCAAAUUUCAAAAGUUCAAAUUUCAAAUUUCAAAUUUCAAAUUUCAAAUUUCAAAUUUCAAAUUUCAAAUUUUAAAUUUCAACUUUCAAAUUUCAACUUUCAAACUUUAAAAUUUCAAAUUUCAAAAAAAGUUCAAAUUUCAAAUUCAAAUUUCAAAAAGUUCAAAUUUCAAAUUUCAAAUUUCAAAUUUUAAUUUAAUUUUAAUUUUUAAUUUUCAAUCUUCAAAAUUUAAAUUUAACUUAAAUUUAAAAUUUUAAUUAUUUAAAAUUAAAAAUUUAAAGUUUAAAUGGUAUACUUUAAGUUUUAAAUUUUAAAGUUUCAAAUUUCAAAUUUGAAAUUUUAAAUUCCAAAUUUUAAAUUCCAAAUUUCAAAUUCCAAAUUUAAAACAUAAAAUCUAAUUUACUUUUUAAAUUUUUAAUUUUAAAUUUUAAUUUUAAAUUUUGAAUUUUUAAUUUUAAUUUUUAAAAUUUUAUUUUUAAAUUUUGAAUUUUGAAUUUUGAGUUUUGAAUUUUGAAUUUUAAAAUUUUAAAAUUUUAAAAAUUUAAUUGUUAUAAAUACUGGAAAAUUGUAUGGUAUGUAUCCAAACAGCUUAAAAAUAAAGCUGUGGAAUUUUUUUGUAGUUACAGAAUUCUGUAUUUCAUUUAGACCAAAACCAUAGAAUAAAAUUCCAUGGAGUUUUUUAAUUAAUAAUCCAAACAGGGCCUUAGUGUCCAUUAAGUUAUUUCGGGUUAAAUCUAAGUUAAAUUGUACUAUAGUUAAAAAUAGUAAAAACAUUUAUUUUGUCCCUAACUUAAUAGCAAAUAAGAAAGUUGGUGGGGCAAAAAAUCAAAAUAUUUUUUUUCUCCUCAUUUAAAAGCAAAUAAAAAAAUGGUUGACGAUAGAAAAAUAUAUUUGAAAUGGUAAAAUAAUAAUUUUAUAAAAAUACUAAUGUUUUCUGAUAUAUAUUUAUUUUUAAUGUUAUUUUACGUACCGAUAAAGAUCUAUUAUUUGCUCCUUCCAUUGACACCAUAACUAUUCAAAACUACUUUUAAAAUUUUAAAAUAUAAAAUUUAAUUUUUAAAAUUAGAAGAGAAAAAUAAAUUCAUCAACCGAAAUUAAACUAAAAUGAGAGUUGGUUCCCGAACAGCGAGCCAAAAUAUCCUGUUCCAAAUAGAUUUUUUUUUGUGUGAGGCUACUAUGCUUCUGGAAACACGGAGCCUUUCGUGCUUCCAUAUCGUUUUUCAUGUUGCAACUUUCGAAUCGUCGAUCGGCUCCGUUAAACUUGAUCUAGAGUAUUUGAAGUAUGUAGAAAAUAAAUUUUAUGAUUUUUCGAUAUCAUUUGUCUAGUGAUCGAAGGGGCUCAAAAUUAGUAAUUUUAAUGACCGUAGUGAGCUGUUUGGAAGUUUAACGGUGUAGAAAUAUCCAAAUCACGUGAAAUUUUGAUAGAAAAUUCUUUAUACUAUAUAAAACAAGAUCUAUAUCUUUGAUCUAAAAUUUUAAUAUCAUAUUAUCAUGUUUUGUAAAAUUUUUAUUUUCAGCCAUUAAUUUUGUGCCUCUUUGUUCACUAAGCAAAUAAUAUCGAAAAAUCGCAUAAUUUAUUUUCUAGGUACUUCAAAUACUCUAGAUCAAAUUUAACAGAGCCGAUAGACGAUUUAAAAGUCGCAACAUAAAAUACGACCUAGAAGCACGGAAUGCUCCGUGCUUCCAGAAGCAUAGUAGCUUACUUUCUUAUUUUUCUUUUUUUUUUUUUUUUUUUUUUUUUUUUUUUUUUUGCUUCCUCUCGAAGCAGAGCAUCAUUACAUUCUUAGCUUUCCCCGGGUUGGUGAGGAGACAUUCUCCAGAGGGGCUUUUUUUGCAAAUAGCCCCCUGAGCAAUUUUUAUUUUAAAAAUAGCCCUAUCAAAAUUAAAAUUGCAAAAAUGGCCCUAUCCCUGCCACGCAGGUGCCACGUCAGCGCCACGUGGGCAGGGCUGGGGCCAGGGUAUUAAGUUGAACACGGUGAAUCAUUCACCGUGUCUAAACACGGUGAAUGGUUCACCGUGUUUCUUACGUAUUUUUUGUAUAUUGAAAAGUGGAAUAAGGAGUAGGGAUGUCAAGAGGUAUGGAUACCCGAAAUAUUAUCCGAAUCCAAACCCGAAUAAAUUAUAUAUAUAUAUAAUUUAUUUUUAUUUAUUUAUAUAAUAUAUAAAAUAUUUAAUAAUUUUAUUUCUUAAAUCUUCAUCCAACCCAGCGGGUUUUAAAAAUCUAUACCGUUGGAUGAAGAUCUAAGGAAUAAAAAUUAUUAAAUAUUUUAUAUAUUGUAUAAAUAAAUAAAAAUAAAUUAUGUAUAUAUAUAUAAUUUAUUCGGAUUUGAAUUCGGAUAAUAUUUCGGAUAUCCAUAUCUAUUUACAUCCCUACUCCCUAUUCCACUUUUAAAUACGUAAGAAAAAAUACGUACUAAACACGGUGAACCACUCACCGUGUUUGAACACGGUGAAUGGUUCACCGUGUUCAACUUAACACACGGGCCCAACCCCUGUCCGCGUGGCGCUGACGUGGCGCCUGCGUGGCAGGCCCAGGGCCAUUUUUGCAAAUUAAAUUUUGACAGGGCUAUUUUUAAAAUAAAAAUUUGUCAGGGGUCUAAAUGCAAAAAAAGCCCUCUCCAGAGUGUUGGACACGUGGCGGGCAAUGAUUGGCGACAAUUUCCAUUUUAAAAACUGUGGCGGUUGUACUAGUUCGCUACAACGACCGCCGCACGGAAAUUGUUUUGGAGACAUCGACUGCGCACCGAAGCGGCCGAGGAGAAUAACUCAACUCUCCCUACCGCUUACUCCUCAAGACGAAAUUAAGUUCGCAGAGCGGCAGAAGUCGGCGCCGAGAUCUGCAUGAGGCGGCUGUUGUCGGCGCUGUGUCUGAGGCGGACGCCGACUUCUUCUUCUCCGCGACAUCAUCGCCCCGUAACCCAUCUCUCCCCCUCUCCCCAUUUCCCCCCUUCGCUUCGCAUUCGAAACCCUCAAUUAUUAAUCAUCAUCAUCAUCAUUAUUAUUAUUAUUAAUUUUUUCUAUAUAUAUUUUUGGGAUUUUAGGAGAAGGGCGAAGCCGCAGCGAACGACGGUCGUGGCGGUGGUGGUGGUGGUGGUGGUGGUGGUGGUGGUACUACUACGAACCAAGGCGAGGUAUAUACAUAUAUAUAUAUAUUGCCUGCUUUAAUAUUCGUGCUCUCCUGCGCAUUCGGGUGGGGAGUUUUUUUUCCCCCCCCCUUAAAUUAGUUUCUAAGAUCAGAUCUCGGUAUACGCCUUUGGAGAGAUCUUGUUGGCGAGUUGUUUGUUGUUUUGCCUCAACGGAUUACUCCCAUUUCAUGUCGUGCCUAAAAACACCGUUCUCGAACAUCUUAAGCCAUUUAAUAUUUAUAUAUAAAGAAAAAACUUCAAAUACCAACCCUGUGGUUUCGCACUUUCUGACUCUAGUACUACUAUGUGGUUUAAAGUGUAUUACUUUCGUACCCUGUGGUUUUAUAUUUCUCUUUUUGUUAUCCUCUUUAUUAAUUUUUUUUUGUUAAAUCAGUGAUGAAAUUAAAACUAAAGGGUACUAAAGUGAAUAUUCGAUAAACUAUAGAUAGGGUAUCUGAAGUUUUUUUAUAUGAUUUAACGAAAAGUUAACAGAGGUACUGACGAAAAGAAAAAAAUGAAAUCACAGGAUACUAAAUUCAUACACUGCAAACCACAGGAUACAAAGAAAGUGCGAAACCACAUGCGUGGUAUUUGAAGUUUAUCCAUCGUUUCAUAUAAUCUAAAAUAGUAAACUUGUCAAAAUAUCUCGAGCCUGGACGUCAAGGGGAGUGUUGAAUAUGCAGGAUUAAAAUACAGUUCUCUGACAGCUUACGGUUGUUUCACAUAAUUUAACCUGGUAUCAGAGCAGAGCAGAAACUACUGGGUUUAAUUUAAGUCCUCGUCCUGAACCUAUCGAAAUAUCUCGAGCCCAGAUGCGAGGGUGGGGAUGUCGAAUGUAUAAAAUCGGUCUCUAACUCCUUAAAGCUAUUGGAAAUAAACGGUUGUUUCACAUUUCGAUCAGAAGGAAACCAUUUGAUGAUCGAUACGUAAUCCUCCUUACUUGAUAAUUCACGACGAUUUAUAACAUUUUGUUGUCUCUAAACUUUGCGAUAUGUAAAUUCGAAAAAUUUCGAUCUCCCUCUUUUUUCUCAACAGAGAACUGAGAUGCAUGUCGGAUCUCGCGAUGUUGCUACGGAAAACAUCAUCGCCAAUCACGACUUUUCAGAAGGUUUGCGUUCGUGGCGUCCUAAUCACUGCCACGCGUAUGUUGCUUCCGACGAAUCUAAUUACGUUCCCGGAGUAAGGCCGAAUUCGGGGGCGAAGUAUGCCGUAGUCACGAACCGAACGCAAAGCUGGCAAGGUUUGGAGCAAGACGUCACAGAUGAGAUUACUUCUAAUACUAAAUAUACCGUCUCGGCCUAUGUUAGAGUUCGUGGGGACGUUCAUGAGCCGAUUGGGGUUCAAGCGACGCUGAAACUAGAGAACCAUGACAAUUCGAUUAGCUACGUAGGUAUUGGAAGGUAAUGCGGUUCGAAUGACGUUUUCAGCUUUCUAUUUUCUUUCUUUGAUCGGAAUGCUGCAAACUCCCUAUACUGUUAUUUUUAAAUGCUUUGUGUUUUAAGAGCUUAUCGACAAAAUUAGCUGAUUUAGGGUUGUGCCCUUGAAAGAACACUGGGAGAAGUUGGAAGGAUCCUUUUCAUUGAAGAGCUUGCCAAAACGUGUAAUUUUCUAUCUUGAAGGGCCCCCUCCGGGGAUAGACUUGCUGAUUGAUUCCGUCGUCAUCUCUUAUGAGGUAAUUUCUUAGCUAUCGCCUUCUCAUUCGCAUGUUUCGAGUGAGAAUAGAUAAGGAAUAAAUGUCUACUAGAUGUAUUUGCAACACAUUAGCAUGGUCUCUUUACAUGAAAAGGCUGGGUUGUUUUCUCUGAGUAUGACAUUUUCAAAUUGGAUAAACCUUGCGCUGCCUUUUGGGUAGCUUUAAAGCAAGGAUUUGAGUGUUCAUAGGUCGUGCCCACCGUGCUGUACCGUGUUGAUAAGAUAUCAGCAUGAUAUGGCCCCUAUGCUGACGUCACGGUUCAAACAUUCUUUUCUUUGAAGUUAGUAGAUAGUUACCUUGGUAAAGAGCUAAAAAUUUGAUGAAACUAUAUGAUAGAGCAUAUUGGUGCAAAGAAAAUUAAUAUUUCAUGCUACGCGCACUGGUGUGGCACAACACACCCCGUGCAGUACCAUGCCAGCAAGUUUUUGGCAUGGUCUCGUGCGACAAUACCUAAAUCCUUACUUUAAUGGAACUUCUUGGUCAAUCUUGUCUAUCAUAAGCUCUAUUUUAUGGCACCACAUGUUUAUGUCCAACAAAACAACUUUGUGUUUUGUAAACUAUCAUUUCUCUUGUUUGUGUUGUUACCUUUGUGCUAUUGAUUUUACAUCUAUUCAAUUUUUUUGGUCUAUUUUAUCUCAACCACAGAUUACUCACACAAAUAACAUCAUUACAAACCAUGACUUCUCUCGAGGGCUAAAUCCGUGGAAGCCCAAUUCUUGUCAUGCCUAUGUGGCUUCGGAGUGGUCCGGUUUCCUUACCAGUGUUAAAGGAAAAUCAGGAGAGAAUUAUGCUGUUGUCACCAAACGCACCCAAAAAUGGCAAGGCCUUGAACAGGACAUUACGGGAAAAGUUUCUGUUAACACUACUUAUACUGUUUCUGCCAAUGUUAGAGUUUACGGGGAGAUUCAGGGACAGUUUGAAGUACAAGCUACCUUGAAACUAGAGAACCACGAUUCUUCUAUAAGCUACUUACCUGUUGGGAGGUACUACCUUUGAAAUUGUAUCGAUAUUGGGCGAUACCAAUGUUUAGUUAUUAAUCAGAAUCUGCUAUUGUAGGACCCAAGGUUCUAAAGAUCAAUGGAAGAAGUUGCAUAGCUCCUUUACUUUGACGAACAUGCCCAAAAGAGUUGUGUUUUACUUGGAAGGGCCUCCUCCCGGCGUGGAUCUUCUUAUAGAUUCAGUCAUAAUCUCUUGCUCCGAUUUUAAGCAACAGAAAGUAAGCGCUCUAACGCUGUUCUGUUUUAGGACCUUUCUCGAUGCCUUUUUCUUCGGUUGAGAUUGUUACUAAUAUUGUAAUACAACACUUUUGUACUUCUUUUGCUUGAAAGGAAGUGAAUGCAGCACCUCUUUCCAUCAGAAGUGAAAAUAUCAUCCAGAACCCUCAAUUUGAAUACGGUUUAGAUAAGUGGUCUGGAAGAGGAUGCAAGAUUCUUAGACACGAAGUUGUUGGAUAUGGUAACGUGACUCCUUUUACUGGGCAAUGUUUUGCUUCCGUAACUGAACGAAGCCAGAUUUGGAACGGCGUUCAGCAGGAAAUCACCGGCAGGUUGCAAAGAAAACUUGCGUAUGAGGUUACUGCGGUUGUUCGGAUAUGUGGAAGUGCUUCGGCUGAAGUGCGGGUCACUUUGUGCGUUCAAGAACGAAAUGGUCAUGAUCGCUAUAUAGGAAUUGCCAAGUAUGUUUAAUUUGUUCGUUUUUUUUUUCUUAUUAUUAGCUGUUAUUUAACUCCUGUUGCUAAUUAUUUUUCAGUGUGUUAAUAUAAUGAUGCUAGUCGAUCUCUGUUUGGCCUACCUUCUAGAAUGGUUUCUUUGCUUCCCAAAACCCGAUGCUUGUGAAAAACCAUGAAUAAAUAAAUUAACCGGAAGUUUUGCCACGGUGAAAAGCUAAAAGAUGAGCUUUUGGGCCUGCAAAAGCAAAAGCGACAUGUUGUAGAGGAGAUUUUUAUAGAAAAAUGUUAAUAGUGGUUCUUCAAACAGCUCUACUCGAAGUCUCAAAAUCCACAUCUUUAGAAGCUCCACUCGGAUUCAAUUGUUUUAUAGAUAGUCUUCGUGACCACAUUUUUCUUUUUUUUUUUUUUACUUUAAAGAGCACAGGCAUCGGACAAGGAAUGGGUGCAUUUACAAGGAAAAUUUCUCCUUCAUGGCACUGUUUCGAAAGCUGUCAUUUUUCUGGAAGGGCCUCCCCCAGGAAUUGACAUUCUUAUCGAUAGUUUAGUGUUGAAACGUGCAACAAAAAUUCCCCGGCCUCCUCUAUUGAACUUUGAGGUUAGUAGAUCAUCUUACAUUCCAUAUUAUUUCCAAAAUUGAUGGUUGUACACUCGUUUAUCGCCAUGUCUUGCUUUUGUAGAUCGAGGAAGAUAUCUUAAUAUAAUUCUGUUGGAAAAUCUUGCUUUUCAUCAUGUGGUUCACAUUUAAAUCAUGUAAAAGUGCAAAAACGUGCACUUAGAGUAAUCUCAAGAUGAAGCAUUGCCUUUAUUUGAUCCUGUGUCUAUGAAACAUCAGCACGAAAGAACCGAGCUUUACCCAAAUAAUUUUCUUUUAGAUUAGGCGAUAUUGAGUCUAAACUGCCCUCUAUUAGGACCACUGCCAAAUUCAUAGGAUUAAUGCUACAAUCGAACCCUUCCUCUCUCUAAGGGGAAGAAUCUUCUUUCCUAACUUUACCUAAGAACUUGCUACAAAAGGGGCCUUCGACACAUAUUUAUAGAUCUCCAAAACCUCCAAUUCUAGCUAGGAUUUCUAAUAUGAUAAUGAUACUACAUAGGGAAAGGAUAAAGGAGAAAAAAGGGGGGAAAAAAAGGCAAAGGGAUAUGCAAUGAGAAAAAGAGAACGCCGACGCAGGUGAUGAGAUUACUUUGAAUCGACAAAAGGCAUUUCCUGAAAUAGAGUUGAAUUAUAGAAUCACAUAAAAGUCGGCAACAUUUUAUGUAGACUUAGUUGCUCUCUUCUUCUUGUUCUUGUACGAAUAGGACUUAAUUUUGUAGUUUCUCUUCUCAUUCAUCAGCUGUUGUCUCCUGUUGUGUCAAAGAACUCGUAAUAAUUUUCAGGGGAUUUUUUCUUUUCAUAACUGCAUAUAUCUCGCAGAAAUUCACAUCAACUAUGAAUCACUUUGGAAAUAUAGGGUAAUUAUCCAGUAGUAUCAUUUUAAAAGCAUAAUAAAUAAUCGCAGAACUGUAAAUCAGCAUAACCUUCUGUGAUCGGAUCCUAUGCUUUAAAUAAUGCAUGAAUCAUCGUCUGCAUCUUCUCUAUGUUUUUUAAAUCUGCGAUUACAGCUACUAAUUUCUUAAAUCACAUUCCUUUGUGUAUACGUUGUCUCGCAGAAUGCGCUCUAUGGAGUUAACAUAAUCAUGAACAGUGACUUCAAACAUGGUCUUGCUGGGUGGGCUCCCCUUGGCUCGUGUAGACUAAGCGUAUGUACCGAAUCGCCUCACAUGAUUCCUUCAACAUUAAAGGUCCCUCUUGGUCGUUAUAUGCUGACGGCAAAUCGCACCGAGACCUGGAUGGGCCCUUCUCAGAUAAUAACCGAUAAGCUGAAGCUUCAUUUGACCUACCGUGUUUCUGCUUGGGUUCGUGUGGGCCCCACAGCAAGCAGCCAUCAGAAAGUUAAUGUGGCUCUCGGCGUAGACGAGCGGUGGGUCAACGGUGGGCACGUCGAAGCCGAUUCUUACCAGUGGUACGAAGUUAGGGGAUCAUUUAGGAUCGAGAAACAGCCGUCGAAAGUUACCGUGUAUGUACAAGGCCCUUCGCCCGGUGUCGAUCUGAUGGUCAUGGGUCUUCAGAUAUUUCCUAUUGAUAGAAAGGCACGAUUCGAUUAUCUAAAGGAGAAAACUGACAAGGUAUUCAUUUAUUGUCUGAAAUUAAGUUACCACUGCAAAUUGUUCCGCAAUUGUUUGUGCCUGCUUGGGCUGAUGUCUAAAACAACUUCCCUACUCGAGAAGCAGAAGCUAGGUGGUUGCAAUAUGAAAAGUUUAGUUCUUCUGGCUAUAGUGGCGAGCCAAAAUAAGUUUCUGGGUUCCAAAAGUAAACGCUCGAAUGUGAAUCUUUUGCUUCUAGUUGCUUUAGGGGCUCUUAUCUAAACAGUUCUACUGAAACAGCAUUCCUAAACAAUUCUCUAGGCCUCUAUAGACUAUGUUCAGUCUUCUAGUUGUUUUUAAUCUUUAUUUUCGCCCCCUCUUAACUCAAUUGUGCAUGCAUUUUGUCACAGAUAAGAAAGCGCGAUGUCGUAAUAAAAUUGAAGGGAUCUAGUGAAGGCAAGUUUGUCGGCGCUUCAGUAAAGAUCAGGCAGAUGGAUAACAGCUUUCCAUUUGGGUCAUGUAUAAGUAGAUCGAGCAUGGAGAAUGAGGAGUACAUCGGUUUCUUCGUGAAGAACUUCAAUUGGGCCGUAUUCGAGAAUGAACUGAAGUGGUACUGCACCGAGCCCGAGCGAGGAAAGCUCAACUACAGAGAUGCCGAUGAGAUGGUUCAGUUUUGCGAAAAGCAUGGCAUGAAACUUAGAGGCCACUGCAUCUUCUGGGAAGUGGAAGAUACCGUCCAGCAAUGGAUCCGAUGUUUAAACCCUGAUGAUCUGCUGAUGGCCGUUCAGAAUCGCCUUCAAGAUUUAUUAUCCCGUUACAGAGGUAAGUUCGAGCACUACGAUGUGAACAACGAGAUGCUUCAUGGAUCUUUCUACCAAGAUAGACUAGGAAAAGAUAUUAGAGCAUACAUGUUUAGAGAAGCUCAUCGGCUCGACCCUUCCGCGGUGCUUUUCGUGAACGAUUAUAACGUCGAAGAUGGUUGCGACCCGAACGCCACUCCAGAGAAGUACAUUCAACAGGUUCUUGAUCUCCAAGAACAGGGUGCUCCUGUUGGAGGGAUUGGUAUACAAGGCCAUAUUAGCAAUCCGGUGGGCGAGAUCAUAUGCGAUUCGUUGGAUAAGCUAUCAAUACUAGGAAUUCCUGUUUGGAUCACCGAAUUAGAUGUCUCAGCCGCGAAUGAGCACAUCCGUGCGGACGACUUGGAGGUGGUAAUGCGUGAGGCCUAUGCGCACCCUGCCGUGGAGGGGAUCGUGCUUUGGGGAUAUUGGGAGCUGUUUAUGUUCAGAAAUGAUUCUCAUUUGGUCGAUGCCGAAGGGGAGAUCAACGAAGCCGGUCGGAGAUAUCUUGCACUGAAGGAGGAGUGGUUGUCGAAUGCUGACGGACGCAUGGAUAACAGCGGGGAAUUCAAAUUCAGAGGAUAUCAUGGUAAAUAUACCGUAGAAAUAACUACCCCUUCAAAGAAAAUAUCUAAAUCAUUUGACGUCGAGAAGGGAGAAUCUCCUCUAGUGAUACAAAUAUAAACUUAUCGCGUGUAUAAAAGUCGAAGAUUGGUAUUCAUAAUCUUAAAUGCGCUUCAUGUCAUAUUGAUGAGUAGUUAGCUGCUCUUCGCAGUUCUUUGUUUGUUUGUUUAUACAAACAUGGUGACAUGAUGAAAUAUGUAUGCUGCUUUGUUAUUUGUGCAGAGUGCAACUAUUUACAGCAUUGUUUGAUUAAUGUAUUUUUCAAACUAAUAUGUUAGUUUAAGAGAUUGUUGAUCUUUACAGUUAUCUAUCUAUUGCGGAUGUGUGCAAAGUAGUGUUGAACAAGAUAGCAUGUUUAUAGCUUGAGCUAUGAAAGAAAAUUUAUUUUUAUAAUUGUCUAAUGUAAUAGGUAAUGUUUGAUUUGGCCCACUAAGCUAUUUUUAUCUUUAUAAGCGAAAAUGAGCGUACGCAUGCGUGAUGUAACGAUCCGAACCGCUAGCAAUAAUAACUCGUUGGGUCUAAACUAUCGGCCCAAAAUGCUUACGAGUUAUUAUUAUUAUUAGGAUGCGAGACUACAAAAUCAAAAUUUUAUUUUUCAUCUGAAUGCAGAAUUAUUGGGACGUUACAGAUUCAAACUCUUCAAGUAUCUAUAGGAAAGAGCAUAAGAGUGAGAUGUAGAUAGUGGAUUAUUUACGGUUCUCACAAUCUGAGAUAAUAGUAUUGGCAAUAAUACAAAAUAAAAAAAUUUAAAGUAGCUUUUUUGUUUUUAUUUUUGGGUGAGUUUUAAUUUACUUCUCUAUGACUUGGCGCAUUUUUACCUCAGAACCCUAUGUAUUAAAAUUUUACUCUUUACAAUCUAAUUUUUGUUACCCCACAUAAAUAGAACAGUAAAGUAGUACAUUUAACAAAUAUAGAGUGGUAAAUAAAGUAUUUCGCUAUGAUAUAAUUUUUUAUUUUUCUAGGAGGGGCGUUGUUUAUUUACAUCUAUCCCAAUGAGCCAUCUAUCGAAUCGUUGCAAUUGAUGUUCGAUCCAGAAGAGAAGGAAGAGAUCUUCGAAAAGUGGGUUUUUAUGAUCCAAUAAAGAAUCAAACUUAUUUAAGCGUUCCUGCUAUUCUAUAUUUCUUUGAAAAUGGUACUCUGUUUAUAAUAUUUUAAGAAAGACAGAAAUUUUUAAAGAAAGAACUUAUUAUUUCUUUCUCUUCCCUCAUGUUGAGUUUUUCAAUUUUUCCCGCCGAAUGAUUACCUAUAGUAUGUCUCUUUAAAGUGAAAGUGGAAUUCAUCCUUUAUUUUUUCAUUUUUAAAGAAAAAGAUCCAGAUACAAAAUAAUUUUUUAUUAUUUUAAUUAGAAAAGUAUAUUCUAAUUCAACUAACCAAGUAAUCAUCUUCUGAGAUAAGUCAACGCAUUGCAUCAAAAAUAUGCUCAAUUAACCACCUUAUGAGAUAAGUCAACGGACACUAAUCAUUUAAAUCUUGUAAAAGAGUUCGCUCUGUUGACAAAUAUUCUUUUAAAUUUUAGUUUUUUCAAAUCUUAUUUAGCUAGUUUUUAUCUAAAGAAAAGACAUUUAUCGAAACAGAGUUAGCACUACAAAAAAAAUCAUGAGUUUGAUAUGAACUUGUUAACAUCUAUCCAACAACAACAAUCUUAGGAAAUUGAUCAUCUUCAACUGCUGGAGUUAUGCAGAUUUUUGAUUUUAUCUAAUAUUUCAAACAUUUCUAUAUAAUUCUAUUUAUUUAUACAAUUUAUAUUUAUGAUACACUAAAGUUUUUUGGGACACUUUUUUUCAAAUAAAUCCUUAAAAAUUUUUUAGUUUCCGAAAUAAUCCUAUCACAAUUUUAUUUGGCGAUGAAUGAUUCACCAUCUUUAAUAACAUUUAAAAGAGAGAUAGUGAAUCAUUUAUCAUUUCCAACAAAUCAUAUAUAGUCUUAACAACAAAAAAAAAUCCUAACAAUCUAUUCAUAUAAUUUUAACAUCAAUCAAAACUUCUAAUAUUCCACAUAUAAUCCUAAUAAUUUCAUAAAAAUUUUCACAAUAUAUAUAUAUAUAUAUAUAUAGGCUGGGGCUACUAUACUCAUAUGAGUAUAGAGCCCUUUGUACUCAUAAGUUUUUAACCGUUCGGAUGAAAAAAUGUGCGGCUAGGAGGAAAGUGGUUACAGUUAAGUUGAUAGUGGCCCCCCUAGGGUUGAGUGGGUGGUUGGUUGAAUAGUAUAAUCUAACGGGUGAAAAUGAUUAAAGGGUAGAUCUAACGGUCAAAAACUUAUGAGUACAAUAGGCUCUAUACUCAUAAAAGUAUAGCAGCGGGACUCAUAUAUAUAUAUAUAUAUAUAUAUAUAUAUAUAUAUAAACAUCAGAUAAAAAUAUAAAAUAAAUAAAAUAAUUCACAGAUUCCGAAAUAGGGAAAACUUCCUGUGUGCCUUCUAAAAGCAUGUAUUAUUACAAAUGCCGCCUAUAAAAUGAAAAUAUUCUAAAUGCCCCUCUAAUAUAGAAAACUUUCAAAAUAAACCCUUCAAAGACACAUUUUUUGUAUAAAAUGUACAGUAACAACAAUCAAAAUACGAUUUUACCUUUCAUAUUGCCCUUAUAAAUGUUCAAAUUAUACUAAUGAAGACUUAAUUCAUCAUACCCUCUAAACUUCAAAAUAUAUACAAUCCUAAUUUGUUAUACACAAAUAUCCUUACAAAUACUAUCUAUAAAUAUAUUCUCGUUGUCAUAUUCUAUCUCCUACCAAACAUCUAUUAAUUUAGAAAGGUUAUUAUGAAUUAGUGAAAAUGUUCAUUUAAUCCUGAAUUUUUAAAAUUUUUGAAAAGCACUUUAAGUGAUAAAAUGUACAACAAAUAAAUCUUUCAAAACUGCCCCUCAGUAGUAAUUAGUUUAAUAAAGAUAACAAUUAUAUUUAAAUAUUAUUAAAAUAUAAUAAAAAAGUCAAUUCACACUGUAUUUAUAAUUUUCAUUUCCUAAACCUUAAUUAUAAAAUUAUCAGAAAUCGAGUUUUUUUUAAAAAAAUUUGUAAACAAUGCUAAAUCGUUUUAUUGUAAUUUCAAAUCUAGUAAGUAAUUUUAUGCUUUAUAAUUAAUGAUAAAACUGUAAUUUUUCAGCUAUUUACUAUUUUCUCUCUCCAUUUUAAAAAAAUUAAAAAUAUUUAAUAAUAUUGAGUAAGAUAAAAAUAUUAUUCUUUUAGAAUAUAUAAUUCUUCCAGAAAUCAAUGUGAAAAUAUAACUAAAUAACUUUUAAAUUUGUAAAACUUUUAAAUUUAUGGGGUAUUUACAAAAGUUAAAAUUAUUACUAAUAAUAGGAAUAUUUAAAAGGGCAAUUAUGAAAAGGGUAAAAUCGGUAUUUUGAUUGUUGUUACUGUAGAUUUUAACAAAAAUGUGUUUUGAAGGGUAUUUUUGAAAGUUUUUUUAUAUUUAGAGGGGCAUUUAGGAUAUUUCAACUUUUAUAGGGGCAUCCAUGUAAAUACAUACUGUUAGAGGGGCAAACAGGAAAUUGUCCCUUUGAAAUAUGGUGAACAACUUACCACCUUUCUUAUUUUUAUUCAACAUAACACGAAUUUGGCAAGAACAAAGUUAGUUGGUCAAAUAAAAUAUUGAAAGAGUAAUUUGAUCAAUUAGAAAUUUGCUACGAGUUAUUUUUUUUAAAAAAAUACUUUUUUGAGUUAAAUAUGUGUAGGUAUAUAACCGGGAAGUACAUAAUUAUAAAAUGGAUCAUAACCAUGUCUAAAUUUUUCAUUAUUUUUUUGAAUAAUAUAAAUUUAUUAUUUACUUCUAAGUUGAUACUUUUGAAAGUAAAUGCAUGUUUUUUUGUUUUUUUUUUUUAGAGAAAUAAAGUAAAUGCAUGUUGGCCUGUUCUUAGCUAAGAUAGUGGUUUAUAUGCAUUGGUUCUCACUACCCCUUUCAUAUAUAUAUAUAUAUACUCGCGCCAAACUUUAAAAACCAUUAUAUGUCACAUAAACUUUUACUUAAUCCCUUAAUUAGGUCGUCUAUAUUCUGUAAAUUUAAGGUAACUAAUGUUAGUCAAAUGAUUGAGAAACAGCAAAGAAUGCAUGCCAAAAAUAUUAAAGGAUUCUUUUCAUGUUAAAUUUAAGGUAGCUAAUCUUAGUUAAAUGUCAAGAAACAACAAAGAAUGCAUGCGAAAAGUAUUUAAGGUAACCAGUUGCAGUAAAAGAUAAUUUUUUAGCAUUUAAUUGUUAAAAAGUAAAUGUGAGAAUUGUGAUCAAUGAUUUAGAGGAUACCAUGUAGAAAUAGCAUUCCAUGUUCACAAUAUUAAUUUAAGCUAGUGGAUCAACAACAGUAAUUUAAAAUUAAAAAUAUACGAAAGUUACAGCAUGAUCAGCAGUACAGCAUCUGCUUUACAGACGGCAAAGCAUAUAACAACUACCAGAAGAAGAACAGAAGUUUGAUCUUAGUCUUCCGCACCAGAAAAACUCAAUAAAUAACUACUAUAAAGUUUCAGCAUUCAAAUAUGCAAAGGAAAGGUUAAAGAGAAAAAACAGUUUGAAUACCUGUCGAGUUUUAACACUAGUAUGUUUCAGAAUUUAACAGCAACUGGUUCAGAGCAAUAUGGGCAGUUCCCGAAAAGAACAUCAAAUGACCUGAAAAAGCCAAUCGGAAGUGCAUAACAUUUCGAAAGAAACCGAGAAAAGCAUUAAAGCAAAUAUACGAACAAAUACGACAAUAAGGAUUUUAUUAUCCGAACUUACUGCCUUGUUGUUGUGAUUGUACGCAACCAAUCUCUCAAGCAAACGGUGUGGAAAGCUUUACUGCAACUGGCAUUUUCGCAUGUAUAAUCCGGCGCACAUCCACUGCUAGCCCCGAGUUCGUCAGCUUGCGAAACAAAGAAGUUGUAUUAUUUGAAAAACAAGCAAGUGUUUAUCUAAAAUACCAGAUAUUAAUGACUGUUUCCGCAAUGUUGCGUAUUUACGAAGCUGCGUAUGCGAAAGAACACAGAGAUCCUAUGAGGCAAGAAACUCACCAACAGGCAGGUGCUUGGCGUAGCAAAUUCCACAGUCAAGUUGAUCAUCGUCUUCGGCGCUUGCUGCAGGAGGUUGAGGUAAUUGAGUCUCUAAAAUGGUUGCGAGAUUUUCGUGGAAUGCUUUGUCACUUGUCCUAUUUAUUAGAAGUAGAAAAUAAUUACAUAUGCUCUCUAGAACAAAUGAUUAGUACCAAGAAUUUAAGCGCCCAUCAGCGCCAUGCACGCCAUGCCGCAUCAUACCAACAAGAUAUCAGUAUGAUACGAACCCAUGACGAUAGUUAACAAAUAGUUAUCUCAACAAAAUGCAAAAUAUUGAAUAUAUUAGUGGCAAAGAAAUAAAAUAUUUUAUGCCAAUGUGUGUCGGCGCACAAGUAUUUUUUUCUAAACAACAUGCAACAAGUUUUCGGCACAACCCUGUAUCACGGUACUUAAAUCCUUGAUUAGUAUAAAUAUUGAAAUAGACAUAGAACAAACAAGUAACAGUCUAAAACAUAAUUAACACAAAACAAAGGAAAACGUCCUGAAAUUUCUUUUAAUUAAGACCACCACUAAGGAAAAAUGGCUUCAACUCUUCAGGAACCUAAAAUUUGAAUGAAAUCGCUCUUCCUUCUUGGCGCGCUAUGUAUUAUUUGUUAGAUGUUAUACACCAUAUCAAUACAACAGUACGCAAGGAACAUAACUGAUGAAAAGGUCAAGAGUGGAAUACCAUUUUCUGCAAUUCUUUCUCCAAUUCUUUACUAGUAAGUCAACAGUUCCGUCAGGGCCAAGAAAACGGCACCUAGAGAUUCAGAAAUUAAAAACUGUAAACAUGAUAUAGGGCAUCAUCCUCUGUACCAGACAAACUUACUCUGGCAAGGAGUUCGGUUUCCUCGCAUUUAUAUUAAGUAGAAGACAGCAAUCAUCACCUAAACAACCUCCAAAUGUGAAAAAAAGGGGUCCGGUCUGAUUGUUUGAGAGAAGCUAACAAUCAGAAACCAAAAGGGCAAAAGGUUAAUACAAUAAUAAGGAAAAUUCACCAAGAACAACACGCCGAUACGAUGCAGCAAGAGGCGGCUGUUUUGGAUCGACAACCCAAAGAGUCUUGUCAAUGUCAUCCAUUGUGGACCAGAAUUGCUGCAACUUCUUCAAAUGCUGUUUAUCGUUGUAAAACAAACGAGUACGCAUGAUCAAAGAAUGUUUAGAAAUCGUGAAAAUAAAUAUGAUUAACAGCAAUGCUUUUAUGUACCUCGCGAAACUGAUGUACAACAUCUUUCAAUCUUGAGGUUCUCGACCAGUGUAUCUUCGCUACAUACGGUAAGUCCUAAAUUGAGCCAAAAAAAAAAAGGACAUAAAGAUAGAGAAGGUUCUACAAUCUGUAGACAUCAACGUAACAUUUUGUGGAAGUAUGAACAGAGCCAGACUAGCCAUUCGUGAAGUAUUAGUUGGUUAAACUUCGGUAGUCAGUUUUAUUUAUGAUUAACAAAGUUUGAGCAAGGUUUUUGGCCAUCACAAUUCUCUCUCUCUUCCUCCAAUUUCCUCCUAAUGACUCUAUCGGGUACCAGUUUCUGAAGUUAUAGAUACGACCACAUACAGGUGAAGCACGGCUCAAGGAUUAUUUGGAAAAGUUUGGAACUGUAAAUAUGUUGAAUUAAAGAGGUGACAACUUAAAAGAAUCAAAUCAAAGAAAAACAAGGAAAGAAACUUACUGCAGCAAUUGACGGAGAACAUUCAGGGUAGUUUCGAGGCAGCAAUAUCUCCAACUGAUGCGCUCGCCCCUUCUCAUCUCUGGCAAAUAAAGACACAUCAAAAUGUGCACUCCGAGUUCAUACAAGACAAUGUCGACGAGAGAAAGGAAAACAGUGCAUUUCAUAGACAUAAAGUGUGGCAUGUACAUGAAAAGAUGUUACUUCAAAGAAUCAAAAUUAUCUAAGUGAAAAUUUACGGCCUUAUUUCGUCAUACUUCUUCUUUUCAUGCUUUUUAAAAGUUAUAUUACAUAAAACGAACUCACUGUUGGAUGCAAGAUUUUUUUGCAAUCUAUAUAUCUACAGUAAGUGCUUGGCAAAAGAAAGCAAAAAAUUACAACUAAUUUCUUUUUUUUUUUCGCUUCUUUGCUUUCUUAAAGAAGACGAUUUUGCAAGCUAGCGCCAACAACAUCUACAGAAAAGUCCAUGUGUUGAAAUGCUCAAUAGCAGAGAAUUUAGAACCAAAUGAUUGCUCCAAAGUGAAUAAUUUAAUAGCCUCGACAAACAAUAACAGCGAUUCAAGCUCCAACAAACCUGAUUUUGCUUUGAUACAUUUCAUUCGAAUCGCGUCGGCAAAAAGAUGAAUGAGUACUCUUUAACAGCUUACUCUCUCAAUAAUUCUUUAUAUGCUAAAGAAAUCAAACAGCAUAAAUUCACCUUUUCUUUUGCAGUAGACUAUAACUUCGUCUAGACAUACUCAAGUAAACUUCCAAAAACACAUAAAUAAAAGUGUUCAAAAGCAUAAAAUAUUCGAUAUCAAUAUCAUUCAUUAAGUUACCCUCCAAAUGAUGCUUUAACUUAAGCCAAGAAAAUUGCUAAGUUCAGAAGCUUACAGGACGCGGAAACUGACCGAGGACAGGUCGUCCUCCGAAUGUAUCAGAUGCUCCCAUCCAAUCUCUUCUAUCUAUUCAGCGCCAAAAUUCCAAGAUCAAGCAAAAUAAGCAAAUAUGUUUGGUUCAAUUUUUCAUUCGAGGAAAUGCUUUGGGUCCUGCAGAAUGCUGCCUUUAUGGACUGUUGAUGUGUUAGCGAACAGACGUAACACCCUCGGACUACUUGCAAGAAUCAAUCAAAAGCCUCCACAUCAUAUAUGCCAACACAUCAACAACCUACAAAACCAGCAUUUCAGGACUUGCAGUUGUUACUUUUUAGUCCGAGAAGAGCUACCUAUAGGGCCCGUUCCACACUUAAAAUUGGAUUGAACGGGAUAAGAUAAGAUAGCAAUGUUAAAAACAGAGAAGGUUUUUACGAUCCAGGGGCACCAAGGGCCACGACAUAGCGUUGAAGUAAUCAAAUCCCACCCACGAGGUACGUAUUGAGAAGGAUUAGAUGCAAAAAAAAAAAAGCACUACUACAAGCACUCUGUAAAUGCUACUUUUAUAUAUUGCUGAUGUAUUGGCAAACUCAUGUGGCACGUCGGAGUGCGUGCAUAAGCCAGUCACAAACCUCCAUUCACAUAUGCCAACACGUCAGCAAUAUAACGAGAGACACUAUGUAGGGGGACCUAAAACAUUUCUCCAAAAACAACCCCGUGGUGUCCCACCACAUCCCCUGCGUCGCCUCUGAGUAGCGAAACACAUUCUCUCUCAUCUCACCACUCUCUUAUCUUAUACUAUUUAAAUACGGCUAUGUGAAAAACAGGGAUUUUAAUAUAAUGGAAAAAAAAUGCACAUAAAAAAAAAACAAUGGUUCCUCAUUGGGGCAUUUCGUCGAACAGAUGAUAGGAUGGUUUCAGUUGCCUAAAAAAGCAGUGAAAAAUUGGUACCUACCUCAGAGUAGAUUUUACUGUACAGAGAGGGUGGAGGUGGCGAAGGUUCCUGAAACUUCUAGAAUCAUGAGAAAAUUAAAUUAGUUCAAAUUAAUUUAAAUUAAAUUGGUUGAGAAAUGGGAGAGAGAGAGAGAGAGAGGGACCUGCAUUUUGUCUCAAAAACGAAGUGGGGAACAAUUAAUGAAAGAUUUUGGUUUGAAAUUGCAAUUGUUCCCUUCGUUUCCAAAGGACGGGAAAAAGUGUAUUAAGACCCCUCAACUACAUGCUAAUUUAUACUGGAUUCUUAACUUUUUUUUUUUAAUUUCUGGUAAAAAAGUAAAAAUAUAGGUAAAAAUGCAUAGAAGGUCCCUCACCUAUCAACCAUUUAUAUCUGACUACCUGGUCUUUAAAAAUUUUAAUUUUACUAUGUGACCUUUUAAUUUAUUUUAUUUUUUUUAAAUUUAAAUUUUUAUUUAUCUUUAGGAAUUUAAUUAGUAUAAAAACAGUGAAAACAGUAGAAUAGAAUAGGUAUAAAAUUAACAAAUUCGUAAUUCUAUUAACUGAAGAAGCUUUAUAAAUAGCUAUAGUAAACAGAGGAUUUGCUAUUAAUUAAAUAUAACAUAAUAAAACAGGAAAAAUUCAAAAAAAAUAGAUAUAAAAAUAACAUUAUCCCUAAUUUAUUUUGAUAAAGUAACAAGUAAUUUAGUCGAUAAAUAACAUGAAAAAACAAUAAUUAAGGGAGGACGAAAAAAAAAAAGAACGUUAUCCCUAUCUUAUUUCAUAAAGUUUUUUUUUUUGAAAUAGGUAGUACGCUAUUCAUUUCAUUCAUUGAAAUUGAAAAGAUGAACUAAGCUAAAGGGAUGAGGCAACACAAGCCGGGGGGGGGGGGGGGGGCGAGAGGCGAUUCGUCAAUUGCUUAAUCUCGUGAGCUGUAAGGAAGAGGUCCGAUUGGAUCUUCUUAAAAAUCACGUCGUUCCUGACCUCUCAAAUUAUCCACCAGUAGAUUAUCAAUUCAGAUAACGUAAUAAUCAACGACUGCGUUCUAAUCCUUGUCAUCCACUUUUUCCAGACCGAGAUUGCUUCAUCCCCCCAAUUUCUAGACUAGGCAUACUCCAAAGUCGUCACCAUUAGAAAUCUCGACAAAGUAACAUCAAAAAAUUGGGGAUUUAAUAAUUUAAAAGAGACAAAAAAAAGAAAACGUAAACAAAAUAGAAAAAUAAAUAAAUUAAAAUAUUGUGGCUGCUGGGAUUCGAGCCCAGGUCUCUACGGCCACAACGUAGAAUUCUUACCACUAAACUACAGCCACCAACAAUUGUUCAUUUUUUAAUAUGAAUUUAUUUAAUCUAUAAUGUUAUUUACAUUAACCACAAUAAAUUAAUUUUUUGCAAAAUAAUUUAAACUUUUGUUCCCCAAACUAAAAGGAGAAUGAUAAGUUAAUCCUCAAACCUACCCUAAUUGCAAUUUCCAACUCGAAUUUCUUAUCUUAAUUACAAUCCAAUUUAGUCGACAAGAUGCUUAUUUAUGCAUGAGCCACUGUUGAAUUAUUACCAUAUCAGCAAUAUAUAAUAAUUCAAUUUCAGUUAAUUAAUAUUGUUAAAAUUAUUUUUGAAAUUUGCCGAAACAAAAAGUCUAAAUUAUGGCUAGAUACUAUGUAUCUGCUCUGGAAAUAUCAAAACCAGCCUUGGUUAUAUCAAUAUUUUAUUGUGAAAUUUGAUUGUAAUAAUAUAAAAAAUUUGAGUGAAAAAUUAUAACAAUAAGUUAUUAUUUGAGGACUAAAGUGCAAGGCAAUUAAUCACAUAUUUAUAAGUGAGUUAAAAAAUUAGUAAAAAUAUACAGAACUUAACGCAUCCAUCACGCAUUUAGAUACAACUGUUUAACAUUUAAAACUUUUAAUUUUUCUAUCUAAUAUUUUAAUUUGUUCGAUUACAGUAUUUAAAAUAAAUUUGGUUAAAAAAAUAAAGAUAUGGUAUUAUAGUCUCAUUUUCAACCUAAGAAUGUUCAAAUCAACGACUCAUACCGUUAAAACUGAUUUAGGAUAUUUGAAGUUUUUAAAAAUAAAAUUUUAUAUUUUUCGACAUAAUUUUCUUUAUGAUCAAUCCAUUUAAAAAAUAUCUAUUUUCAAUAGUUAUUAUGAUGAGUUUGUAAUUUAAUUAACAGUAUAAAAAAACUUAAAUUUAUUUAAAUUUUGAUAGAAAAUAUUUUAACCAUCUAGAUCAAGAUUAGCAUCUUUGAUUUUGAAUUCAAAAGUCCUAUCAUUAAAUUUUAAAAAUUGUUUAAUCUCCACCAUUUAUUUUGACAUAAUUUACAUUAAGUAAACGAUGUAGAUAGAAAAUAAAAUUUUAUUUUUAAGAACUCUAUAUAUCCUAAAUCAUAUUUAAUAGCAUAGAUCGUUGGUUUGAAUGCCCUAAAAUAAAAAAAUGAGACUAUAUUACCAAAACUCCCAUAGCGAGUUCUGCUACUAUACUUUUAUGAGUAUAGAGCAUUUUAUAUUCAUAAGUUUUCUACCGUUAGAUCUACCCCAUUAAACAUUUCCAACUGUUAGAUCAUACUAUUCAACCAAUCACUCACUCAACUCUAGAAGACCUCUAUCAUCCUAACCGCACAUCCCUUCAUCCAAUGGCCGAAAACUUAUGAAUAUAAAGAGACCUAUACUCAUAAGAGUAUAAUAGCCNUUGGAUUUUAUAUAUAUAUAUAUAUAUAUAUAUAUAUAUAUAUAUAUAUAUAUAUAUACACACACUCCUAUGCUUUCGAAAGUAUGGAGGAUUCCGUACUUGUAAGUUGUUUUCGAUGAUGGGGCAUCCGAUUCGGCGAUAGGUUCCAUUAAAUAUGAUCUACGCUAUUGGAACUAUUUAGAAACCAAAUUUCAUAAUUUUUUGACUUCGUUUGUCUAGUAAACGAGUGACCUCAAAAUAAACGGCUGAAAAUAAAAAUCUCAUAAAAAAUUGUGAUAAAUGACUCAAAUUUCAAAUCGAAAGUAUUGAUUUUGCUAUUGAUGUUAAGUAGAAUUUUCUAGUAAAUUUUUAUGUAAUUCGGAUACUUUUACACCGCUGAACUUAAAAACGUGCCACAUCGGGCGUUAAAAUAAUCAUUUUUGAGACCUUUUGAUAAAUUGGUAAAUGAUGUCAAAAAAUUAUAAAAUUUGAUUUCUAGAUAGUUCCCAUAGAGUAUAUUAUACUUAACGGAGCCGAUCGUCGAAUCGGAUUUCCUAUCAUCGAAAACAACUUAUAAGCACGGAGGUCUCCGUACUUUCGAAAGUACAGGAGGCUUACUCUCUCUCUCCGUUAAGUAUAAUCUAUCCUAUUGGAACUAUUUAGAAACCAAAAUUUAUAAUUUUUUUAUAUCAUUUACCAAGCGAUCAAAAUGUCUCAAAAAUGAUUAUUUUAAUGGCCGAUGUGGCACGUUUUUAACUGGUUUAUGUCAACGUGUAGAAAUAUCAAAUUAGAUGAAAAUUAUAGAA